rnacentral:lncRNA from 1 species
UUUUUUUUUUUUUUUUUUUUUUUUCGUCAAACACCAUUUUAUUAAGAAAUCGGACAGAGACUUUCCUCUAGAGAAAGCCAAUCUGGAGCCGAUGUGCUUACAUGGGAACAAAUAGGUUCACGGGUUUUUUUCUUAGCUAAAUAUAGAACCCGGACAUUGUUACAAAGUAAAAUAUGACAAAAGCUAAAAGAUAGAAAUAAGGAUCUAAAACUUUCAACGAUAAUGAGUCCCACCACAAAGGUAGGCCACUCGAGAUAACAGUAGACAAACCGAUGAUAGGUUGCCAACCACCUACAUUGCCACACGAAAAGCUGAAAUUUUCGUAUAGUUUUAAGAUUCCAAACUUGCGCCUGAAGUGCCGAAACACCAGGUCCCUGAAAAGGGAGGUCGCAUGUAAGACGAGAGAGAUCUCCCGCGGUCCAAGAGUCAAAAGCGUCACUUAAGAGGAAAACCGGAUGCCACCAUUCUUCGAGUAUAGAGCCCGAGGUGAUAUGAGAGAUUUGAAAACCGUCAGCGGUUUGCUUAAGCCAAAAAGUGGUUGUAGAUGGAGAAGGAAGAUGACGAAAGAAUAGGCGCUGAGAGGUGGAGAGAGGGAAGUGAGAAUUUAGAUUUAAGUCCAAGACGGGAUCCACCUCAGUGGAGGUUAAGCUUUUUGAGAAGUUCUCCAUCAAAUAAUGGGUAGGUGAUAGAGAUACAGUCGAUCUCUCCAAAGAUGAGGAAGAGGUACACAAAGGUCUCUCCACAAGGGAGGAAUUUGGAGAGCAAUAUAAAUUUAAAUCGGAAACACUUAGAAAGGAUGUGGUAGAGGAGCGGAGGAGAUUGAUCUUUUGAAAUCCCGUAUCAUUCGUUAAACUUGGAACGAGAAGAACAAAUCUAGUCGCGAUGGCUAACUCCAUAUUCAAGAUUAAAUUCAAAAACAUCAAGACUGACUUGUUAUCACUAAUAACUUGUACGGCUAACACCAUUGCAAUCCUGGCAGAGCUUCCAAAAAACCACUCCAAAAAGGAGGAAAAUGGGAAAAACAUACUCUUUAAACAAGAGAAUAGUGAAAGGGAUCUCUCCACAUCGGAGGAAGUAUUAGUACUAUGUCUCUCAUUAAAUGAGGAAAACAAAACUAUUGAAUAUGAACACAUGGAUUUUGUUCCUUUAGAGAUUAUUAGGCCAGCAAAACCCCAUAAUUUAGAAUAGGUAGGCAAAGAGCCGACAUAAUUGUUUGGGCCAACAUGAGCCCAUAAUUCAUAUUUGCAGAGACAAUCCCAAUUUGCUUUCACUCUUCGGAUGGGCCAAAGUAAUUUCAAGCCCACAAAGUGAAAUGGGGCAGGAAGGAUCCAAAUUAAAACACUCAUGGGCCAGGCCCAACUCGAGUUCCCUCUCUGCAGCCCAAAGAGAGGAGUUUGACCUAGAAUAAUUUUCCGAGAAGCGCAGCCGUCACUGCCGGAAUCAAUAUGUCCUCCGGUCAAAGAAACUACCGGGAAAGGAAGCAAAGCUCGAUACAAUCUCGGAAUCACCGGGAUGGAUCUUUGGCUCACAGCCGAGAAACUCUCUUGGCCACGCAUGACCAAGGAAAUCAAGAGGUUGCAGGGACAAAUCUUUAACGUGAUAAGACAUAUCCUCGACGCGACGGUGGAAAACGAAGACUUCCUUAGAAAGCUCUCCGGGACUUUAAAAGAUAGAUGGAGAAUGAGUUCUGGAAGGAUAAAGCAAAAAGAAGCGUCGGAAGUGAAACCCGAGAUAGAUCGCGACAAGUAGUCCAUGGGUAGAUGGCGGAAGCAGAGAUUGGCGAGAGAGACAUGUCGGAUCUGUAGAGUGGCUACGGAUAAGGGAGAGCGGUGGAAAAUAACAGAGUGAAUGGAAUAGAGUCUUCGGUUUAAAACCGAGAAAAUGUCUGGAUUUGCAGGUAACAAGGAGAAAACAUCGGCUACAAAAAGCUGUACCCGCUGCGGGGGAUACGAGUCACCGGUCACCGGCUUCGAAGCUUUUCUCCGCAAAGUAAAAUUGGAGAAGGGAGCUGCCGGGAAAGACGAUUCCAAAAGAACCACAGAAUCGAAAUUAGCAACAAAGGAGGCGAAAAUAGAAGGGACGAUCCGACGCCGGCAAGCAAAAGCUUUACCGGCGUCGGAGAUCUGAAAAAUUGUGGUUGUCUCGAUAUUCGUGUCUGAGAGAGUUUUGUCCUUUCGUAGCUCAAAGCGUUUACUCAUUAUUCGAAUUAAUUUAAUAGAAGAUAUUUAAGUAAUUACGCAAAAUCAAGGGCUCAACAAGAGCCGAGAGUCCGACACGUCAGCAAAAACACUUCUCAAAUAUUCGAAUUUUUAUAUUUUAGGGUUAGUUAAUUUUUUAAUUUUAAUUAAUAUUCGAAUUAAUUUAAUAGAAGAUAUUUAAGUAAUUACGCAAAAUCAAGGGCUCAACAAGAGCCGAGAGUCCGACACGUCAGCAAAAACACUUCUCAAAUAUUGUUAUUUAAGAAUAUUACUAUUUUUUAAAAUGUAAAAUAUAUCGAAUUUUUAUAUUUUAGGGUUAGUUAAUUUUUUAAUUUUAAUUAAUAUUCGAAUUAAUUUAAUAGAAGAUAUUUAAGUAAUUACGCAAAAUCAAGGGCUCAACAAGAGCCGAGAGUCCGACACGUCAGCAAAAACACUUCUCAAAUAUUCGAAUUUUUAUAUUUUAGGGUUAGUUAAUUUUUUAAUUUUAAUUAAUAUUCGAAUUAAUUUAAUAGAAGAUAUUUAAGUAAUUACGCAAAAUCAAGGGCUCAACAAGAGCCGAGAGUCCGACACGUCAGCAAAAACACUUCUCAAAUAUUCGAAUUUUUAUAUUUUAGGGUUAGUUAAUUUUUUAAUUUUAAUUAAUAUUCGAAUUAAUUUAAUAGAAGAUAUUUAAGUAAUUACGCAAAAUCAAGGGCUCAACAAGAGCCGAGAGUCCGACACGUCAGCAAAAACACUUCUCAAAUAUUGUUAUUAUAGAUAGAUAGAUAUGGAACUGUUUACAAUCACCAAAAACAAUCAAGAUGGAAUAGAAACAUUCGUACCCCGGUUAAAAUCCAAGGAUCCGGUUAAAAUGCAAACUAUCUUCUAACCCUAAUAACAAAGCAGAGCCAAUAACUUUAGUUCCACAUCCAAUAUCAUUAACUUAGGGCCUGUUCGGCAACCAAUCGCCAGCGACACCUUUAUUUGGGAAUUGAGCAUCAAAAUCCAGCGACCGUUCGAUCUAUAAACAACAAAAACAGUCGGAGGUGGAGUCGCUGGUUUAACUGGCGAUCAACGGCGACAUCCCAUCCAUCACCAUUUAUACAGUGGCGUUUUUUUAUUUGUCGCUAGUUUUUAAAUCUAGCGAUCCUAAUUAAAAAAUACAGUGUUUUUUUGAGUCGCUAAACACAAUCGCUGCGUUUCAGAAACAAACAGGGCCUUAGUUCUACCAAGCAUAGAUGACAGCUUAUCCUAUUUUAAUGUCCUUAGGUAUAUUUAAAUGAACUCUACGACAUAUAGACUUAACUAGCUAGUUUAAAAUACGGUAGAAGAGAAAACUAUGAAAUCAUUGUAAUUAACUUCGUCUCCAAAAAUGUUUUGUUUUGGAUUCCACAUUUACCUUAUGUUGCUGGGAGAAGGGAUCCAGUCAUCCAACACCUCGAUCACCAAGCUUUUUUUUUUUUAUAUAUAUAUAUAAUUAUGAUUUCCUUUGGUUUGGGGCAUAACGGGCUUGAAAUUAGAAACCAAACCAAAAUUCAUACAUUUAAGAUAUAUUUUGUUUUUUGGUUUCGUGCUUUUGGUUCGAUUUGGAUGAACUGAACGGUUAACCAAAUCGAAAAGAGGAAGAUUUUUUCGUUAUACAUACUUAAAACCGGUUAACGAUGUUGGAACCGUUUGAGGCCAUAAUAUUCAAUCAAACCAUGUAUAUCCCACGGGAUCAUAGUCCAUCUGUCUACGAAUAUGGGUCAUAUAUAUAUAGUGCAAUAAAGGGAUCUAAACUGUUUAUUUUGGCAGACAUAGUUCAUCUAUCUAGUCUCUUCAUCAUCGAACAUUUUGGUCGUUUACUAUUUCUGGCCCAAAAUUUAAAAAGCAUCAUUAUUCUUGGGUUAUUUUAAGUUAUGAGGCUUACUAUCUCUGACCCAAAGUUUCUUUUAAGUUUAAGUUACAAGUGUCCCAUUGAGUCGAUGAAAAACGGCAAGCACUUGAUUGUUGGAAUAUCAUCAAUUAUCCCAUGAGAAACUCGGACAUUAUUUAUUACCGUUAAGAAAAUCAAAUGAAGAGAUGUUUUUAAGUAAAUUGAAAAAAAGAAAAACAAAUGAAUUGAAACUGUAGCUUUCAGUUCAUUGGUCCCAAACUCGUAGUUGAAAACAAAGACAAAAGUUUGCUCACCACAAGCUCAUUCACAACAAAAUAGAUUUUUCAUUUUAACCAGAAUAAUAAUUAAAACAAACUUCACCAGUUGAAUCAAAAUAUUUGUUUUAAUUAUUUGUGAUAACAGUGACAAUUUUUUCAUGGAAUUGUACAAAGAAAAGUAUUAUUGAAGUUUACUCACACGGUUGCGUUUGUUGUCUUUUUUUUUUGUUAAGAAUGUAAAUAUUUUAUAAAAAAUAAAAAAAAUUUAGGUUUACAAUCGAUGAUUAUAGAACUACAACAAUGGUCCCAUGGCAAAAAAAAUAAAAGCAUGGAAGCGUUUGUUGUCUCUUGCCACCGCAACAAAUCAUUCGUCUUCGUCUUAUUUGUUUGUUUCUUUACGUUUGUGUUCUUGUUUAAUUUCAUGUUAUAACAUAAACAUGCAAACGUAAACACACACACACACGGUUAUGGUGCCGCUCUAUCACCGGCUCCAAGGUUAGUCAUGAGCACCAUUAAUAAACGGUCCGUGAUAAGCUUAUGUCUAUUUGCAAUCAAGGAGCUCCCCGUUAUAAUUUUAUUCUUCCACAUUCUUUCAAAAAUAUUUAGAUUAACUGAAAAUUACCUAGUUUGACUCAAAUUUAGAGAAAAAUAACUAGAUUAACACCCAAAUAUUGUGGUUUACUAGAAUAACACAAAUUUUGUGUUAAAAGACCAAAUACCCAUUUUAUUUUCAGUUCUAUUAAAAUAAAUAGAAAAUUAAAAAAUACAAAAAAAAAUUAUAAAACCAAAAAAAACGAAAAUUGAGAAAAAAAAAUACAAAUGAAAAUAUAUAUAUAAAUUGAAAAAAUAAAAAAAAUAAAAAAACAAAAAGAAAACAACUACCCAUUUUAUUUUCAAUUCAAUUAAAAUAAAAUAAUUAACAUAUAAUAACUAAAUUAGAAAAAAAAUUAGAAAAAAAAUUACAAAACGACAAAAAAAUUAAAAUGAAAAAAAAUACAUAACAAAAAAAAUAAAAAAUAAAACAAAAAAAAAUAAAACAAAAAAAAAUAAAACAAAAAAAUACAAAAAAAAAUAAAAAAGAAAAAAUAUAUAAAAACAAAGAAAAAAUUAUCUUUAUCAUAUAUUAACAAGGAGACAGGCACACAUGAACCAUCGAUUAUAAAUAAGUCUGUCGCGAUAAGAAUAUGUCUGUCAUUACCUUAUUGUGCAGAUUAAAAUUUUAUUUUCAUCAAUAAAACUGUCAUCAUACGACAGAUUUUUUUAUAGUCUAUCUGAAAUCUGUCAUAAUAUAAAAAAAAUCUGUCAUAACAUAAAAUAUUUCGGUUGUGAGUAUAUGUCAUUCUAGCAAUUUAUAUUUUUAUGUAACAAAUCUGCUAUCAAACUCCAGAUUUUUGUUAAGAAAAAAAAAUUGUCAUAACAUAAAAUAAAUCUGUUAUCACUAAUAAGUCAAACUAGUAUUUAUAUUUUUAAUAACAGAUCUUCUACAUUAUGACAUAUUUUUCUCGAAAAAUAUAAGUCUGACGCCACUAAAACAAUAAAUCUGCCACACAUUUUAAUAAAUCUGUCAAAAUUACGAAAGUCUGUGGUGUCAUCAUAAAAUAAAUCUGUCGUGAGAAAAAAAUCUGCUACAAAUUAAAUAUUUGUCGUAACCUAUUUUAAGUAAGUCUGUAAGAGAAAAAAAAUCUGUCGCAAAAAAUAUGUCAUAGAAAAAUAAGUCUGUCAUGGUAAAUAAACCUGUCACAACUAACCCAGCAAAUUUUUCAAAUAUUUUUUUUUCCAAAUUUUUUUUCACCACGUUUUUUAAAUAUAUUUAAGGGUAUUUUUGACUUUUUUUUAUUCCUAACAAAAAGAGAAAGAGUAUUAUGGUCAUGAAAAUAACUCAUUUAACCCCUAAAUUUUUUGAGACAUUCUAGUAAUUAAACUCAUAAUUUGGGUUAAUCUAGUAACUUUCCCUUAGGGCAUAUGCAAUUAUGCAUCUAUGUAACUUUGAAGAUUGAUCUUAGGUGUAAAAUAAUCUUAAAACAUUCUAAGAGAGAGAAGAAAAAAAAAAGAAGGAAGAGAGGAAAUUAUGGAACCAAUACUUUUCAGACACGUGGCUCAUAACUUGUAUUAGAACAGAUCUUGCAGAAGAUCGCAAUUCAGGUUCGUCUUCUACUGUUUGAAUUUUUUCAAAUUUUUAAUACCUAAGAAUACUACUUGUGUUGCUGCGAUACUUAUGGUCUUAGAUUAAUCCAUUUUAUUCUAAUAAAUCAUUUUUUGUUGCAAUAAAGUUUUACAUUACAAAAAAGCCGCACACACAAACAAUGGGAUAAUGACUACAUGAUGGAAAAAAAAAAAAUUAGAACUAAUUGGAAAUCGAUUGCUUCUCUUGUCUUUGAAAUUGAAAUCUAUUGUAAUUUUUUUUUUUAUCAAAUGAAAGUUUACGAGAAUCUGCAUUUUAAAGCCUACUUUCACAAGAAUCUGAUUUUUCGUGAUUUCGAAAUUCGUAGACCGUUUUGCCUUGCUAUUUCCGAGUUAACCAGAGAAUCGUUCAAGUACAUAUACAUAUGAUAUGCUAUUUACAGCGAAAAAGAUGAUGAUUGUUGGCAUCAUAAUUAAUGACAUGUAGAGGCCAGUAGUCCUUUUACGAAAGUUGCACUUCUUUUUUAAUUACAAACACACAUGAUAUCAUUUCCAUUCUUGUCGCUAUCAAGUCACAUGUGGGUGUGGCCCUUCACGUCCACUGAUUGUCAAAUCUCGAAUAUCAAUUUCAAAAUAUAUAUAUAUAUAUAUAUAUAUAUAUGUACAUAGAUUGCUUUUCAUCUCAGUUUCUAAUUCAGGCUGUGUUAAUUAAUUCAAUGAUAUAUAUCAUCUUAAAUAUUACUCGAGUUCAUAGAUUUGUUUCAUUGACCUCUGGCUAUGAUACAUAUUAUACAUAGCUAACGCUAGCUUUUAAUACAAAUGUAGAAGAAAACUAUGAAAACACAUUGUAUAUAACUUUAUGCCGGGAAAAGGGAUCCAACAUCUCACCAACCAGAGUGUCGGGCCGUAGAUGAUAUAUUGGCUAGCUAGCUUUUUUUUUUUUUUGUUGGAAAAUCAAACUUAAUUAGCUAUAUAUAUUUUUUACUACAAUAGUAGAAGGAAACUCAUUGUAACAUUUGCUGGGAGAAAGGAUCCAACAUCUCACCAGGCUUUAGACUGAACUAGCUGACUAUGAGAUCUUAGAUAGCUCCAAUAAUUAUUUAUUUUCGUUUUCUGAAUGAAACGAUCUUUAUUCUUUUAUUUUAAACCAAAUCAGUUAUAUAGAAGAUUAAUUAAGUCACUAUUAAAAAGUAUCAGAUCAUCUCACAAAUUGUAGCAACAAAACCAUUCAAGGAUCUCAAGUAUAAAACUCCAUCAUAUAUAGAAAAAAGCCUAUGCAUAUAUCGUUCAACUAGCAAAUAUUUGGAACUCAUGACUUGACUUUGAGAAAUACCUCAUUCAAUAGAGGUGUGUUAGUUAGCCUAUAUCUAUAGCUAGUAAGGGUCUGAAAGCAGGGCCGGCUCAUGGCUAAAGCCCAACAAGUCAAUGUUUUAGACAUCAAAGUUUAUAAAUAUGUUUUGGGCAUCAAUAUUAUAAGUGCCCAGUAGUGUAGUGGUUGAGAGUCUUAUUGGGAGGUGCUUAACUUGGUUCUUAGCUCAAAAGAGAUUAAAAUUAAAGAUUUAAUUGAUGAUUUUGCUAAGGAAUGACUCUUAGCUAAGAGUAAAAUAUUGGGCUAAGAACCAAAAAAAUUACUAAGAACCAAAACUAAGCACCUCCCAAUAAUGUUGCUCUAACCAAGGUUCGAGCCCUCUUACUUCUUUUUUCCAAAACCGAAUAGUUUUCUUAUUUUUUUAUUUUAUUUUAAAUCUGCUCGAUUAUUUGAGUUUUCUAACUUCAAUUUCCUUUUUUAUUAUUUUAUUAGAUUGAUUAACAUUAAAUUAUUCACUAAACAAUUUAAUUUGUUUUUAAAACUUAUUUUGCUAAGUCUUUUUUUUUUUUACUAAACAAGUAUAUUAGAUUGAUUAACAUUAAAUUAUUAUUAUUAUUAUUUUUUAAACAAUGAUGCUUUUGCCUUUUCUGUUUUUGGUUUUAACUUUUAACACUUUUUUUUUUAACUCAUGUUAACAUUAAGUUUCAAAGAAUUAUGUUGUUUUGUUAUGCAUAAAAAAAAAAAUUGGGGCAACAACUUUUUGGUUUGCUUUAGGCAUCAAUUAACUUUGGACCGGCACUGCCUGAAAGUAUUUGGAAAUUACAAUUUUUUCCUUCAUGUUCACAAUGAAUUAGAUUUUAAAAAAUGUGAUGUGGAAACGAGCAACAACAAUUAUUGUAGCUCUUGAGGACCCAUAUAAGGUCGUGCAUGUCCACUUAUACGUAAUGAGACAAUUCUGUCCUUUUUCAUAAGAGCAUCUUCGACAGCUUAAUUUGCGAGCCUCAUUCACGUCAAUAUAUAAGGGGUAUGGUACCACGGUAGAUGAUUGAUUAUUUACUUCCAUCUAUAUAUAAGUACUCCAUCGGCGGAUAUAUAAGUUGACCAGCAGAUAUAUAUAUUUUUUAAUUGUUUUAAUAGUGAGCCUAGAACCGUUGAAAUGGCAUGAUCAAUAAUGUGUAAUUUCUGAGCAUCAAAUAUAUUUAAAGAAUAUAGUAAAAAAAAAAAACAAGAUAUCCGAUUGAUCAAUAAUGUUGGGACAGACCAAAACCAAAAUACCGAAAACGUUAAAGAGACAAAUGCGACAAUUAGAUAUUGAACUUUAAAGUUGUGGCUCUGAUCCAGUAUGGCCACUACUUCACUUAAAUUUGUUGUGUUACCAACAAAACAGGGAACCCAAUUAGCUCCACUAAGUAAAAGGGAUUAUUAAUGUGCAAUCAUAUUUGAUACUACUUUCCGAUUUAAAAAUAGCAUAUAUGCAUUAUUCUUGCGUUUUUUUAUAACGUAUAUGGAUCUAUUUAUUUUAAUAUUACUGUAUAAGAUAAACAUAAUAUUUGUUCAAGCACUAUUUCAAAAUUACAAACUUAAAUGCAAAUAACAAAAAUACUAAAGUGUACGUCUCUUUCAAGUUGUGACUAUAUGUUACAAAUAUAUACACAUAAUCAUCCUUUAUUCAAUAGAUAAUAUUGUUAGGGUGACUUUCUCGCUGCUAAUAUGACCGCGACACAUAGAUUAAAGGGAGACUCACAAAAAUGCCCCUUUUUCAAUACCCUUUUUCAAAAAUAUCCCAUUUGGCUGUCUAUUUUUUAAAAUGCUAUUUUUAUGUACAAAAUGACUAAAUUACCCUUCUUUUCAUAAAAGAUAUCACAAAUAUAUAAGGAAAUAUAACAAAAUUAGAUCUACAAAAUACAAAAUAUUUUUUGGCGGGAAAAGUGAUCCCGCAAUUUUCCCGCCAAAACACUUGUAAAAAUUUGUAAAACCUUUAAAAUACCUUGUAAAAUUUUCCCGUAAAAUUUUUUCUCGACAAAAAAAUUUCCCGCCAAAAAAAUUUUUUUGCGGGAAAAGUGAUUCCGCAAAUUUUUUGGCGUUAAAUUUUUGGCGGGAAAAAUUUACAAGAUAUUUUAAAGGUUUAUUACAGGGUGUUUAUAAGGUUUUACAAAGUAUUUAUAAGGUAUUUAUAAGAUAUUAUAAGAUUUUACAAGCUAUUUUAUAAGGUUUUACAAGUUUUUUAUAAGGUUUUACAAGUUAUAAAUACCUUAUAAAACCUUAUAAAUACCUUGUAAAACCUUUUAAAAUACAUUGUAAAACCUUACAAAACACUUGUAAAUACUCCGUAAAACCUUUAAAAUACCUUGUAAAUUUUUUCCGCCAAAAAAUUGCGGAAUCACUUUUCCCGCAAAAGAAAUUUUUUGGCGGGAAAAACUUUUGCGGAAAAAUUUUACAAGGUAUUUUAAAGGUUUUUACAAGUGUUUUGGCGGGAAAAUUGCGGGAUUACUUUUCCCGCCAAAAAAUAUUUUGUAUUUUGUGGACUUAAUUUUGUUUCAAACAAGGGUAAAAUGGUCAUUAAAAAUUAAAAGAGGGCAAACUUAAAAAUGGACUCUCAAAUGGGACAUUUUUGAAAAGGGAUAUUGAAAAAGUGCCAUUUUUAACAAUUUCUCUAGAUUAAAUUUUGUUGAAAAUAUGUUACUUCGGAAAUAUGCUAAAACAAGUCCACGAAAAAGCUUCGCUAAAUAGAUUUGCCUAAAUAUAUACAAUAUUAAAUUUAUGUUUUUCUUUACCAUUUAGAACUAGGCAUAUAUAUUUUUUUGUUAUGGAUUUCUUUCUUCCUCUCUCUAUAUAUAGUAUAUUUGGCUUUGGGGGAGAAGGAAGAGACUUACUUUGGAUAUCAAACAUGUCUAGCUCUCUAUUCUAACUCUACCCUAUCUACAACAUACAUAAAUCUCUCUCUCUCUCCGAUUAUAUUUGGAAAUUAAUUAAGUUGGAUCUACAAGUGAAGAUUGAUCGAUGUUAGCUCUGUCUCCUGCGACAAGAAAUGGUUGCGACGGAGCGUCAGAGUUUCUUGAUACGUCGUGUGGAUUCACGAUCAACCCGGAGGAGGAGGAUGAGUUUCCGGACUUUGCUGACCACGGCGAUCUUCUUGACAUCAUCGACUUCGACGAUAUAUUCGGUGUCGCCGGAGAUGUGCUUCCUGACUUGGAGAUCGACCCCGAGAUCUUAUCCGGGGAUUUCUCUGAUCACAUGAACGCUUCUUCAACGAUUACUACGACGUCGGAUAAGACUGAUAGUCAAGGGGAGACUAACAAGAGUAUUUCGGGGAAAGGUGAAGAAGUUGUAAGCAAAAGAGACGAUGCUGCGGCGGAGACGGUGACUUAUGACGGUGAUAGUGACCGGAAAAGGAAGUAUUCCUCUUCAGCUUCUUCCAAGAACAAUCGGAUCAGUAACAACGAAGGGAAGCGAAAGGUGAAGGUAAUUAUUAAUCAUAGAUAAAAAUAAACCCUAGCUAGCUAUAAUCAAUUAAAUGAACCCAUCUAAAAUUUAUAUUUCUUGCUAAAUCUUCUAAAGUUUUCUUAGCAAACAAAAUACAAACUUCUAAAUUUUCAUAUUUCAGUCUGUUCACAAAAAUUGUGUAAAAAGAGUCAUCACGUGCAUAAUAGAUUCCGACAAGUAAUGAAUAAGAAAAUCAAUUCCGACAAUUAAUUUCUUUUCAAAAUGUAAAACAGUGCUAAUUGUGAAUUUUCUUGUCAUUAUUAGUAUAUAGUAGUAUGUGAUAAAGUAUUGAAAAAAAUAUGAAGAUGGUUUAUUGUUGGGAUGUGUAAAGGUGGAUUGGACACCAGAGCUACACAGGAGAUUCGUGGAGGCAGUGGAACAGUUAGGAGUGGACAAAGCUGUUCCUUCUCGAAUUCUGGAGCUUAUGGGAGUCCAUUGUCUCACUCGUCACAACGUUGCUAGUCACCUCCAAGUAAGCAUUUAUUUAUUUACAAUUUCAUUCUCUAUAUAACUAACCAACCAAAUUAACUGUUUGUUAUUAUUUAAUUUUGUGUUCUAGAAAUAUAGGUCUCAUCGGAAACAUUUGCUAGCUCGUGAGGCCGAAGCCGCUAAUUGGACACGUAAACGGCAUAUCUAUGGAGUAGACACCGGAAGUAAUAUUAAUGGUCGGAAUAAAAAUGGAUGGCUUGCACCGGCACCCACUCUCGGGUUUCCACCACCGCCACCUGUCCACCACCAUCAUUUUAGACCCUUGCAUGUGUGGGGACAUCCCACGGUUGAUCAGUCCAUCAUGCCGCAUGUGUGGCCAAAACACUUACCUCCACCUUCUACCGCCAUGCCUAAUCCGCCGUUUUGGGUCUCCGAUUCUCCAUAUUGGCAUCCAGUAAACUUUCUAGCUUUUUGUUUUUUGUUUUUUUACAUCAUAGUCUUUUAACAUUAUGAAUAAACCUGUUAGCUAAUGACACCAAAUAUUUGUAUCAUAUAUAUAUGCUUGUCUUCCUAACCAACAUUUUUUGCAUGUAGAUGCAUAACGGGGCGACUCCGUAUCUGCCGACCGUAGCUACGGUAAUGAACCAACAUAUCUAAGAUUGUUUCCGUAUAUAUACCUUUUUUUUGGCUCAUAUGUUUACAUAUAUGUGUUUUAAACUGUAUUUUUGACUGCUAAUUGUAUAGAGAUUUAGAGGACCGCUGGUUGCGGGAAUCCCACAUGCUCUGCCGCCACAUCACACAGUGUACAAACCAAAUCAUGGCUUUGGUGGUGCUCGUCCUCCGGUGGACUUACAUCCGGUAAGAAUCUAAUAUAAUGGAUUGAUUGUUGUCGAGUUUGACUUUUCGCAUUUGAUUAUGUAAUAAUGUUUGUUUUUUACUUAUUGUGUUUAUUACAAAUUAAAUGGAACAGUCAAAAGAGAGCGUGGAUGCAGCCAUAGGAGAUGUAUUAACGAGGCCAUGGCUGCCACUUCCGUUGGGAUUGAAGCCACCGGCUGUUGACGGUGUUAUGACGGAGCUUCACCGUCACGGUGUCUCCAAGGUUCCUCCGACAGCGUCUUGUGCCUGAAACGCACAAGCGCCGUAGGCAAACCGAACCAAACAAAAUUCGACGACAUGUCUUUCAAUUAUGGUACCUUUAUUUUUCCAAGGGUUGUUUUUGUUUUUUUGACCCUUGUUGAGUGUUAAGAGUUUAGGGUCUCUUUACUUAAUCGUCCCAUGUGACUAAUAAGGAGCCUUUUCAUAUGUAUAACGUAGGGUACUAAUACACUCUCUAUUAACGCAAAUAAAUGACCUAUAUCAUCUCUAACCGUUGGUGAUUUAGAACUUGAUUGCUUUUAUAUAGUCUUUAUAAAUAUAACAUAUAUAGUAGUUAUCAUUAUCAAAUGAUCAUGAAUUGUAAUUCCGGACGCAUAUAACUAUAUAAGUUCAACGCAAAGUCGCGAAGAAUGUCCACGAGAUACAUGACUAAACAUAACUGAAUAUUACCAUAUAAAUUAAAAAACGUAUUGUUGGGAUAGAGAGAACAAUGACAUAAAAUAUAUAAUAAUGAGGAGAGAGAAGAGGACCACGAGAUAAGAGGAGAAGGAAGUGCAUGGAGGCAACGUAAAAUCCAACGUAACGACCUCUUCUUUCUCCAAUUGUGACCACUCUCUCUCUCUCGUCUCCUUCAAAUUUUGAAUGGUCCCUCUCUCUCUUCAUAAUUCAUAUACAUGCGGAUACUAUUACUAGUAUCUCAUUUUGCACUCACACAUGUACACAUAUCUUUUUAUGUAUAUGUACGUAUUUAUAUUAUAUAAAUAUUUAAACCAAAAAUGCAUGGUCUUAAAUCCCAAUAUAACCAAAAUGAAUACUCGGUUCAAAUUGUAAGCUUGAUUUAGCAAAUUUUGAAACUAAUUAACACACUUGAUGUAAUAAUGGUUUUUUUUUGAUAAAUAAAUUUUACAUUCAUUAAAAAAAAAUACUCGGUUCAAAUUCAAAAAUUUAAAAUGACUUUGGUCUAAGACAAAAAGACAAAUCAUUUUUUUCUUUAAAACAGGACAUUCCAAACCGAAAUGCAUACUAGUUUUUGGUGCCUACAUAUAUUUUUUUUUUUUUUUUGAUAAACCCUAUCGGUGUGUUCCUACAUAUCUACAUUGGCUAAUUUUUACUAAAAUCAAAGUGAAAAUAAUAAAACCAUGGUCUCUAGAGUGAAAGAUUUCAACUACUAAAUUACCAUGAGAUAUAUGGUUAAACAUUGUCAUUUUGAAUAUACAAGGAUCAUGAGAUAUUUCAAUAAUUUUACAAAAAGACCACCAGAUCCAAUCCAGUGAAUUAGACGAAACUAUGACCUCAUUAGGUUGUGAACAGUUUUUGUCUGCAAUGAUUCGAAAAGAGAAUGAAAAUAUGUCGAAAAACGUCUUCAACUCUUAGGAGACAGUUCUUUAGGAGACUCGAAUAAAUCAAAAUGGGAUUAGGAAGUUCAACCAUACAGAAAUAUGAAAACAUCAUAAAUAAUUAAUGGGAGACUCACAAAAAUGCCUUUUUUUCAAUACCCUUUUUCAAAAAUGCCUCUUUUGGAUGUCCAUUUUUAAAAAUACCCCUUUUAUGUACAAAAUGACUAAAUUACCCUUCUUUUAAUAAAAGAUAUUAUAAAUAUAUAAGGAAAUAUAACAAAAUUAGGUCCACAAAAUACAAAAUAUUUUUUGGCGGGAAAAGUGAUCCCCCAAUUUUUCCCGCCAAAACACUUGUAAAAAUUUGUAAAACCUUUAAAAUACCUUGUAAAAUUUUCCUGUAAAAUUUUUUCCCGCCAAAAAAUUUUCCCGCCAAAAAUUUUUUUUUGCGGGAAAAGUAAUUCCGCAAUUUUUUUGGCGGGAAAAUUUUUCCCGCCAAAAAUUUACAAGGUGUUUUAAAGGUUUUUUACAAGGUAUUUAGAAGGUUUUACAAUGUAUUUUAAAAGGUUUUACAGCGUGUUUUCAAGAUAUUUAUAAGAUAUUAUUAGAUUUUCCAAGCUUUUUUAUAAGGUUUUUACAAGUUAUAAGGUUUUACAAGUUUUUUAUAAGGUUUUACAAGUUAUAAAUACCUUAUAAAACCUUAAAAGUACCUUGUAAAACCUUUUAAAAUACAUUGUAAAACCUUACAAAACACUUGUAAAUACCUUGUAAAAAACCUUUAAAAUACCUUGUAAAUUUUUCCCGCCAAAAAAAUUUCGCAAAAAAAAUUGCGGAAUCACUUUUCCCGCAAAAAAAUUUUUUUGGCGGGAAAAUUUUUUGGCGGGAAAAGUUUUUACGGGAAAAUUUUACAAGGUUUUUUAAAGGUUUUUACAAGUGUUUUGGCGGGAAAAUUGCGGGAUCACUUUUCCCGCCAAAAAAUAUUUUGUAUUUUGUGGACCUAGUUUUGUUUCAAAUAAGGGUAAAAUGGUCAUUAAAAAUUAAAAGAUGGCAAACUUAAAAAUGGACUCUCAAAGGGGGCAUUUUUGAAAAGGGGUAUUGAAAAAGGGGUAUUUUUAACAAUUUCUCAUAAUUAAAUAUGAUGAAUAUUCGUAUUUUUUAUUUUAGACAUUUGGGCCCAUGUAAGAAGAACUCACUAAAUGAGCCCAAUAAGAUUAAUGGGCUUACGAAAUUGACAUUAAAAAAGUUGUAAUGGGCUGAUUGAUUCUAUAGUGUAGAAAUCUUGAUCGAGGGGUUAUCUUCUCCGAUUUCAUAUAUUGUGCUUUGCUUUUAGAGUUGCAGAAGAGAUUGUUUGUUUAAUUCCUGAAAUUAGAGAGUUUUCGAUAGCACAAGCAUAGGCUUCUCGAUUCGUCUGAGUGUUCAAAUUCCAAGCUCUUUCAAAGGGUUCUUCAGAUUGAUUUUGUGCUAAUUUGACGAAGAUGGCUCCAACGCCGGAUCCCAACAGUGUCGGAGGCGGUGCGAAGCAAGAUGAAGCUACCUUGAAGGUUCCGUCUAAGGAUCCCAAGAAGAAGGACGAGAAAAAAGAUGAGGACUUGGUAUGUUUCUUCUUUCUCGGUUUUGAUUUGGCUAAUUCCUUUUUCGUCAUUGGGUUUCGUGUUUAGUAUCUGGGUUCAUCAGAAAGGAAUUUAAUUUCAAAUCUGUAAGAUCUGCAGUUAGGUUUUCAAUUGGAAUCUCAAUCAUUGUAGAAUUAGGGUUUAGAAAGUGAGUGUCUUGUCGUCAUUCCACUAGCCGGAUUAUAAAGUUGUUAACUUUAUGAUGGGAGGAGAGUUUUUUUUUUGUGUGUAUAUUGUCACUUUCUUACUGACUCGACUUACAUUGGGUUGUGAUUGUAGUCUGAAGAGGACUUGGAACUAAAGCAAAACCUUGAGCUCUAUGUUGAGAGGGUUCAGGAUCCUAAUCCCGACUUGCAGAAGGCUGCUCUUGAAAGCAUGAGGUAAGUCUUGACUUGAUUAGCUUGGAGUUUUCAGAUUACUGUCUUUAAAGCUUGUACAACUUAUAAAGUUUUUCUCUUUUCUGCUGUUAGUGUACUUGUUUGUGUUUCUAAUUACUCCUUGUUUUAAUCUAACCUUGUUGGAGUUUUUUUUGUUUGGUUUUGUAGGCAGGAAAUCCGAGCUUCAACAAGCUCCAUGACUUCAGUUCCCAAACCACUAAAGUUUCUCCGUCCCCAUUAUGGAACUCUCAAAGCGUUCCAUGAAACAAUGGCCGAUUCUGAUCUCAAGGUAUGUCAUCAUAAAUUUCAAGUCAUACCUCGUUAACACCUUCUUUGUUCCUAUUCUUGGGUAUGGCUUAAAGAUUUCUUUUGCUAUGUUUGCAGAAGUAUCUGUCCGAUAUCCUGUCUGUCCUGGCCCUUACCAUGUCUGCGGAGGGUGAAAGGGUAUGCUUCUGAUAACUCCAUUGAGUUCAUUUUUUUUUUUCUUUUUUGAGGCAUAUUUUGAACUGCUAUUCACUUUCUUUUACAAUAUUAUUCCAGGAAAGCUUAAGUUUUAGGUUGAUUGGAACAGAGGGUGACAUUGGAUCGUGGGGUCACGAGUAUGUCAGGAAUUUAGCUGGAGAGAUUGCUCAAGAGUAUACAAAGCGUCAGGUUAGAAAUCAGUUUUCCAUUUUGUCUUUGGCAAUUCAGUUUCUCAUCCUAGGACUUUUGCACAUAUUCUAAGGUUAUUGGAAGUUGUGUUUGGGUUUAUCCUUCUGAAUUCUGAUGGUUGGAGUUUUAAGGAAUGACUGUAUGUGUCUUAUUCAAUGAAAAAGGUUACUGAGUCAUAUUUAUCUACCUGUUCAUUAUCUCAGAGUGAGGAGGCCUCUAUUGACGAUUUAAUGGAGCUUGUGCAACAAAUUGUUGCUUUUCAUAUGAAGGUGAAUUCUUAACGAUUGUUAUAUUUCUUGUUUCUUUGGCCCGUAUCGAGAUAUUUCUUGGUUCAUUUCUGUCUAAACUAUUUCAUUUUAAUCCUUGCAGCAUAAUGCAGAAACCGAAGCUGUUGACCUUUUAAUGGAUGUUGAGGAUCUUGAUCUCUUACUUGAGCAUGUAGACAAAACAAAUUUCAAGAGAACAUGCAACUAUCUCACAAGUGCAGCAAAGUACUUUAAACAUAGUCAAUCCUAUUUAUUUUAUUUUUCUUCACUCUUUGUUGUGAGCUUUCUUUAUAUUGCUCACAAAAAUCUCUUAUACAUUUGAAUUUUCAGGUACCUUCCUGGACCAGAUGACAUGUUGGUUCUAGAUAUUUCCUACAUGAUUUACAUGAAGUUUGAAGAAUAUCCAAACGCUCUGCAGAUUGCAUUAUUUCUUGAUAACGCGCAGGUAGGACUUUAAUCUUUCUAUAGAACGUAGUUUCAUAUUAUUCUUUUUUUUUUUUUAUGUGUGUGAAGCAGCUGGAAAAAUCAAUCCUUAGUUUAAGUAUUUCGUGUAUUUGUGUAGAUUUUUUUUAUGUUUAAUGUACUCUAUGAUGUAUUUUCUGUAUUGCAGUAUGUUAAACAAGUAUUUACCUCAUGUACGGAUCUGCUGAAGAAGAAACAGUUCUGCUACAUGAUUGCUCGUCAUGUAAGUCCUUAACUAUUUCUACUUUACUAUAUUUAAUAAUUCUAUCUCAUUCCUUCUUUUCUGUAAGUAUGUUUUGAUUUUGGAUCUUUACUCCUAUAUGCUUUAAGAUUUGGUUGUGCUUUUAUUCGAUUCUAUUUUAAUUUCCAGCUGUUACAUAAAGUUAACAGAUAAAAAAACGAGAACACUGUUUGUAGUUGUUAUCAAGCAUGAUCUAGAGGGAAUUUGAAUCUGUUUCUUGAUUAAAUCAUGUUUUUUCUUUUGUUUAGUCCAAUUUUGUUUAAUUUUCUGGAAGACCUCAUUCUUUAGCAACACUGGCCUACUCCCGUUCUCUUCUAAGGCAGACACCGAUUAACUGCUGCAUCACUGUUUAAAAUUGCCAUCCGUAUAGAGACAGAAUAACCGACGGACGUACUUUCUUAUACUUCUUCUCUCUUCGUACGCCUCCCUGCAGGGUAUAACCUUUGACCUUGACGAUGAGAUGGUUGCAGAUGAUGAUGACCGAGAAGCCCUACAGGAUAUUGUUAACAACACUAAGUUAAGUGAAGGAUAUCUGACUCUUGCAAGGGAUAUUGAGGUCAUGGAGGCCAAAACGCCUGAAGACAUCUACAAGGUAAAUCAGUUUUAAUGGAUUUUAGGCCUGCUAUUCAUUUAUUCAGUCACAAAUUAUGUUUUCCUCAGUCUUUGACCUGCCCUUUUGAACUUUUUAGGCUCACUUGCUCGACGGCAGGGCUAGCUCUGGUGCAAGCGCGGAUUCUGCUAGACAGAAUUUGGCUGCUACCUUUGUCAAUGCAUUUGUAAAUGCUGGUUUUGGUCAGGUAUGGUUGCAGAUUGUUAUAAAAUAGAUAUAGUGGAAGACGUGUCGUCUUAAUAUAUUUGCUUAUCGCAGGACAAACUAAUGACAGUACCUUCAGACUCGACCACCGGAUCUUCUGGAAAUUGGCUCUUCAAAAAUAAAGAACAUGGCAAGACUAGUGCAGCUGCUAGUCUGGUAUGCUUUUUCUUAUUUGAUAAAUUUAUUUGCUGUGUUUAGAUCAUGGAAGUAGAAAUUGUAACCAGAUCUUUUUGUUUACCUAUCAUAGGGUAUGAUUCAACUGUGGGAUGUGGACUCAGGACUUUCUCAACUCGACAAAUAUUUCCAUAGUAAUGAUAAUCCUAUCAUUGCUGGAGCACUGCUGGGAGUUGGGAUUGUAAAUUGUGGCAUUAAGAACGAUUGUGAUCCUGUGAGUUAAUGUCAUGUUUGAUUUUGCUGGAACCAUUUGUGCUAAUAUUUGCAGCCAUUCUUCCAUCUUACUCAGCUUUAUUUCUCAGGCAUUGGCACUUCUUGGAGACUAUAUAGACAAAGAGGAUUCAUCUGUCAGAAUUGGUGCUAUCAUGGGUCUGGGAAUUUCAUACGCAGGUUCCCAAAAUGACCAGGUCAAGACUUGUUAUAUUAUUUCCCAUAUUACUUGAAUGUUUCGGGUGUUCACGGAACAUUAACAUGCUCACUGUUUCAACAGAUUCGAAGCAAAUUGUCCCCGAUACUGAAUGAUGCGAAAGCGCCUCUCGAUGUGAUUGCAUUUGCUUCACUUUCUUUGGGAAUGAUAUAUGUUGGUUCCUGUAACGAAGAAGUAGCACAAUCUAUUAUAUUUGCUUUGAUGGAUCGAAGUGAGGCAGAACUGGGAGAUGCCCUCACUCGAUUCUUGCCACUUGGUCUUGGACUUCUAUACCUGGGCAAACAGGUUGGCAAUUUGUUGUACUUAAUCUUGCUCUUUGUACCUUAUCAUUAUUUGCGUGGCUUGACCAACAUCAACUUGUUCCAAUAUCUACCAGGAAAGUGUAGAGGCUACAGCUGAAGUUUCAAAGACGUUCAAUGAGAAGAUUAGAAAGUAUUGUGAUAUGACACUUCUUUCUUGUGCUUAUGCUGGAACUGGGAAUGUCCUAAAGGUAUCUAAUCAAUUGUGCUGGUGGUUGAGUGACGUAGUUCAUUACUUUCUUGUUUAGUUGUUGACUCCUACUUAUAUAUUCAGGUCCAAGACCUUCUUGCUCAGUGUGGCGAGCAUCUUGAGAAAGGUGACAUCCACCAGGGUCCAGCUGUGCUUGGGUUAGCAAUGGUUGCUAUGUCUGAAGAACUGGGCGUUGAUAUGGAGAUUCGUUCUUUGGAGCGGAUGCUACAAUAUGGAGAACAAAACAUUCGGCGUGCUGUACCUUUGGCCCUUGGUCUCCUUUGUAUAUCCAAUCCAAAGGUAAAUACUUUUGUAAAUGUAGUUUUACUUCGCCUGCUUACAAUUGUUAGUGGUUGUAUAGAGUAAUGCUGGUUUUUAAUAUUUUUCUCACAAUUCCAGGUGACUGUAAUGGACACCUUGAGCCGACUUAGCCAUGACACAGAUUCGGAAGUUGCCAUGGUUAGCAAUCAUUUCACUUCAUAGCCUGUCCCGUAUUAGUUAGUUGAAUAGUAUUGAGAGGGGGCUGAUCUUUCUUUUGACUCCUACAGGCAGCAAUUAUAUCAUUGGGACUGAUUGGCGCUGGAACUAAUAACGCAAGGAUAGCUGGGAUGCUUCGGAACCUCUCCAGCUAUUAUUACAAGGAUGCCAAUCUUCUCUUCUGUGUAAUGUGUUCCCCAUUUUUUGUUUUCGUACCCUGCGAUAAACUGUUGUUCUUGUUGGAAUUAUUGUACUCACUGGGUAAGUCAUUAUGCAGGUGCGUAUUGCUCAAGGGCUGGUGCACAUGGGAAAGGGUCUCUUAACACUCAGCCCCUUCCACUCUGAACGGUUCUUGCUAUCGCCGUAAGUUCAUUCUUUUUUUUACCGCUAGAACCAAAUAUUUUUUGAUAGUUGGAUGUUCAAAGGUUUCUCAUGUGGACCUUAUUUAUGCAGAACCGCACUUGCUGGUAUAGUGACACUUUUGCAUGCAUGCCUUGACAUGAAACCAAUCAUACUCGGGAAGUACCAUUAUGUGCUGUACUUCCUCGUUUUGGCGAUGCAAGUGAGUUCAAUUUCUGUCCCGUUUACUCCCCUCAUGUUAUUUAGGUCUGAUGAACUUGCUAUGAUUUGAUUUUUAAUCAAAUUUUGUUAAAAAAUGUGUAGCCAAGGAUGAUGUUGACAGUGGACGAAAACCUGAAGCCAUUGUCAGUGCCAGUGCGGGUAGGACAAGCAGUUGAUGUGGUUGGACAAGCGGGUCGGCCCAAGACCAUAACCGGUUUCCAGACACACUCCACACCUGUUCUCCUGGCUGCUGGAGAGAGAGCCGAACUAGCCACCGACAAGUAUGUUCUUCUUCCUUUCUUCCUUGUACUCUUUCGUUUUCUCAUAUGAAAAGCUUCUCGGUAUCUGAUUAUAAAACUCGGAUUGUAAAUGUCAAACAGAUACAUUCCUCUGUCGCCGAUACUGGAAGGAUUCAUCAUCUUAAAGGAGAAUCCAGACUACAGAGAGGAGUGAAGAGAUGUUUUCUCGAGACCACCCAUAGGAGAGAGCUUCUGCUUCCUGCUACAUUCUCAAUUCUCACUAGUUUUAUUAUUUCGUCUAUGUUUUUAUGCCUUCUUUUUUUCUUUCUAUCUCCGUUUAAGCUUUGUUUCAUUAUCUCGGGAUCUUUGUAUGACUUGACGCUUUAAUUAUAUAACUUAAGCCUGUUUUUUGUUUUAAACUUUUUAUUAUAGUUUUCUGAAUAAGGGUUUACGAAAACUAUUAAAAUACAUUAAACAAAAGCCAAAAAUUAGUAAAAUCUUCCUAUCAUUCAAAGUUUUGUUAUAGAUUCUUCCCAAAAUCAAUAUUGAAUCAACUUUUUUCAAAAAAAUUUCACGAUCCAUAUUUUUUUUCUUGAUGAUGACAUAAAAGAGAAGAAAAUUUUAGCCAUUUGCAUAAACUUUUGGAAAAAAGAUAUUUGGCUACACGAAGUAUCCGCGAAAACAUGGCCACACAUGCAAAGUUUAAAAAUGUAUCUCUAACUACACAAACUAUAUGUAUCGCAUGCCACAUAUACGAACUAUAUGUAUCGCAUGCCCACAUAUACGAACUAUAUGUAGUCAUGUUGCCAACAUCACAAACAUUUUUUUCUGAUAAAUUUUCGCCGGAAUCCGGUAUUGACCAGUUUGACCGGCGUUGACCGGCGUUGACCAACAUAAAUAUUCAAAAAAAAAAAAAAUUUAGUUUUUUAAUAUUAAGAAAAUUAUGUUAUUGAAUCAUUUAUAAUAUUAUAUAAUUAAAAAAAUAUAUACAAUAUUCAAUAUAAAAAUAUUUUGUAUAUAUAUAUUCAAUGCAUUGAUUUUUAUAAUUAGUUAGUUUUGAUACUUCAAAACUAAACUAAAAAUAAAAUAAAAACCAAUUAGGUAAAAUAAUUGUAAAUAUGAAAUUUUCUUCGGGCAAUUGACAAAAAUAGCACCAAAAAAAGAAUUUAUUCCAAAAUUAGCACAACAUUUCUAAAAUUCCACAAAUAGCACUCUAAACUUUAACUAAAUAGAAAAUGAGAGAAAACACUAACCUAAUAUUAAAUUAAAUCAUUUUAAAGUAGAAAUAUAUACCCUAAAUUGAAAAUAGGGAACCCAAAUAUAAUACCACAAACUAAUAUUAAAAUGAAUCACUCGAGAGGUUGUGAACACAAACUCGACUGAUAAAGGAAUUUCUUUUAAAUGGUGGAAAUAUAUACCCUACAUUAGAAAUAAUGAACCCAAACAUAAUAACACAAAUUUAAUAUUAACAUAAAUCAAUAUGUUUUUUAAAUGGUGAAAAUAUAUACCCUAAAUUAGAAAUAGAGAACCCAAAUAUAAUAUUUAGAAUUUAUUUUGGUUGAAUAGUUUCUAUAUAAAAAUUGUGGUAUUAUUAGAAAAAAUAAACUAGUGAUAAUACUAUUGAAACAAAAAAAUUAAUAGUGAGUCAGUCAACUAAUGCUAUUUUUGGAAGUUUAUUGAAUGUGUGCUAUAAUUGUCCAUAAAAGUUGUUUUAGUGCUAGUUUUGGAGAAUUUCUCUAGUCUAAAUUUUUUGUAUAAUAUGUUGUUAAUUUUUGUAUCUAAAAUUAUUACAAAAAAUUCUUUUAAUAAUACAAAAAAAUUAACAACAUAUUAUAAAAAAACUUUAGACUAGAGAGUAUAGAAAAUUUCAUAUUUACAAUUAUUUUACCUAAUUGGUUUUUGUUUUAUUUUAGUUUAAUUUUAAAAUUAUUGAAACUAACUAAUUAUAAAAAUCAAUGCAUUGAAUAUAUAUACAAAAUAUUUUUAUAUUGAAUAUUGUAUAUAUUUUUUUAAUUAUACAAUAUUAUAAAUGAUUCAAUAACAUAAUUUUCUAAAUAUUAAAAAACUAAUUUUUUUUUUUAAUAUUUAUAUUGGUCAACGCCGGUCAAACUGGUCAAUGCCGGAUUCCGGCGAAAAGUGUACCGGAAAAAAAUGUUCGUGAUGUUGGCGACAUGACUACAUAUAGUUUGUAUAUAUGGACAUGUGAUACAUAUAGUUCAUAUAGUUUACGAUCCAUUAUUAAAGAUGUGUGGCCAUGUCUUUGCGGAUACAUCUUUUUUCCUAAACUUUUCAAAACAAACUAAUUUAUAGGGCCUUUGACCCAAAAGUGUUAAGUUAUAGGGCCUUCCUUUGGCCCAAAAGUGUUUAUAACAAAAACACUUAAGGUUUGGUCCAAACAGGCCUUAACGGUUUCAUAGGGUUUAUCAUCAUUUCCCGUAAAUCGUAAUCAGAAUUCACCAUUCUCUCUUCUUCUCGCAGCCGUAGUUUUUGAUCUUUCUCUUCAUUCCCUCUCCCGAUGGCCACGUCCGCCGUCCUCUCCGGUGCCAGAUCGAUGCUUCGAGCUGCUUCGUCACGUAGCGCCGCUGCUUCCACUGGCCGCUUCGCCUCUCAAGCGAAAUCAGCCCCACCGCUGUUUAGAGCUACUGCCAGAAGAAGCCCACUACUUUCACCUCUCCGGUUAGUCUCAUUAGCCCCUCUAUCAUACCCAUUUCCUUAUUUGAUCUCAUUUCACAGUUGUGUGCUACUUGAAGCUUGAAAAGGGUCAAAUUCGAUCGAAUUGUGAAAAAAAGGAACUUGUCUAUGUGUUAAUCAUGUAUCCAGAUCGAUUAUUCAGAAGUAAAAAGACGAAAUUUUGCAUCUUGAUGUGUAUUAUUCAGAAACUCUCUUAUCAUUAGUCAUUACUUAAAUAAUUUUCAUUUGUUUGUUUUUUGAUUUUGAUGAUAGAAAUCCUGUGGAACUGAGCUUCUGUGUGGAGUCAUUGUUACCAUACCACACGGCUACAGCUUCAGCGCUAAUGACUUCAAUGCUUUCUAUCUCUGGCCAAAGCUUUGGCUGGCUCUCUGACGGUACUUUCUCACAUCCUUAAACUCUGUAAUGCUUGAACAAUGACUUAAGUAUGUACUAAAUGAGUGGAUAUUUGCUUUGUUUGAUCGAUGAUAUGUGUUUGAGAACUGUUUCUGUAUCGGCUUUCUAGAUUGAUGUAUCAGACAUAGGUAGAGAAUUAGGUUAGAUUUACCAUUUAAGAAUUCUUUUGUUUGUUGCUAUGGGCGAAAAACUGGAUCAAUUGUUGUUGUCUUUCUGCUUAACGUUGAAAAGAGAUGGCGGCUCAAUUGGUCUAGUUUUUCAAUCUUGUAGGCUGACCGAAGAGUAGAUGAAGACAACGAAGCCAAGAUUUGGGUUUCCUGCAAAUAACAUUUAUAAGCAAUUAGAAUGGGUUUCCAAGGCAAUAAUAUAGGCUUUAGAUACACAUCAGUGAUUGAUGCUGCAUUGUGUUUCAAACCUGGUUCCUACAUAUCUUCUUAAAAGAUAACAUGUACUUUUUCUUGUUGGUUAUAGCAUUUGAGUUGAUUUAUAGAGACUUUAAUGAAAGAAUUAUUACUGAUUGGUCUUAUAAUCCCAGCUUGCAAUGAUGAUGUGUGAUGAGUUAACCAGAGGAACAGUGAAGCUACAGUUUAUGUACAAAACUCUACCUUUUAAAGCCUUUCUUCCCCAGAAAACUUAGGAACGAAAACCCUCUUUGAUUUUGCCUAUUUGUUUCUGAGUUUCUUGGAGAGAUUUUGUUUGUUUUCAGCCUAUUAAGUAAGACAUGUUGUAUUGGUUAGACGAGUAACUGAUGUUUGGUAUAAUUUAUCAGCUUGCAAAGAGGACUUUUGAUGAUGUCUACGCGUACCCAAUGCGAUUGCGAGAGAAGGUUUAAGAGUAUUUAGGCAAAGAAUAAUUGUUGUACUGCUCAAACACAAAUCAUAUCUUUGUCUUCAGUUUACAUAUCAAAGACAAAUGUCCUCCAUCUUUUAAAUCAAAUCUAUAUGAUCUUUGUUACAUCAACAUAAAAACUCAAAAUUGCAUUUUGUUUACUCGAGCAAGCACUUUUACUAAUUUAAAACUUGGAAACAUCUGUGUUUGGAUACUACAAUCAAGGAUAUCAUAGUAAAGAGGGAAAAAAGAAGCAGUUUUCAUUAAGGUGACGACCCGUAAACUUGAAAGAAUGUUUUAAGUUUCUUCUUCUUGUCCCAUUGAUCUCCUUUAUGUCACAUUGUAGUCUCGGCCAAAGACGAGGUACCUUCAAGACUUGAAUGCGAACUUUGUUAAACGAUCUCUGUCUUCAAUUUUUUCAUACAAAAAAAACAGAUAUCCUCCAUCUCUCUGUUACAUCAACUCGAUAUUUUAAAUUGCAUCUCUAUUCAAUGUGGUUAGACACAAAGUAUAGACACUAGAGUUUCUUUGAUCCUUCAGUUUCUGCAACUACCACCACUAAAGCUCGCUCUUCUGAUGGAUGUGUCUGUUCUUCUUUCGCUGGAACUGUCUCUUCUUCUUGUGGAAGUGUUUCUUCUUCUUGCUUCUCAUUCUCAAGAGGCUCGACUUCCUCGGGAUUUAGCUGUAGAUUCUGUCUCCUAUACCGAAAUAUCACCAGGAUGAUAAAAACUGCAAAACAUGAAAGACUUAAAGGUUAUAUUUUAUAUAAGGCAAAACAAAUAAACUGUCAACCAUUGGUUAGGUAAAUUACCUGCAAAAAUUCGGGUUCUUAUGCUAGUCAAGUUCCAAAACGCUGUCACCACAGAGCCUGCCAAGAUCUUCUUGUGUGAGCAGACUCCCCAUGCUUCACCUAUUCUUGUUUUCACUCUUUCAACUGCACACAUGAAACUCAAACCAGGUCAAGAGUUUUAAACAUUGGACCAGUUAAGGACUUUUACAAAUACUUGACUGUUGAUUGUAACCCAAUUGACUAUAUUUGAAUUGCUACAAUUCGAUUUCUUCACCUCUUUGGCUAAUCUGAUGGGUGUAACAUGAAUACAGCUUUGGGAUGGUGAAGCUGAGGAAGAAACCUGUUUCAAUAACAUACACACAUAUCAGCUCAGUUCCUGUCAUGCUUAACAAUGUUUCAGCUUAUGUUCCAAAUGUUAAUACCAAAUGCAGAUAGCCUCCACAGUGUUAUGAGAUGACCAAACUCAGCUCCAAGUAGCAGAAAUGGUGUCACCUGUGAGAAAAGAGAAACAGCAGAUUAAAGGGCAAGUAAACCACCAAAACUGAGUUGAUAGAGAGAGAGGGAGAAGUAAAUGUCGAGUUUUUACCUUGAGUGUCAUUGAUGGUUCUCCUGAAAAAAGCUCACUAGUCUUCGAGAUCAAAAAGUUGGUCGCAGGAAGCACUCGUCUAGCUAAACGCAAGACAUCAUCUUCACUCACAUGGAACGCUCUCUUUGCGUCUUCAUUUUUCCUAAAAACAACACAUUGAUGGAUCACACUACCUAUUAGCUAAUAGACAAGGCCAAACAAAACUGCAAAAGGACCAAAAAAGUAAUGUACCUUUGACAAAGAGCGUUUGACAAGAACGAACCGCAAAGUAACACAAGUCCGAGAUUGGAAACCGCCGAGAAAAAGCUUCAAAACAAAGAAAAAGGUCAUGACUUUGACAAAUCUAAUUGAGCCUAGAAACACAAGCUAGAGAGGGUACCUAAAGUUGACUCCUUUGGCAAAGCAAGAAGAUAGGAAAGACAAACAUCCAAAACCAAACCAGAGAGUCGAUUUGGCAACAUCUCUCCACAUAACCAAAUCACUGAUAAUCUCUCCAAUCCGAUUCAAAUCGCUUUGACAUGUAUCUUCAACAAAUCCAACACACAAGCAAAUUCAGAAUCAAGCAGAGAAAUACAUAAAGCAAAUCAGCUAGAGAAAGAAGAGUACUUGGAAGAUCUGAAGAAGAACAAGGAGGAGCUGAACUUUGCUUAUCUUUCUUAGGUCGACCAUUCGUCGUCUUCCGCUUUCUAGGAGGUUUUACGAUUUCUUCGAUCACCAAAUUCGCUUCUUUCUCUUCCACAGCUUCAGAUCUUCGCCUCGAUCUCCGGGGAUUCCUCGGAGAAGCUAAAAGACCCUUUUGCCCUACUUUCCCUUUACCCCGUUUACGAACCACCGCCGCAUCUUCAGAGGCCAUUUCGAGUCGAUCGGAUAAACGGGUCUUCGAUUUUCGAAGCGGAGAAGGAGAUAAGAGGAUGAUAUCGCGAAGAGGAACAGGAGAAGAUGGGUUUGGAGAAUCGUUGCUCAUGGGAGAAGAUAGAACCAAAUCAAGAGAGAGAUUUGGAGGAUUCGAAUCAUGGAGAGAAUUGUUGAGACGCGAAGCUGAUUUAGUGUUGGAUCGGUGAUAAGGAGGCGUAGACUCCAUUGUUAUGAAAAGGGAAAAUCUCAGAGAAUUGAUUUGAGAAUCUCAGAGAAUUAUUAGGGUUGCGUUUUAGAAGAAGACACAGUGUCUGAUCAGAUAUAGCCGUUGGAGGAAUUUUUCUUUUUCCUUUUUUUUUUUUUAAAGAUUCCAAUUGAAUCUUGACGGUCGUAGCAAACGUCGCUCCAGUCUGUCUUAACGGCGUAUGCAAGAAUCAUCUAACGGCAGAACUCUGGAAAUAUCACGUAAAGGGAAAAAAAUUGAAAAACCGGCGAUCUAUUAUUAUUUUGAACGUUUAAUACAUGUAUUUUUAAAAUUGAAAUAAAAAUACCUCGAUUAUAAAUUUUGUCUUUAAAAAUAUUCGUGUUAUAAAGGUUGGUAGAAUCUUACCCACGAAUUAACAGCUGAUCUCUAACCGCAGUUAAAAGUUAACCCUACAUAUUUAAAUAGAUACUAAUAUAUUAUAUGUUUUAGUUAUCAAUACGACUAAUAGAUGACGGUUUUUUCGGAUCUUUUUCCCGAACAUAAAGUAAAGAUCUAGCUUUUAUGAAAAAUAAUUAUAUUUUUAUAAAUCCUAUUGGCUAAUCCAUGCAGUCACCUCCGUUAAGAACACACUAAAGUGUUACAGAGUAGACUUCUUCUCGAAGGACCAUCACAUUAUCUAUAUCGAAUUUAGUAUGUUUUCUGACUAAUGCAUGAGAGUAACCGAGUUGCCGGUUAUCGGACUUCCAUGGUCUGAAGUAUAAGACCAGACUUCCCACAUGAAUGUGAUUUUUGUUUCUAAAAAAGUUCGAAUCCUAGAGGAAAUCCCAGAUCUCAUCAACCACUGGACCACAAACAUUCGGGCAUAAUUUAUAUAUUUUUGGGACUACCCUUAGCAUGUUUCAUAUGUGAAAACUAACUUACUAAACGAACGACAAGAAUUAACCUGCUGAUACAAAAAUGAACAAAUAUAUAUACAUACUGACAAUAUAUCUCAGAUUUAUGCAUAUCUCAUACAUUCAUAACAUUUACUAUAAUUCUAACGUGUAAAGAAUAACACAAAGCAAGCUAAAAGUUUGUCGACCAAAAAAAAAAAAAAGUUUGUCGAUCGACCAAUCAUAUCCUAUAAAACUUGAUUAUUUUACUUAGUUAUGUAUUAUAACUAGAUUUUAACCCGCGGUGUACCGCGGGACUAUAUUUUUUUUGAAAAUUAUCCAUUGUUUUGUUUGAUUUAAAUGUAUUUAUUAUAUAUAUAUAUAUAUAUAUAUAUAUAUAUAUAUAUAUAUAUAUUAUCCCGCAUUAAACCCGCGGGUCGAUUUUUGAUAACUAAAAUUUGAAAUUUUAAGUUGAAUUUAUUUUGUUAAUAUUGUUUGUUUUGUUUAGCAUUUAUUGUAUUUUGAUAGUUAAUUCUACGAUUUCACUCGUAGUACCGCCUCGUAUUAAUAUUGAUUCAAACCCGUCCUACCAUAUAAUCAUGUGCCGUGAAGUUAAACAUUAUUUUGUUAUUGUUUUAUAAUAUUUUAAUUUUAAAAACAUAUAUAAAUUGAGUCAAUUUAAAAGUUUGCUUUCAAUGGCUCCCAUGAUAUAUAUAUAUAUAUUUUUAAUUUUUAUAGAGUUCAAAUAUCAUUAAUAUAAUAAACUUUUUAUAAAAUUUAAAUAUUAUAAAUACUUUAAAUGUUUUAUCAUCUUAAAAUAUUUACAAUGUUUAAACUUCUUAUAAAUUUUUAUAAAGUUUAAAUAUUUAUAAUAUUUGAAACUUCAUAAAAGUUUUAAUAUCGACCCAAACUUCAUAAUUGUAUUUUGGUUGUUAAUUCUAAGAUUUCACUCGUAGUAUAUCGUUCCGUAUUAAUAUCAACACAAACCCGUCACACCAUAUAAUCCCGUCCCGUGAAAUUAAACAUCAUGUUAUUUUUCUUUUUAAUAAUAAUUUUAUUUAGAAGACAUAUAAUUCGAGUCAAUUUAAAAAUUGCUUUUAAAUUGUCUCUAUAGUAUAUAUAUUUAUAAUUUUUAUAGAGUUCAAAUGUUAUUAAUAUAUAAACUUUUUUAUAGAAUUGAAAUAUUAUAGAUACUUAAAAAGUUUUAUAAAAUUUAAAUAUUUAUAAUAUUUAAAUUUCUUAAUAAUCUAAAAUAACAUAUUAUUCCUUAGACAUAAAUAAUAUUUAUAUAUUUGGUAAUAAUGUUUUUUUGGAGUUAAUCUAAUUUAUAAAUAAACAAAUUAUUUAUAGCCAAAAUGAGUUUGGUUUAUAAUAAGUAAUAUAGCAAAAUGAGUUUGUCAAAUAACGAAUAGUAACCAUAAUUUAAUUAAUGUACAUUAAAAUAAAUAUAUUUAAAAAAUGAAUUACUUUAAAAAAUUGGUUUGUCAAAAUUAAUUAAGGGAGACUCACAAAAAUGCCCCUUUUUCAAUACCCCUUUUCAAAAAUGCCCCCUUUGGAUGUCCAUUUUUAAAAAUACCCCUUUUAUGUACAAAAUGACUAAAUUACCCUUCUUUUAAUAAAAGAUAUCAUAAAUAUAUAAGGAAAUAUAACAAAAUUAGGUCCACAAAAUACAAAAUAUUUUUUGGCGGGAAAAGUGAUCCCCCAAUUUUUCCCGCCAAAACACUUGUAAAAAUUUGUAAAACCUUUAAAAUACCUUGUAAAAUUUUCCCGUAAAAUUUUUUCCCGCCAAAAAAUUUUCCCGCCAAAAAAUUUUUUUUGCGGGAAAAGUGAUUCCGCAAUUUUUUUGGCGUUAAAUUUUUGGCGGGAAAAUUUUUCCCGCCAAAAAUUUACAAGGUAUUUUAAAGGUUUUUUACAAGGUAUUUAUAAGGUUUUACAAUGUAUUUUAAAAGGGUUGUACAACGUAUUUACAAGGUAUUUAUAAGAUAUUAUAAGAUUUUACAAGUCUAUUUUAUAAGGUUUUUAGUUAGCUAGGUUNNNNNNNNNNNNNNNNNNNNNNNNNNNNNNNNNNNNNNNNNNNNNNNNNNNNNNNNNNNNNNNNNNNNNNNNNNNNNNNNNNNNNNNNNNNNNNNNNNNNNNNNNNNNNNNNNNNNNNNNNNNNNNNNNNNNNNAUACCUUAUAAAACCUUAAAGUACCUUGUAAAACUCUUUUAAAAUACAUUGUAAAACCUUACAAAACACUUGUAAAUACCUUGUAAAAAACCUUUAAAAUACCUUGUAAAUUUUUCCCGCCAAAAAUUUUCCCGCCAAAAAAAUUUCGCAAAAAAAAUUGCGGAAUCACUUUUCCCGCAAAAAAAUUUUUUUGGCGGGAAAAUUUUUUGGCGGGAAAAAUUUUUACGGGAAAAUUUUACAAGGUUUUUUAAAGGUUUUUACAAGUGUUUUGGCGGGAAAAUUGCGAGAUCACUUUUCCCGCCAAAAAAUAUUUUGUAUUUUGUGGACCUAAUUUUGUUUCAAAUAAGGGUAAAAUGGUCAUUAAAAAUUAAAAGAGGGCAAACUUAAAAAUGGACUCUCAAAGGGGGCAUUUUUGAAAAGGGGUAUUGAAAAAGGGGCAUUUUUAACAAUUUCUCAUUAAUUAAUAUCUUUACGAUAUUAUAGAAAGGAUUAGUUAUGGUUAAGAUAUUAUGUUAAGAUUUUUUUGGUAAUUAAUAUCUUUGAUUUAAAUUUUCGAAAUUAAAUAAUUAAUGCCAGUGGCAUUGCUUCGUAAAUACUUUCAAACUUCAGGAUUUAUUUGCUAAGUGUACUCCAAAAAUGUAUAUAUAGAUAUAAUGAAAUGAUCUCUUACUUCUUUUAUGUAAAUUUGCUUUUAAAAUCUUUGGGACUUAUAUAGCCUGUAAAAUAGAUAACUUUUUAUCAAUAUUUUUAUUAGAUUUUUAACAUGCAUGAACAUAAAACUGAAAAAAUGGUAGUCAUGAUCACAAAUCUUCUACGGAAAAUUAAUUAAAUCAUUGCCUCCUUCCGUGAACUUCCUUAAUCCCUAGAUGCCGUCCCAUGUGAGAUUCUAUCCAUGCAUAUAUCAUAAAAUUAGAACAAUACGUAUAAGUUAUAAAAUUGUAGAAAGUAGUAAAGAAAAUGGUACCUUGAGAAACUAUGGGGAGGGCCAGAAGGGCCAUGAGGAGGGUUUGGGCCACCGCAUUUGAUUUUGCAGCGUUCAAAGCAAUUACCGUCGUGGUCAUCACAAUUCUUUGAACACUUGCGAAAACAUCGAAUCCAAUCUUUUUGAGUCGCUUUUGCUUCUACUGCCACCACAACAAUCACCAUCAUCAUUAUCACUACUAUUGCACUCCAUUUCGCCAUCUUUUGAUCGUUUAACAAUCCUACAAAAGCAAACUAUGUAUUAUCUAUUGUUUUUUGUCUGAUGAUAGUUAUAUUUUUUUUUUUCAAGAAAUCAACCUCUAUUUAUAUUACAUUUGGUUUAAUUGUAGUAGAUUUUUUAUUUGAUAAAAUACUUUUCGUAGAUUUUUUACCAGCAUUUAUGUUUGAUUUGGUCUUAAUUGGUUUAUCUUUAAAGUCUUUAGUAUUUCUGUUCAAAUUUGGGUAUGUUUUACAGUAUAUUAAAUUAUAUAACUGAAUGUAGAUGUAUAUUGUUGUGAAUGCGGGUCCACUGGUUUUAUUUGUUGGUUAAAGGCACUACAUAUUUUAAAAGAACAUAUUCAUUUUCAUUUACUAAAAAAUGUUGUGAAAGAAAGUUUUACCUUGUCUCUUUUUACUUUUCUUUUCCUUUAUAUAAAAUAGAUUUAAUAGCAACAGAGCCGUGUCUAGGAUUACAAACACCAGAGGCGAUGUUAUAAAAAACCUCAACCCAUAUAAAAUAAUUUUUUGAAAAAAAAUAAUAUGUGAGACCAAAGCGGGUUAAUAGUCCUCUUAUAAAUGGGAGAUCAAAUUAGAGGUGCAUGUUAACCAUAUUUUUUCGAAGGAUUUAGGAUUUUCCCCAAAACUAAACGCUACACAAAAUUUAAAAAUUUAACAACUUAAAAAAAAUAAAAAAAAUUAUGACUUAAUUUUUAUUAUCUAACCAUUUUAUAUGUAUUUUUAUAAAACAUUUCAAUAUAAUAUAUUAGUAAUUUUUUAGUAAUUUAUAAUAAAAGAUUUUUCUUUUUUGGUAAAAUAUAUUAAUAGACUUAAAUGAAAAUUUAUGUAUUUAAUCAGAAAUGUUUUUGAGGGAAAGUUUUGUUCAACAUUUUCUUUCUUCACUUCCCUUUCCAUUACAUAGAUUUGAUAGUUUAAUUAAUUGCAAUUGUCAUUUUAUUUUGAUAAUUUAAUUAUUUUGACAUUUUUGCAAUUGUUUAACUUAAUUAUGUGUAAAAUAUUAAACUUUGUACGUGAUAGCUAGCUACAAAGACAAUUGGUCGAAAAUAGAGCCAAUUGGGACUUUAAACAUGAUCUCUCAUCAUAGGUCAUAGAUGAUUGUAUCAAUUUGUAUAAUUUUUGUAUGUUAUGACGAUGAUUCCACAUAAGUUAACGAUGGCUUCUAUCUCAUGUAUAUGCUUCUUGUUCAUGUCGAAGGCCUCCAUUUCUUAUCGAUUUUUAAGUGAUAUUUAACUUGUUGUAAGAUCUUCAAACACCGUAACUUUCUCUUCCUUUAAUUUUUUGCUUAUCUUGGUGAUCCACUAGCUAAAACGGUUCUACUUUGCUACCACUAGGAGAACAACCAUUUGUUUUUUCUUGCUCUUGAACUAUGGAAAAUAACUUUAAGUCCUGAACAAUUUUCUUUUGUUUGUUUUAGAUCUAGUUGAGAUUUUUUAUUUUUUUCAUGAAACCAACCUCUAUUUAACUAAGUAUUCGAUACAUUCAUCUUUUUUUUUUUUUUAACUUGAGUUGAUUUGUUACCGAAUUCGUGUUUGGUUUGAUCUUAUGAGAUUAUUUGUUAACUUUGAAUAUGAUUUGUUAGCAGAUGACAUGUUUAAUGUUUUGUAUUUUUAUAACUUGACAGAAAACAAUGAGUAGUGAUAUAUUUUAUUCUUAAAAUAAUCGUGAUUUGUUUUAUGAUAUGCUACAUUAUUUCAUGAUUCAUUGCUAUAUUUGAAAAUAUAACCAGUAACAGUGAAUUUAAAUUUUCUUUAAGAUAGUAACAUAUAUUUUAAUAAAGAAGUUAUUUUGUUAUUAGAAAUAGUUUCUAUAUAUUUAUAGAAUUUAAUACUGCAAAAACAUAUAAAAUUUUGAACAUAAAUCUGAAGGAAAUUAAUAGAUUAAUUGAAUCAAUCAAAACCAAUGCAAACAAAUCUACGCUAAGUUUAAGCUAAAUGUAUUAUAAAUAGAAGUUGAUUUCUUGAAACAUAAUAUAAGAGUCAUAAGAUUAAAAAAAAAAAAAACUAAGUUUGCUUUUGUAGGAUUCUAAGACGAUCAAAGAUGGCAAAAUGGAGUGCAAUAUUAGUGAUACUGAUGGUGGUGAUUGUUGUGGUGGCAGUAGAAGCAAAAUGGAGUGAAAAAGAUUUUAGUGAUCCUGAAUGUUAUCGCAAGUGUAUAAAGUCUUGUAGGAAACACGACGGUGAUUGCUUUGAAUUUUGCAGGGUGGUAUGCCCAAACCCUCGCCAUAGUUCAUCACGGUACUAUUUAUUAACUAAUUUAUUUUUUAUUGUUUUUACAAAUAUAUAAUUUUUUUUUUUUUCAAAUACAAAUAUAUAACUUAACUUACGUAUUGUUCUAAUUUUAUGAUAUAUGCAUGGAUAGAAGAAUCUCACAUGGGAUGGAAUCAGUGGAAGUUCUCGGAAGGAGAAAAUGAUAGAUAUACAUUUUCGUCAUAGAUUUGUUUAUCAUGUCUACCAUUUUUUAAGUGUUAUGUUUAUGUUAAAAUUCUAAUAAAAGAAUAAUUAAUAAUAAAAUGACAAAAUAGAAAAAUUCUCUAUUUUUACAGGCUGUUUAAGUCCCAAAGAUUAAUCAAAAAAAUCUUGAAAGUUACAUACAAGAAAUAAGAGAUUAAUACAUAAUAUAUACUCCUUCCGUUUCGUUUUAGUUGUCGUUUAAGGUUUUUUCACACAAAUUAAGAAAAACAUUAAAUUUUCUGAUUUAUCCUUUAUUAAUAUAUUUUAUAAAAAAAUUCAUUGGCCAAAACAUUAAAACAUUAGGGAUAAAACUGAAAUUUUCACCAAACAUUUGCAUUGAAAACCUAAAACGACAACUAUUAUGAAACAAAAUUUAAAACAUAAAACGACAACUAACUGAAACGGAGGGAGUACAAAACUAGUAACACUAGAAUAAUUGGUUUUAACGACUUAAGAAUGAUUUUAUUGGAAAUUAUUGGUCAACAUACUUUUAGCCUACCUUACAAUAUUUUUUUUACACAUGAAAAGUAUAGUGAAUUAUAUAAACGUAUGAGUUCUACAAAAAUUUGGGAUAUAUUGUCAACAUGCAUAUACUUGUUCAUUUUUGUAUGAGAAUGCUAAUUAUUCUUGUUGUUCGUUUAUAAAGUCAGUUUUUGCAUAUGGAUGUAUAUAAAGUUGUUUUUUGCUUGUAUUUCAAAAUGACGCAAAACUUGUUUGUCAAUAAUUUUCCUAUGAUCAAUUAUUCAUUUUAAAGAAAUUGUAGUUUCACAAUAUAUCACGUCAAUAUCAUCAAAUUUUGCCAUCAAAUCGCAUGGCAACACUAAAAUUUUGUUAAAUAUUUUGUAGUUUUGAGAUUAAAAAAAAACCAUCAUUUCGAGAAUAUUGGCGCCAAAUAGUAAUUCUCAAAUCUUUUAUUUUAUCGUUAAAUCGUGAUUUUUUGUUUAAUGGCAAAAUCAUGAUUUAGCAAUUCUAGAAAAGAAAAUGACAUGUGAUAUAUAUAUAUAUAUAUAUAUAUAUAUAUAUAUAUAUAUAUACUAGAUUUUAACCUGCGGUAUACCGCAGGAUGAUUUAUUUUUUAAAGUUAGUAUAUAUAAAAUUUUGUAAAUUGUAUCUCUUUAUAAAAUAUUUAUAUUUUAUAGUUUACAAUUGUUAUUAAGUAACGGUAUACCAUGAGUCCACGGAAAAAUUGUUAAUAAACUGAGGAUUUAAUCCGUAUUAAAACGGCAUGUUAAUGAUAUUUUAAAAAUUUUAAAUAUUGAUUCAAAUCCAUCAGCCAUAUAAACCCGUUCUGAAAUAUAACCUAUCUCGUGAUUUGUUUUCUUAAAGUAGUAAUUUAAAAAUUUAAUAAUUAUUUAUUAUAUAUAAAAGUUUACAAAUUAUAUCAUUCUCUAAGACAUUUAUAUUUUAAUAAAAGAAGAUUUAAUCUGUAUUAAAGAAGCAUGUUAAUGAUAUUUUAAAAGCUUAUAAAUAUUGAUUCAAACUCGUCCACAGUAUAACUCCGUUCUGAAAUAUAACCCGUCCUGUGAUUUGUUUUUCUAAAAGUAGUAAUUUAAAAAAUUUAACGAUUAUUUAUUAUAUAUAUAAGUUUGCAAAUUGUAUCAUUCUCUAAGACAUUUAUAUUUUAUAGUUUACACUUGUUAUUAAGUAACACUAUACCACGAGACAAUUUUUGAUUCUAUACAAUCUUUUCUAAAUGAGACUGAUUUGAUAUGUCUAAUAUUGGUGGUAUUAAAAAAAUUAAGGAUUUAAUCCGUAAUAAAACAGUGGAUUAAUGAUAUUUUUUUUUUUUUUUAUUAUUAUUGUUGAUUCAAAAACAUGUCCCACCAAACCCGUCCGCCAAAAAAACCAUUUAUUUUAUUAAUGUUGAUCUUAUUUAUGAUAUGAUUCUGAAUCAUUGUCUAAAAUUUUUUGUCAAUGUGGAAUAUUGAACACACAUUUUUCGUUAAUUAGACUAUAUAUGUCCAUUUUAAAAAUUUCGAAUCACAGUGUAUGCAGAAGAAAAUAAUCAAUUUUAUUUUUUACUUUAUGUAUUAUAUGAUGAUUCAAAACAGUUAAAAACAAAUCAAAUAAAGAUGAUAGGAGAAUCAUAAUUCUAAAUCUUAAUCAAAUCUUCUAAAUAUCUAAAUUAUUAAAUAUAAAAUAUCCGCUGUAUGAGUUGGGUUAAAAUAUAACCCGAUCUAACAAUCAUUUUAUGACCAAAAUUUGUAAACGGGUCGGAUACCCAUUGUAUUCAAAUACAUUUUGCCCCACCCGCUAAAAAUGUACUUCAAAAAUACUAGUAUAGAUAUAUAAAAAAUACAUCUUAUAGAAAAUAAUUUUAACAAAAUGUUUUGAUUUCUAAAAGAGUUUGUAUGCAAUUUCUCCAUCCAAAUUCAUCAUUGGCAGCAUUUAAAAAUUUCUAAAAAUCUUAUGAAAAUGAGUUUGUAUCCAAAUACCAAAUUUAAUAUCUGAACUUACUUGCAAAAAUAAACAAACAUGUGAACUUACUCAUAUGCACAAACGAAUAGCAUAAAUGUUAGAACAUGGUAAGGGUAUAGACCUCAAAAAGCAAAGAAAUUCUUUUUCAUGAAUGCUAGAUCCUUAAUUUAUGUUCCCGAUAUUGUUACAAAAUACAAGUAGAUGUUGCCUGAGGCUGCAUAUAAAAGAAGGUGCUGUUUCAGAGAGUGUAAAGUGAAGAAGAUGAGAUUGUGUUGCUUAAAAUUUUGAUAGAUUUAAUUUAAGGAACGAUGGAAAGAGUGUUUGUGGAGAGAUGAAACGAUUCUAUGAAUAUGUGAAGAAUUCCAUUAGCUUUGAGUUUAUACAAUAAGUUUAGGAAUAUGUUGCAAACUAGUACGUACAUUUAUGAAACAUAAUAGGAUAACUAGUACAGGUGCUAUUCAAUACUCAAGAAAUAGUCGGGUCCCCACUGCUAUACAAAUACGCGUUCUCUCUGAUAGAAAAAGAGUGGGGCCUUGAGGUUGUUUUGGAAAUUACGUCUGAGGGCUUCCUUCUUUUUACAGGGAAAUGAGGAAGCCUCUAGACGAGAUGGCGUGUUUGGUUUGUUGGACACAUGGGCCAACUGUGAUUAACAGGUUUUAGAUAGUUUUAAAUGGGCCUUAAAAUUCUUCCCCAUUUUAUCUCCAAAAUUAAAUAGUACCCGAAGUCAAUUAUCAAACAAGUCGUCUUCAUCAGUGGCGGCGUUGGAGUAGUCAGAAACCCCUGCAUUAAUGAGAAGUUUAUGUCAACGAAUUUAGUUGCUAGGUUCGUGUGAGAAAUCAUAUAAUACUCAGAUUCUCUUUAGAUUUUUUUCGAAAGUAGGCAAAUUUUUUGGAGGGAAAUUUAUUUUGCCUUUUUGGAUGGAAAAUUUAUUAUAAGAUAAAAAGAAGAAGAUGAUUGUCAGUUUCGGUAGGUUUUCUAAGUUCCUGAGGACGUACAGAUCAGAGAACAAAGAAUGGAAGGUGGAAUUCAGUACUGAAACAAAUUUCCAAAUUUUCUUUUAAUGUUUCCUAUUGUACUGGCCUAGAAACUGAUUCUAAUUGAAUUUCCUUUGCAGUGGAUGAUAUUGUUGUUGUACAGGCUGGAAGAUGGAUCUUGUUUAGCACAGGUGAAUGGGAGUUCAAGAUGGAUUCUUAUCGGCAGGGGAGGGCGUUGAGUUUGAUGGGGUUAAAAACUUUCAGGGAUUUGGAGCUUAAAGUGAGGCAACUGUACAGAAUGGAGAGCAGCUCAAUAUCAGUAGAGCUUAGCUACAUGUUUGAGGACAAUUUAGCACUGUUAGCUGGUGUUCAGCCGGGCCCAACAAUGAUUCGGUGUGAUAGGCAGUUUCGAAGCUUUAAAUCUUUAAGCAUUGAUGAUAAAUCUGUGAACCUGUUCGUGUGUUUUAGAGAAGGCGAUGGAGUCUUAGUCGGGCCUACCUACGAAGCUCGAAGGAUCGGGAGUUGUUUUGCCAUGGGUAGGCAAGCUGGAGAAUCUGCAGGUAUCGUAGAGGCUGGAGGUAGUUCAAGAGCGACAGAGGGAGUAGGAUUUUUUGCUGGACUCUUAUCUUCAGUUCAAGACAAUAACAGUGUCUAUCCUCCAGUUCAAGGCAAUAACUCCCAGUUAGCAAUCGCCCAGAGUACAGAUGUUACUGACAGCUCCGGUGGGUGGGACAUAAGCGAUGAAAUACUGUUAGAAGCCGUAGAAGAUGUGGAGAAGGCGUCUAAAACAGAUUUGGUUGUUUACACAGGUCUAACCACAUCUGUAGCAGUGGAAGAUGGAAUGGAGAGCAGUGGGGAUGAAGAGUGUUCAGAAAACUCCGAUGAUUCUUAUUCUUAUAGUGGAGGGAGUCAAUCAGAAGAUGAUGAUUACGAUUACGAGAACAACAUGGUAGGUAGGGUUGAAGCUGGUAGAGAAAUUAUGGCAGAUGAAGAUAGUGGCGAUGAUGAUUUUGUUGAGCAGCUCCCGAAAAAGAAAGUCAGACAGAAAGAAAAAGGUAAAGGAAUUGAAGAAAGGACUGACAAUCUUGCAUGUGUAGGAGGUGUUAUGACAGAGUUUCUUCACACUUUUCAGAAGGGGAUAAGAAUUGAUGAAGUUUAUGGUUAUGAGGACAUUGAGCCAAUGUUUGGAGACAAUGAUAUGGAUAGAAAAUCAGCUCAUGUUGACUUGAGCAAAGAGGAUGACAAUAUGUAUGUUGGAAGGACGUUUGAGUCUAGGGAAGAUUUCAGGACUGCAUUGUCAAUAUAUGCUAUAAACCGUGUAUUCCGCUUCAAAUUUACUAGGUAUGAGAAAAAGUACUUGGUAGCUGAAUGUUAUGAUAAAAAAUGCUGUGACUGGAGAGUUGUAGCACACCAAGUUGGACAGAGUGAAGAAUACGAGGUGACGAAGGCCAAGUUGGAACAUAUGUGUAAUGUUGAGACUAGGAGCAGGUUUUCAAAACAUGCAACUUCCAAGGUUGUAGCCGCACUCCUAAGGGCUAAGUAUGCGAAGGCGUUUUGUGGUCCAAGAGCAAGAGACUUACCCGAUUCUCUGCUGAGGGAGCACAAUGUUAGGAUGUCGUAUUGGAAAGGUUGGAAAGCUAAAGAGCUGGCUGUUGAAACAGCUCAGGGCACAUAUGAGAGUUCUUUCACCUUGUUGCCGGUAUAUCUCCAUGUCUUACAACUUGCAAACCCUGGGACAGUUUAUCAUUUGGAAACAGAGUUGGAUGAAACUGGGGAUGAGCGAUUCAAGUAUGUGUUUCUAGUUUUAGGUGCAUGUCUUAAAGGGUUAAAAUAUAUACGGCGAGUCGUUGUAGUAGAUGGCACCCACCUGUUUGGGAAAUAUCUUGGCUGUCUUCUUACAACAAGUUGCCAGGAUGCGAACUUUCAGAUUUAUCCAGUGGCCUUUGCUAUAGUGGACAACGAGACAGAUGAAUCAUGGACUUGGUUCAUGAGUAAGCUUUCAGAAAUAAUUAAAGAUGGACCAGACUUGACCUUUAUCUCAGAUCGGAAUUCAUCAAUAAUCAAAUCUGUCGGACUUGUCUACCCUGAAGCACAUCAUGGAGCUUGCUUAGUCCACAUAAGAAGGAAUGUUAAAGGAAAGUAUGGAAAGAAGAGUGGGCUUCCAGCCCUAGUAUGGCAAGCAGGUAACAAGUUUCGUCUCAAAGAGUUUAAUCUUGUUUGUGAAAGAAUCAAGAGAAGGAAUAAGGGGUGUUGGGAAUAUUUGGAAGCAAUUGGGGUUUCGAAUUGGAGUAGGGUUCAUUUUUCAGGGGAGAGGUAUAAUUUGAUGUCUAGUAACAUUGCUGAGUCAUUGAACAAUGCUUUACUACCAGCUAGGGGUAGUCCUGUUGUAGCAUUGCUUGAAUUUAUAAGGAAAAUGCUCGGGAGGUGGUUUGAAUCGCGUCGGAAGAAAAUCGCUAGAACUGUCGGAGACAUUCCAAUUGCUGUUGAAAGGGAGCUGCUGAAACGUUUCAAAGGUGGUUUGGGGAUGACAGUUUUGGCUGUUGGUAGGUGGGAUUUUGAAGUAGUCGCAAAGGAUGGGGAACAGUUCCUCGUCUCCUUGGAACAACAGACUUGCUCUUGCUUGGAGUUUCAAAAAAUUAGAAUUCCAUGUGUUCAUGCGAUGGCUGCAGCUCAUGAUAGGGCUUUGGAAUUCAGAACGUUGGUUGGAGAGAUGCAUAGGCUGGAAAUGUGGUCACCAACGGUCCAAGAAUCUAUCCUCCCAGUACGCGAUCCAUCGGAGGUGGAUGUUCCUGAGGAAAUAAGAGUUCUAUGUUUAAUGCCUCCGAAAAAAAAAAGACCCCCGGGGAGACCCCCAAAGCUGCGGAUACAUUCAGUUGGGGAAUAUGAGGUUAGUAAAUUUGAAUUUAUUCCACAGGUUCGGUGAUAACUCAAGUGUAACAAUUCAUCUUAACCAAUGUAAGGGAAUAAUAAGUCAAAACAGCCUAACAAGUGUGGAAGAUGUGGAGGUGUAGGUCACAAUCGGGUUACGUGUACCAACCCACUUGGUUGACGCUAUGGAAUGUAAGAAAGAUGUGUAAUGCCUUUUUGGGAGUUUGUCUUAUCAAUGGAGGAGGAUUUUGGCAGGGGUCGUUUUUUGGUAUGUUAAAAUGUAUUGUUUUCGGAAUGGGUAGACAUUCAUAUGAAAUAUGUUGGGAGACAAAUUUCAGAUAAAUGUCUCCUUUUAGGUAUGUAAAUAUUAUUAAAACUUGUUUUGAAGUGGGAAGAAUUAGUGAUGUCUAUGUAUGGCCAAGUUUUAUUUGUUGAACUUAAUAUUUUGGCUAAGAAGUUGAUCUUUUUAAAUCACAAGCUAUUGCUGUACGGAUCGUUAAGCCUGUUGUACAGAUGUAAUAGUUCAGCUCCGUCUGUACAGCAAACAUACACACUUCUCUGUACAGUUCAACGAUCAAGCUGUCUUCAGUGUACGUCUACUUGAAAGAUAUUUCUGUACGUUUGCUGUACAGCCGUAGUUGUUGGAGUGCUGUACAGAUAAUUUGCUGUACAGUCAUUACUAGAGUUGGUACUGUACAGAUUUUCAGAUUUCAAACGUACGUCUACUGUACAUAUAUUGUUGUAUGUUUGCUGUACAGACGUACCUGCAGGAAUGAUGUACAGAUAUUGGUUUACGUUUGGUGUACGGUUUUAAAUACGUUUGCUGGUCAGAUUUCCCUCAAGCAGAUGUUAAAGGACUCUAAAGCCAUAUGGUUGUGAGUUGUGACUAGCUAGUCAUCAUGCUUCUUACUAUAUAUAAUUAAUUCGCCACUAAUUCAUAUUUUUUCAUUUAUUUUCGUGAAUGAUAUAUUACAAUUUACAUAGACAGAUCCGUACAGUUAUGGGAGGUAAAUAAUUUACUUAACUUGUUGAAUUUUAAAAAAUUCAACAAGUUAUAAAUAUGUUUGAUAGGAGGAUUAAAUUCAUCUCAACUGUAAUUUCCUUAACUACUACACCUAAUGCAUUAUAUAUACAACAAAGCUGCAAUCAAAAUAAAAAUCCCAAAAGAAGAAAACUACUCUUAAUUUUUUUUUCUCACAAAAAGGAAAAAAAUGGGAACCCAAAUGCCAGAUAUCCCUGAUGAGUUGUUUGCAAAAAUCGUUAAGCUUGUGGCUGAUGAUCGCUGGUGGUUGCUUGGCCCUAUAUUGAAGGCCGGUCGAAGGGGAAGAGAUGUGGUGUACAGAGACGAUGUUUUGAGGGAUGCAUGCAUUUACUCCCUAUGUUCUGACCCAAGCGACCUCUACACAUUCCAUAGUCAGAUAACCGGCCGUCUAGAGCAAGGUCGGCACCGCCCUUUUUUGAGAGAUGUCUCAAGGCUGGUAUUGAACUUCUAGCUCAGUUGGUCCCGGAGGAUGGGGUGGCAACUCUAGCAUGUGGUGUGUUCUCCAUUUGUGAUGGAAAUGAGGGUAUGGCUGUACACUAUCUUGAGCUAUUUGGGGAAUUUCAUUCUGCUUUGGGGACAGAGGCUGUCAGAUGGUGGGGAGAGGAGUUGGUUAGUGAUUUGCGUCCAUAUCGAAGAAGGAGCAACAAUUCAUACUGGAGGACGUAUCUCUAUCCUAUUUGCAGGGGCAUCCCAUCGGCGGAUUGUGCCAUGGACUGUCGCAUUGCAUAUGGAGGUUAUGAAAACUUGUGCGAAGAGUGUUAUCUAUGGUGGAUGUCAAAGAAGGUAUGUCAAAUGCUAUGAAAUCAUCCUCGAUAAUUUUUAAGUUGUAAGAUGUUUAAAUUAUGUUAGGUUUUGCCGAUGUAAUUUUCUUGUUUCUGUAUUAUUUGCUUUGUAUAAUUAUAGCGCUUUUUAUUUUAGCUAAUUACUAUAUGCUAGAAAUAUUGUAUUAAGUCGUUUUAGGGUAUUGUGAUGUAUAAUAUUAAAGAUAUUGUUUCAAAAAAAAUCCUGUUGUCUUUUCUAACCACUGUUGUGUUCAAAUUAUCAUCGUUUUUGCUUUUGUUAUCUAAAUGUUGUCGAUAUUAUCUCAAUGUUGUGGAUAUUAUCUCAAACUAUCAUCUUUUAUAACCACUGUUGUGGAUAUUAUCUCAAUGCUCCUUUUAUUAUUAUAAAAUCUUUUUGGUUUUGUUAUAGAUUCUUGUGUUGAAAUGAACAAAUUGGGAAAGUAAAAAGUUAUUUAUUGGAUGAUAUGAUUGAUACUUAUGACUUUUCAGCCACUUGAGUAUUUCUACACUGAUAAACGAUUAGACUUGUACUUAAAAAAUUAUUAAAAGAUUUUAGUCUUUCACUCCCUGACAGUAAUAAUUACAUUUGUAAGAAAACACAAAGAUAUAUUUGAUUUUGUCUGUUUGUUUUCUAACUUUACGAAGGUCACAUUCUUAUGUCUCUCAUUACUCUCUCAUUGUAUUAAUUUCUUAUGUCUCUCAUUGUAUAAUUAUGUAUAAUUAAAUUAUUAUGUCUCAUUGUAUUAAUUUCUUAAGUCUCAUUGGCAAAUUAAUUAAAAUUUGGAAGGAAUGUUUAAUUAAAUUAUUUUAUAAACAUUAGAUAACAAAAAUAUGGUUGGAAGAUUAUAUUGUUGAUUUGAUGCCAAACAACUCCCCUUACGAGAUUUACGAAUCUUACUCGUUUUAUUCUUUAUGUCAUCGAACCUUGCCUCUCCUUUUUUGCAAUUUUACUUUCUUAAAAGCAACACCUUGGCCAUGCAGACUUAUUCAUUAUUGUUGUGUCAGAGGAAGAAAGACAAAAAUCUAUUUAUUUAUAUCAAUAGAAGUAGUCAUUUAUGAAAGACUAAUUGGUGGGUUUGUGAUACAACAUUAUUAUGUCUCUCAUUGUAUAAUUAUGUAUAAUUAAAUUAUUAUGUCUCUCAUUGUAUAAUUAUGUAUGAUUUAAUUAAACUGACAUAAGAGAUUAAUACAACAUUCGUUACAAAAUGUUAAAUAAUUAUACAAUCACAGAAUUUUAAAUAUUAGUUUUUAACAUUAAAAGGUUUCUUGAUUACAUGAAACUCUAGAGAAGUUCACAUAUACGUAAUGCUGCAUUGUAGAUGUAACAUCCUUCGCAAUAAUAAUCGUACCCAUGCCAAUAAGCACAAUCAGGCAUGCUUAUCUUCUUAGAAUAAGCAAACUCCCAAAUUGGCCCAAAGGUAUCUUCACCAGGAGGGUCAAAUGAUAAUAGUGUGUCAAUCAAAGCUUUACACUCAUCUUCCAAAUCGGGAGAGUAAUUAUCGAACCAAAGACGCGUACCCAAAUUUUCAAAAAUUUGGUCGAAUGUUGCCCCAGCAAUAUCACCCCUCCCAGCACACAUUUGAAACAUUGCAUACGUGAGAGUGGCAUGCUCACAAGUAGGCACAAGUUGGUUUAGCAAAGCAAGGGACCCGUAGAUAUCACCCUCUCGGGUUAUUAGACGCAAAGAUUCAUAAUAAAUUGCCUUAGGAUUCUCAACGUCCAAACAACGGGUAAAGAAGGUUCUAGUAACCCCACCUGGAUAUAUGUCGACGGGGUCCAGGGUUAGAGGAGUUAUGUUUGCUGACUGUAGGAUCUCCUUUGAUAACGCAUUGUCCCUUCCUCGUUUGUUUGUGAGCAGUAGCGGGCCUAGGUGUCUGGCGUCUUCAUCUCCAAGCUUCUUCGUAAUGAUAUGGAAUAUAUCAUCCGGUAAAUCACUCAAACACAUAAUUUUGAGUUCAGUGAAGCAAGAGUUUGAUGUGUGCUAAGCGUGAGUAAUAGAGAAAAGGAAAUGUCUUUAACCUAAAUGUCUUGUCUUAUUUAUAGAUAACUAAAUAAGGGGUCCGCUUAUCACUUUAACCUAACUCUAACCGAAACCCUCAUAAAUAAACUAUACAAAUAUAAAGGAAAUCCAACACUACCUAUUUAGAAAACAAUAUUGUUUGCUGUACAGAUAGCAUUCCGUACAGCCAUGUUGCAGGUUCCUUGGUUCGGCUCUUAAACAAAGCACUAAUUCUGGGAUCUACGCUAUACUCAGCACUGUCGAGGAAGCAAGAACGCCUAGGAACACGCUUUCCCAAAAGCGGCUGACGAGGGUUGGUUGACUCUAUAACAAAAUAAGCUGGUGAUGCUGCAAUAAUGGAAGAGAGAUUGCGGUAUUUACAGUCAUCUUUGGCAGAAGCUUCAGGCGUGUCAGGGAUAACCUGGGAUAAAGCAUGAAUUACAAAAUGUAAAACCAUGUGUAUAUAGAUAAUUCUGUAAUGGGAAAGUUGAUGACCAAGUGAUAAUUCAGGUUUGCUAAUUCAUUACCUGAGCAAAUGGUGUUACCGGUGUAGAAGGAGUUUGCUUAGGCGAACCUUCAAAAACUUCCUUGCCACUGGUUUCCUUCUGAGUCUCAUUUGCACCGCAAUCUGUUUUAGGUGAAGCUUCAUGCGUCUCAGGGAUUCCAUGCUUUACAAAUGUGUUUCCAAAUGCAAAACCAUGCGUCUCAGUUAGGCAUAUAAAACUCUGGAAUUGGAAAUUGAAUGAGGAUAGGUUCAAUUCUUGUUUGCAUAAAACUUUACCUCAGCAAUUGGUGUUACCGGUGUAGAAGGUGUUUGCUGAGGCUCUCUUCCAGAUAUUUCCUCCUCAACGGGUUCUUUCUCAGGCUCUCCUGCAGUGGGGUCUGAAAUAGUAGAGUCCGGGAUGUCUGAUCUUAUUUCCUGUAAUUUCCAAAAUCAAACAUAUGAGGGUCAGCACUGAUUAACAUUAGAGGAAUCUGUUUGUAUUAAACUAAUACCUUAGCAAUAGUUUUUGCAGCCCCAUAAAGAUCCCAUGUUCUUUCAGAGGACUCAAAAUUCAUACUUGGUCCACCUUCUUUACCAAUGAGAAUUUCUCCAGAUAAACCUUGCUUAGAACCAGAGGAUGAGCUUCCAGAAGAUAAAGAAGUAACCUCUUCUCUUUUUCUUUUCCUGGAUGCAGGCUCCUCCUUCUUCUUCGUCCUCUUACUUUUUGAUGUCUCUGUAUGAGGCUGCCUUGGUUUAGGCAGUUGACUCUGAUUCCCUAAAUUCUUCAAAAGAUCUUCACCUAUGUUGGAACGGAGCUCUUCAAGCUGUUGAGAGAUCCAAGACUUCAAGUCAGACAAUUCAGCAUGCGUAACAAACUGAGAAGAGGAGCUUCCUGCACCAGGCUGCGCUGCAUCACCAUGAGUAUGGACUUUUUUGCCUGUCUUCUUAGGGCCAUACUGUCCUAUAGGUAUUGCUGCAGCCGAGGUUUGGGGUUGAUCCUUACUUUUAUGUGAAGUAGCUUUCUUGCGAGGAGGCUGGGGAUCAACAAGAUCUUCUGCAAGCCUGGCUGACCGUGUGAAUGGCUUCCGACGGAGAGGGUAGUUCUCUUUUUUCGCCUUCUUCGCAGCUGUCCUUGGUUCACAUGUCUCAUCGUCCUCUGGCCCAUCAGAUUCCAGGCCAACAAACUGUUUACCUUCAGUAUUAAUAGGAUCUCCACCAAACUCUUCACCUUUUGCUGAUGGAGCUUCCCUUGGUUCAACUUCUUUUUCCCCAGGUGCCACAGUGGGAGAGCUGGUAAAGCCGUGUACAGGCCAUGUCUCAGGCUUGAAUUGGUGCUUUUGCUUGAUCAGAGAGAUAAUCAACUGCACCCCUGGGUCUUCAUCUUCAUUUGGCCAAGAGAGAUCAUCCUUCACAGGUGUUGCCUGGUAUAGGGUGUAUUCAACUGACAACUGCAAAAUUCAAAAAUUGACAUAACUGAAUUGAUUAGGCUUCAAAUGGCUUUAUCAUCCCACAUAAAUCUCAAAGGUAAACAGAUUUUAUUAUGAGUUAUUAUAGUAUACUGUAUUACUUACAUUAGCAGUGUAUUCAGCGUCAACAACAUCUGACUCACGGAGAAGAAUGGUGCGGCCAAGAUCCUGGGCACGCCUUUGGAUAAAAUUUCUGAAAUCAGCAGGGACUUUAAUCCUACUGCAAAGGGCAGGAAUUGAGUUGAGAACUUGUAGUUGGAGAGCUAGAGGAAAUCCGUAACAGCAACUGCUUUUUUGUGAUAGGCGGGUCUUCAGCUCUGCAACAGGAUCUUUCUCAUUUGCAAGAGGGCCAAACCUUUCCAUUGUUGCUUCAAAAGCAACUCUACCCCAGGGGUAACUCAUGAAGAAUUCUAUAUCAUGAAGCAUCUCAACAAAAGUGCUAGUCACCCGAUGUGGUUUUUUGUUGCUACAAACAACAACACCAUCAAUAAGCACUAUUAAUGCGAGACUCAACUUCUUCCAAGUUGAGAACCGCUUAUGACGAUCUGCAUUAAGACAUGCAUUAAAAUCUCCCCUUAGCAUGUCAAUAACUUCCGCCACUGUAACUAUCCUCUUCUCCCCAAAGAGCCGAUUCCAAACAGACAGAAAUGCAUGGUCUUGGUGAUCUUCUACCUCAGACGCCGAUGGAAUCUUAUCACAAAUCAGGCCAGUGGUGAUUUGGAAUUCCCGGAGAGAGAAGCGGAGUGGAAACCCACCAUAUACAGUCCACAACUCAUGCUUUGAUUGAGUCAAAAGUUGUCUAGAAAGCAUACCAUGAAUCAACUUGGCAGAAUGAGAACACCUUGCAACAGGAAGUUCAAACAAUCUUUUGAACUGGGAAGCAAGUAGCAAGUCCCAACUCUCUGAACCCUCCAGUAGUUCCACCAGAAUCCCCAGAUAUUCCGGCAACAGACGGCAAGGUAGGCUAGGGGUUGGAACCUCAUCCUCUCCGGCUGUUGUUUUUGCCGGAGAAUGUGCUAAUCCUCUUGCAUCUCCUAUUAUUCAUUUCAGAAACCCUCAAAUUUCAAACAAUUUGGGGCGACAUUGACAAAAUCAACAAAAUCAGAAAUGAUUAAGAUUUCGGUCACCUUCUUUAGGGUCGUUUCUGUUGCCUCGUUUAUUCUCCUUUUUGAUUCCUCGCCGCGUGGGUUCUUGAUUCAUAUCGGUCGUCGGCGAUUUGGCCGGAGAUUUCGCCGGAGAUAGACGGGACCCCGAUACAGUACCUGCCAAAGUAACAGAAUCUUUAUAGGAAAGUCUCAAUUUUACUCAGAUUAGACGGGAACUAGUACAUUUUCGUCUCUUGAUUACGACUUUGAAGGAUUACCUUUUUUAGAAUCAGAAAUCUUGCUUCGCCGACUGGUUUCUUGUUCUAUACUCACUGCAGGGCUUUGAAUCUUCGAUUUAACUGCUUUCUUCUUCGUCAUUGAAGAUUAAUUUUUUUCAGAGAGAGUUGAAUCCGAAAAGAAUUGCGAUUUUUUGGGAGAGAGUUGAACUGUUAGCCUUCGUGAAGAAGUCGGUUUUCUGAGAAUAUGAAAAGUCCCGAAUAAAACUACAUUUACACUUUUCAGUGGCAUGAAACUGUAAAUAUCAGUGGUCUUCAAUGGCAAAAUGGGUCUCCCAAUAAACACAACAGUGACACCAUGUGGGACAAAUCGAAUUAUGAAUAGUGCCUGUGCUACUUUGCCUAUUAUGUUUCAUAAACGUACUAAAUCUCUAACAAACCCAUAAGUUUAUCGGGAGAACGAAGAGUAGUGUUGAAUGGUCUUACCAAACCUCAUGAUAUAUAUGUUGCUUGCAAUUGGCAAAAUAUCAUUUUUUGUAGUGACUUGACCAAUUGUCUUUGCAGCAAAUAGAGAUCACAUCACAAAAUUUAGUAAUUUUACAAAUAAUUAAAUUAAACAAUUGUAAAAGUGUCAAAAUAAUUAGAUUAUCAAAAUAAAAAUGAAAAAUGCAAUAAAUUAUACUAUCAAAUCUUAUACUUGAAAGAGAAGUGGAGAAAACAAAUAUUGAACAAAACUUUCCUCAUAAAUAUUUAUGAUUAAGUGAGUAAAGUUCUCACUUAAGUCUAUUAAUAUGUUUUACCAAUAAAUAAAAUCUGUUAUUAUAAAAUAAGUUAAACCAUUUCUUUUCUAAUUUGAAUACUAUUACAUUGUAUUGAAAUGUUUUAUAUUCUUACCAAAAAAAAGAAAUGUUUUAUAUAAUUAAAAACAUAAAAAUGAUUAAAUAGAAUCAAUGAAGUGAUAAAUGUAAUUAAUUACUAUCAGAUCUAUCUUUAUAAAUGAAAAGGAAAAGAAAAGUGAAAAGGGUUAGACAAAGUGUUUUCAUUUCACAUUAUUUUUAUUAAAUGAAGAUUAAUAUAUUCUUGUAAAAUCUAUUAAUGUCAUCAACCAAUGAAUGAAACCCAUCAUAGGAAAUCUAUCAAUUAAUGUCCUCUAAAGUUUGGUGUCUCUUUCUUAUUGGCAUGAGAUUUACUCUCCAACGGACGGAUCCACAUUCACUUAAUAUACAUCUAUUCAUAUUUAUAAAAUUUAAUACUGCAAAAACAUAUAAAAUUUUGAACAUAAAUUUGAAGGAAAUUAAUAGAUUAAUUAAACCAAUUAAAACCAAAGCAAACACAACGUAAAGAAUCUACUCUAAAGUUAAGCAAAAUGUAUUAUAAAUAGAGGUUGAUUUCUUGAAACAUAAUAUAAUUGAGUCAUAAGAUUUAAAUAAAAAUAAUAAUAUAAUUGAGUCAUAACAAAAAAAAAAAGUUUGCUUUCGUAGGAUUCUAAGACGAUCGAAGAUGGCAAAAUGGAGUGCAAUAUUAGUGAUAAUGAUGUUGGUGAUUGUUGUGGUCGCAGUAGAAGCAAAAUUGAGUGGAAAAGCUUAUAUUCAAUGUUAUAGCAAGUGUUCAAAGUCUUGUAAAAUAAACAAAGGUAGUUGCUUUAGAAGUUGCAAAAUCAAAUGCGGUGGCCCAAACCCUCCCCAUAGUUCAUCACGGUACUAUUUUUAAUUUCUCUACCCUUUUUUUUUUGUCAUCUGAUUUUAUAUAUAAAAACAUAGAAGGAUACAUUUUGAGAUUACAUAAGCCGGCGGAAAAACUGAAUAUCCCUGGAAACUAAAGCCCAAAAGAGGGAAACAUAAGCCGGCGGACGACAUAAAUGUCCCCGGAAACUAGGCUCUAUAGAAGAGGAACUUAUAAUACUGGAAAUACAAAACAAAUAUAUCAAACCGACAACGCAAGAGAACGAAACCAUAAACUAAGACAGAAGCACAAGGCUAAAACCUUAAGAGAAACAAUAGACAAAAGAAUACAAGGAAACCACUUCUUCUGAAGCACCUGCGAUUGAGAUUUACAUAGGAUGCCCGCGGCCAAUCCUAAAAUAACAUCUACCUUCUCCUAUCAUAAUGAGAGCUGAUCUCUCGAAACCAAGAACCAAAGACUUCAUAGCCCGGCAAGCAAAACCUAUGAGCUGAGAGAACCUCGAGCACGCUUUCGAAUACGACUACGACGACUGCCAUGUCCAACAAUGUCUAACUAGAAAUCUUCAAAAGGCAAUCCUAUCAAAACAGAUUCAGGAAAGCAAGGACAAGGAGUGAGGCCCAACCUGUCAAAUAUCACCAAUCACAAGAACGAGAACGAUGAUGGAUCGAGACGGUUGUCAAACACAGCGAACAACAUCAGGGAGAAGAAGCAUCUGCACACAUAAAGUUCUAUCGAUCCAAAACAAACAAGCGAAACUUCUUCUUAGCAAGGAGACGAACCCAAAAGAAUUCAAAGGUUGAGAUGAGUCGACCAGGAGCGGAUAGAAGAGCAUAGUCUGGAAAAAACCUGACUAGAACCCAAACAACACUCAACAAACGGCUUAUUAAUUAAUUAAUUAAUUUCUCUACCCCUUUCUAUAAAUAUUUAUUUAUUAUUUUUUAAUUGUUUUUACAAAUAUACAACUUAACUUACGAAUUGUUCUAUUUUAUGAUAUAUGCAUGGAUAGAAGAACCUUACACGGGAUGGAAUUUGUGGAAGUUCUCGGAAGGAGAAAAUGAUAGAUAUACAUUUUGUCGUAGAUUUAUUGAUCAUGUCUACCAUUUUUCAACUUUUAUGUUUAUGUUAAAAACCUAAUAAAGAAUGAUUAAUGAUGAAAUGACAAAAUAGAAAAAAUUUCUAUUUUCACAGGCUGUUUAAGUCCCAAAGAUUAACCAAAAAAAUCUUAAAAGUUACAUACAAGAAAUAAGAGAUUAUUUAUAAUAGUAUAAUACAAAACUAGUAUACCACUAAAGAAUAAUUGGUUUUAACGACUUAAAAAUGAUUUUAUUGGAAAUUAUUGGCCAACAAACUUUUAUCCUACCUUAUAUUAUUUCUUACACGCUACAAUUAUAGUGAAUGUUAUAAAUAUGAAUGUAUGAGAUUUACAAAAGUUUGAGAUAUAUUGUCAACAUGCAUAUAUAUACUUGUUCAUUUUUGUUUUAGAUUGCUAAUUAUUCUUGUUGUUCGUUGAUGAAGUUAGUUUUUGCAUAUGGAUGUAUAGAUAUUAAGCUGUUUUUAGCUUGUAAAAUAGAUGAAUUUCAGAUCUAUCUCAAAAUGACGCAAAACUUGUCUGUCAAUAAUUUUCCUAUGAUCAAUUAUAUUCUUUUUAAAGAAAUUGUACUUUCACAAUAUAUGAGAUCAAGAUCAUCAAAUUUUCCAUCAAAUCACAAAUUCACAAUGCUAACACAAACAUUUUACUAUAUAUUUUGUAGUUUUGAGAUAAACAAAAAAAAAAAAAUCAUUCAAGAAUUUUGGCACCAAAUAAUAUUUCUGAAAUCCUUUUUUUGUAUAGUUAAAUCGUGAUUUUUUUGUCACAAAAUCAUGAUUUAGUAAUUCUAAAAAAAGAAAAUGACAUGUGAUAUGUAGAAAAUAAUUUUAACAAAAUGUUUUGAUUUGUAAAAGAGUUUGGAUGCAAUUUCUCCAUCCAAAUUCAUCAUUAACAGAAUACAAAAACUGCUAAAAAUCAUGGAUGCUAGAUCCUUAAUUUAUGUUCCCAAUAUUUCUAUUUGAAAAAUUAACCAUAGUUUUUAUUAAUGUAGAUAAUCAAAUACUUAGGGAAAUCAAAAAUGGAAAAGCAAGAAUCAAAAUUAUCAUCAUAAGAAUAUUUUUUUGGGCACACACCUUCUUCUGUUUUACAUUUCGAGAUUAUUAUCACUCAGUUUCAAAGCUUGAAGUGAAUCAGUUUCUGUCUCUGUUUUCUUGGCAUGACGUGUACAGAAACCCUUCAAUCUCUCAAGUGCAUCUUCAAGCAUAUGAGCUUCGACUCCAAUGGUUAUCCUCAUCCAGUUCUUCAAACCCAGAGCAUCACCUGCAAAACAUUCCCCACAAUCCCCAUUUUAGUAUCAAAACUCAAAUCAAGAUUCAUGCUGUUUAGUUUCAUUUACUUUACCUGGUAGAAACACGAGAUUCUCCUCUCUGGCCAGCUUUACGCAGAAAUCUAUAUCGUCCUUGAUGUUAUCCAUCAAUGACAGCUCAAGCUUUGUCUGCAUUAAGUGAAAACUAUUCAUCAGAUUGAAAGACUAGUAAUGGUCUGAAAUUGAUCAAGAAUCACCACCAGUCUAACGAAAACCGAUCUUAACUACAUUUAUGGAUGUGUGUAGUUAAAGAAGUUUUACCAAUAAGUAAGUGCAAGACUCAGGUUUCUUGGGACAAACGACACAGGGGAUGUCCUUGAGCCUAUCACACACCAAAUCAACAUUAUGUUUGAGUAUCUUGUUCUUCUUUGCAAAGAAGUUUUUAUCCGCUUUCUCCAGGAUCGCGGGAAGUGCAGCCUAUCAAAGGAACAGACACUAGUGUCAUGAAUCCAUGGACUAGUUUUGUAAAGAUUAUAAAACACACAAACCUGAAUUAUUGUGGCAGGGUCAGGAGUCACGUCAAGAUUCUGUUUGAUGGAUUGUACCACCUAUCAGAAACAAAGAGCAAGUAUACAGUGAGAUUACAAAACAAAACAGCAAUAGGGGACUAAAAAUACAAAUAGCCGUAAGCAAACCUUGGUGGUCUCGAAAAUGCCCUCGGGAUCAUUCAAGGCGAUCCAGCCAAUUUUCCAUCCAGGAACAACCCAUCCCUUAGAUAUGCCUGCUAGUGUCAACACAGGAACAAUCGAUGCAAACUUUCCCAUUGGAACAAAUGGAUUGUCUCCGAAUAUAGUUUGGUCAUAUACUUCGUCUGAGAUCACCAUUAUCCCCAGCUUCCUAGCCGUCUCUGCAACCUAAAAUGUUCAUCAACAAACCAAAAACGCAAGCUUUAGCGAGCUACGAAUCAAAAAUGGCUCAAAAUUUCAAGCUUUAGCGAGCUACGAAUCAAAAAUGGCUCAAAGUUUCAAGCUUUAGCUAAGUUAUGAAUCAGAAAGAUGAGCAUUUUAGUGUAAUGAUACAAAAACACAAACCUUUUUGAGAUGGUCGUGAGAGUAGACAUUUCCACAGGGAUUGUUGGGGUUAAUUACAACCAUAGCCACAGUGUUCUCGUCUGCAAUGGCUUCGAUACCUUCGAGAUCAAUCUCCCAUUCUUUCUCAGGAAGAAGAUCAAACUUGCGAACCUCGAGACCACUGUAAGCAGCACGAGCGUCGUAAUGAGGGAAGCCAGGACGUGGGAGCAAGAUGUUUGCGUUUGGUCGAGCCAACGAUUCGAACACGAUCUCUAUCCCUUGGUUGCAUCCAGCGGUCAGGAAGAUAUCUUCCGGCGUUAACUUGUGCGGAAGAUCUCGGUUCAUAUAAUCGGCAACGGCUCUGUGGAUCGAUCAGAAACAUUCAAAAGUUAUGGGGUCAAUUUAUAAGAAUGCUAAAACUAUAGGGUCUAAAAGACAAUUUUGAUAUUUAUACUCGAGUGUGACUUCUAAAGUUGAAAUCGAGUCAAAAUUGAAUCGCCGUUGACACAAAAACGACUCCGAUUACGAUCAAAUUCGAAGAACCCAGAUCGAGAAACGCUCGAUUGAAGUGAAAGAUCGAGAAUUGAGUGAUAAAGUUACCGUCUUGCGGGGAGAAUCCCAGCUCCGGGACCGUAAGAAUUGCCUUUGCCGGAGCGGAGGACGUCGACGACGGCGUCUUCAGCUUCGAUACAGGUACGGAAGCAAGGGUAGACGGAAGGGUCACCGUGGCCGAGGGGUAAAAUGGUCUUAUUGACAUCUUUGCUGCAGUUGUCGAAGAGCAUGUAGAUGACACCUCUCAGUGUUACGGUGGAUGCUUUCGCUGCCUUAUCACUUCCACCGAAACGCCAAACGCUACUUUGACCAUUCUGCGUUUGCGUUAUGGGAUCUUUCUCAGUUGUAAACGCGGGAACCGCCAGAUUGGCGUGUGGUUGUUCUUCGCUCAUUUUCUCUCUUUGUGGUUUUGGUUCGUUGCUUUGAGUUCUUUUUUCUAUAACAAUUAAAAUUUCAAUUCCGAUAUUGAAAUAUAAUGCAAAGUUUUGAAUUAUGAAACGUGAUCAAUAAUCUUGGUGAGACCUAACACAAACUAAAAAUCACGUGCCACAAAAGUUACUCCAAUUGGUAGGCUUUGUUUUUGGGCCUGGCCUUGAUAAAAAUAGUUUGGCAAGUUUAAAACCGAACCGAUUAGUUUGAGAUGUUGUGUAUCAACAUUUGUCUAUUUGUCCAUAUAUCUCAACAUUUUUAACUUCAAGGCACAUGUGUUGUGGUCUUCCAUCCCACGUUUGCCUUACUAUGCAUGCGCACUCGUCGCCUCCACGAGUAGUGAAAGUUAUGUAGAAGAUAGCAUUGCUCGACUUCAACUUCAAACUUGACUCUAUGUCGUCUUCCUUUGUUUGUACCACUGCUUUCUUUAUCUCCAACAGGAGAUGAUUAACCUGCAAAUUAAAACAAAAGCUUGGUUGAGAGAAGAGUGCAUGACCCCAAAACAAAUGAGUAUACUGAUAACUUUUCUAGGCUCACCAUGUCAAGAUCCCACUUAGAGUAUGCUCCAACUUGAGCAUAUAGAUGAAGCCAUUCAUUCUCUUGCAAAUCCGAAUCAUUAAUCUACAUUUGAAACAUUUUAACAUUAGUGGCAAGGUGUGAUCUAUGUCUGUGUGUUAAGCAGAUCAUGCACAUAAUGGAAAUCAGUCAAAAAAUUUAUAUAUUGCUAACACCACACCUCAUAGUAGUGUAGCUUCUCGCUUCCUGUAAUUGCACUAUCAUCUAGCCACUUAGGCAUCACACCAUUAUAGAACAUGUCUACACCAUCGAAAUCCCAUUGGGUUCCUUGUUCUCCAGAUCCUACAACAACAUUUCUAGAAGAUUAAUAAUUGGUGGAUGAAUAGAAACUAGCAUAGCUAGAAACACGAGAAACAAUUCUGCAUGUAAUUAAGGUCACAAAUGCAUAAAACAUGUACGCCUUAACAAUAUAUGUUAGUUUACCUUCAAGGCUGCAAAAAGUGGUGACUAAUCUCAAGUUCUCAUCAUUCUCUAUGGAAGCAUCCCAAGCACAGAUUUCAACACUGGAAAAUGAAUUGUUGGCUGGAUCAAUGGCAUUCAAUGUCAUCUGAUAAUCGAAAUGUGCAACCGAUCGCACCAUGAGUUGGGUUACAGUCACCAAAUGUGCUAGAAUAAGAGCAAUAUAGAUAGAGUUACCUUGUGAGAAUUGUAGCAAUGGAGUGCCAACUUUGCAAUGAGUUCGUUAGCUUCAUUAACACCAAAGGCUUUUACACCACAAUAUCCCUGCAAAAAAAUCAGAUCACAAGUAGACUUGAGAGACAAUCAAUCAAUCCUUUAUAAAGUAGCAAUAUUUUUUUACAAGUUAGGGUUAUGAAAUCCUACAACCCACGAAACCACGGUGUGAGAGUUACCGUAGAGACAUCUUCGGAGGAUUCUUUGUCUAUAGGUGAAGGUGGAGAACAGAUCGGAGUUUCGAACACCAUCUUUCUGAUAAAAAAAAACAAACUCUUUCUCUAACUUUCGAGAGAAUGAAUGGAAAACAGAGAAGCUAGCUAGCUAGUUAGGGCUUUUUGUAAUCGCAACUUUACCUUUUUUCCUCUUUCUAUUCUUUUGUACUUUUAGGUUUUACCUCUUCGUAAAGAGACCCAUUCUUUGUGCUUAGUUGAUAUUUUUACGUACCGACUCUGAAAAUUAUAAAUAAAAACUAUAAUUAGAAAUUGAAAAUAGAAGCUGAAAAUUUGUUCCCUACAAGAAAUAGAAAGGAGAGAAUUCACAAGGAGGGACAAAUUUAAAGUUAAAAAAAAAAACACACCAUUCAGAGUAAUGGCAUAUGGAGAGAAAGUAACCUUGUCAAUGUUCGAUGAGAAAGUAAUAGCUAAUAGAUACUCAAAUCAGGUAGGUUUUUGUUAUAGGAAAAAGGAAGAGGAGCUGACGUGGAUAGAUGCUGAAAGAUGAUUGGCUGAGAGGUGAAUAAUGAGUUGGCAGCUGUUGAUUGGUGCGUUGGUUGUUGGAGAAGAGGUCGUGAAGCUAUUAACAGAUCUCAAGAUCAUUUGCAGAGAAUUGUUUUGGUAUCUUUUUCUUAGAAUUCCUUGCGUUGUGACAAUGGUGGACUCAUUGUUGGCUAGAGUUUCUUGUGAACUCAGCAGAUGAGAUUUGGAUCCGCGUUUCAUGAACGUUGAUACAAUAUUUGUGUUUGAUUUUCAAGUUUUCGAUUGAAUAGCAGUUUCCCUGCUUCAGUUUUAUGAGAAUUACACCAGAUUCGAUACUUCUCUGCUGCCACCGGAUCCACCUCAUCAUCGUCUGAAUCUUCAUCAUACAGGGGAUUCGAGCUUCGGUUUAGGCUGCAGAGGUUCGUCGAGCCACAUCUUGGCCUCAUCCAACAUUAAAUCGUACAUCUUUCUCUUUCUGAUCCCACUCCAAAACCCUUUCUAAUCGGAACCAAACACAAUUCUGAUAUUUGUGUUUUCUUUACUUGACUCACAAGUUUCCUUUUUCUUUUCCAUCCCCCUUACUUUAUUUUUAUGAUAAAUAGACCCUAAGUCUUUAAGCCCCAAUGCUAUGUAGUAUUAACCCCCAACAUUUGACUUCCUUUCGUCGAUUUAUAUAACUAACGCUCUUGUUAAUACCAACUAAACCAUGGAUUUUACAUUUUGGAAAGAAUUUUAUUGUCAAUGGAGUUUUUUUAACAAGACAUGACUUUGAUCACACAGCGUGGGCGUCUUUUGUUUCUCUCUCUCUCACACACACUUGACUGGUAAAAUUUAUAAACAACAAAAGUUUAUCACUGGAACCUUACAACUAUACAAGAGAUGUCGUCUGUGCUUUUCUUAGAGACUGCUUCUUCUAUCAACUCCUUCGCUGCCGCUUGUGGAUCUUUUAUGGUUUUGAUCACAUCCACCGCUUCUUGGUUCGACAACACCUGUUAAUACAAUACUCAAUUGUAAAAUCAAAUUUAGAUUCCAUCACUCUGAUGAUAAUAUGGAAGUGUUCUCUAAAUACCUUCCAAAUUCCAUCACUUGCAAAAACGAUGAACUCAGUCUCAUCAUCGAUAGUCUGGUGUGUUAUGUCUGGUUCUGAGCUCAGAUGUAUCUUUAAACUCUUAUCUCCAAACGCCCUCGCAACCGCUAGUUGUCCAUCAACUCUUGGAACAUCCCCUGCAACAUUCAAGAAUCGUCUAUCAAUUCCUCUUCUCAUAUUCUUUUAUACGUGAGCAAGUAAGUAUAUAUAUCCAUCUACAAAACUUACCUGGAAUAUUCGAUACAAAGCCACCACGGCUCUCUAUUUCCUUUUGCUCCUUGCUUGGUUCAUGAUCAACAGAGAGUUGAUAAGCAACACCAUUCUUUGACAUCACUGCUCGUGAGUCUCCAACAUUAGCAACCACUAGCUUUUUCCCAUCUAUCAGAAUGCCUGUUACAGCCGUUGAUCCGCCUUUGCCAAGUUUAAGUGACUGCUCUAAUAUCACAGCAUCCGUUGAUAUGUAUGCAUUCCUUAUAGCGUUUUCCGUAUCAGUCCAAAAAUCUUUCUAAGAGAGUGAAAAAAACAAAAACAUUUUAAGACAUAAAAGGGGACACUACUAGAAAUUGACAAAAAAAAAAUGGAGUUACCUCUUUGAGUAUGUUAUCAAAGAGAUUGGUCUGCAAGUACUUGGCCACAUCAUGCCCUAAAUGACCGUCAAAGAUAGCAAACAAACCCAAAUCAUGGCCGUCUACUUUCUUGAACUCAGACACAACAUAGUCCUCCAUGGGAUGGCACGCUUUGCCUUUCACAAAGUCAUAACCGUGUGCGAUGUUCUUCCACAUCUUGCUUUUACCUCUGCCUGUGUCAGAUCCGCAUAAUCCAACCUUAAAAUAUUCACACCAAAAAAAAACAAGAAAUUAAAGAGAUCCAUGUACGAAAGUAAUCACAUAAAUCCAAGUUCUGUAAUUUCAUUCAUCAAGAGCCAUUAAACAUAUAGAAAAUGCGCAAAUUAAUUACUGAAAUAAAUUCCAUAGAUUAACACAAGCUAAGUUCUAAAAGAAUCAAUAUCCCCGUUUAACAUGGGAAAUGCUUUGUUCCUUAAAACGGCUCUACGUACAAGUUAGAAGCAAACAUAGAUUGAGAAACAGAACAAGACAUACAAGGAUCAGAUCACAAAAUCAAGAUCCUUAGAGCCCUUGAAAUUAACUUGAAACACUAUUAUAAGAAAAAGAAAAAAAAAAGACUAGCCUUGAGCUGAAGCAUACCUUCAUCUUAUGGAGAAUCUCUCUGCCUGUCAUUGUUACAAGAAUUUGUUUCUCUGCGUUUGUGUCUGAAAUGUGAAUGAUUCAAAAAAGACAGAGAGAGAGAGAGAGAGAUGAGUUUAUGUAAUAAAUGACUGUGAGGUAAUCACGUGUGAACAGCCCGUGACUUUUAUCACUAUUGGCUACUGACUUCCUCCGCCGACGACUUUUCUUCUUUUAUACUUUUAUUCUAUUUUCAUAAGGCAAAAGAAAUCCGUAAACAAAUUCUCUCUAUAUUCAAUCACAUUGCCGACAAAAUAAAACAUUAUUUUUUAACAUACAAAAAUGUUAUUUCGUACAUACACAUCAUCUCAUUCAUAACAUUAUUGAUCGGAAAAACAAAUUUUAUUAUUACUUAAAAUAUCAUACAUUAUUAUUUUACAGAGUACUAACUAAACAAGGGAGACCUUAAUUUUAUCUAAAAUAUCAUACAUUAUUAUUACACGCGUUGACAAAAAAAAACGCGUGUAAGAGGCAAAACCACACGCAAUGAAGGCGCGUUGAGCGCGUGAGAUUAAAAUCCGUGGACUAUAACCCUCCGAUUUGGUGAUUUUUGCAUAAAUGAAAAAUUAGGAGGACAUGAAGCGCGUGAGCCGGAAUUUAUCAUUUGUCUACCUGAAAACAUGGGCCACAUAAUAUACAACAAAUAGGCCCAUUUACACUUUUGGGCUAUAAUAUAGAAUAUUUGUUGCGGUCCACCAAAUUUUGAAUUUUGAAAAGCUUCACUUCCCACUCUCUCUCUCCUUCAUACGGCUGCGAUUGCGAAAAUGGUAAUCGGUUACAGAGACAACGCCGGUGAAUCGGAAUCCGCCGGAGACCCGCUCUUCCCGUGGCUUAUGUAACUCAUGCCUUCUCCUCUCUGCUCAUCUAAUUAAUUGUAAAAUAUGUAUCAAAAGGUUUCUGAUUAUCGAUUAGGGGGUUUUCACAGGAAGAUUAAAAAUUCGAUGGAGGAUCUAUACUCUGGUAAAAAUUCCGGCGAAGAUCUCGAUAAGCUUCUCUAUGAUUGUAUCUCAACUUAUAAGGAAGAUACUCGGUACCGAAAUGACCUCAGAUUCCUCAAGAUCUGGUUUCUCUACGUAAUUUUACUAAAACCCUCUCUCCAUGUUGUUUGAGCUUAAAUUUUGCUUUGUUGAUUUAGCAUACUUAGGUUUUGGGAUUGUUGUAUUCCGAAUCAAUUGAUGCAUGUUACAGUUUUGGGGGUUUGAUUGUUGGAUUUUUUCUUCAAUUUUGAUGGUUUUAGCUUGAUGGCUGUGAAGAUUUUGAGAGGGUUUAUAGAGAAGUUGAAGAGAAUGAGAUAUGUAUAGGGCAUUCUUUGCUCUAUGAAUGGUAUGCUAUUUUUCUUGAGGUCAAAGGAUUAUGGCGAAGAGCAAAUUCGGUUUAUCAGACUGGUCUUUCAAGGUCUCUUAUCUUUCUCCUUGUUGUGUGGCUCAUUAAUAAUUUUUUUCUUCUAGUUUGUGAUUUCAUUUCUGAUUUGUUGCUCAUUCUGCUAUCUUGGAGAAAUGUAGGAAAGCUGAACCAUUUGACAGGUUAAAAGAGGCUCACUCGUUGUUCUUACAAAGAAUCUCUAAGAGGACCAAAACAUCUUCCCUUGAAGAGGUUGAUUUUCUAAUAUAGUUAACUUUGGUUAUUAACCCAAAAGCUUUAGUUGAGAGAACAUCAUCACUCGUAGCAUUUGGUUAUUCUAAUGCACUUCGAUAGCUUUAGUUGAGGAUUGAACGGAAUUUUCUUUCUGGUAUGUUGGUGAUGAUGCUCAGGCCACUGACUUGGAGACGGGUUUUCUGAAUCCAUGGGAAACCUCCACUGUGAACGGCUUAAUUCACAAGAUAAAACCCCAGCUUGUGAAAUAUGAUGUAAGGCAGAUGGAAAAUCAUGAUAUUUUACAUGAUUUUGCUUAUAUAGGGAGGCUUAUCCACUGAGUUUCUUUCUUUAUGUUUGCAUCAGGGGUACCAUGCAAGCAACAAAGUUUUCCCUGGAAAAGCCAACCUGUCAUCUUUGCAGAAUUAUUCCAGAAAUAAGAUCAUUGACAUAGGUAUACUUUUUUCAUACCAAUCUAGUCUGUCACCUCUACAGGAUAAAGAAUGUUUCUUUUUAUUUUAAGAUGCAUUGUUCAAAUUAGAAGUGGCUGAGUAUGUAUUCAUUUAUGUAAAAGAAAUUGAGUCCCACUUUGUUCUCACCUGGGACAAUAAGUCUUCUCUGAGACCCAAAAAAAAAAUGACCUGGAUUCAUUGUCUAUUUGCUAGGUGGAAGAAAGUACCAGAUGAAGGGCUGUGCUGGCCAAGGUGGUUUUGCUCAAGUGUUCAAAGCAUACAUUGACAGCAAUCCUGAUGAAGUAGUUGCUCUAAAGGUAGAUAGACCCUUAAAGUUUUUCAAAUACAGUAUGACGCAAAAUGGCACAAUUGUCAGAUGUUGCUCACAUCUAAUAUUGCAUAUACUACUCUUUUCACAGGUACAAAAGCCACCUUUUCCUUGGGAAUUCCACAUGUAUCGCCAACUUGAUUGCAGGAUCCCAGAGAGCCAAGUAUGCCCUUUUCCAUCAUUAUUACCAGGUCACAGGUGUUUCACACCGUACUAAUUACUCUCAUACUAUGUUAGAGAUCAAGUUUUGGAUUGGCUCAGAGAGUGCACGUGUAUUCAGACUACAGUAUACUUGUCUGCGAUUAUCUAUCACAUGGGACACUCCAGGUAGGUUUCUGUGGACUCUUACAGACUGAAGAAACAAAAUGCAGGCAUACUGUUUAAUUUGCCUUCUUUUUGUGAGUUAAGGACGUCAUAAACUCGUAUGUCGUUGUUGGCAAGUCCAUGGAAGAAGUUUUGUGCAUGUAUUACACAAUAGAAAUGCUGUACAUGCUGGAAACUUUGCACAGUGUUGGAAUCAUUCAUGGUGAUUUCAAGCCAGACAAUCUGCUGAUCCGAUACCCUCCGUAAGUUUAUUCCGCUCCAGUAUUGCUGAUUAGAUUGUAGAUACAACUUUUGGAUCAUGAAGCAAUAUACUUGUAUGUUAACGAUCAUGGCAGAGACUGAUAUACCUCAUGAAUUACUUGCAGAGAAAACCUAACUGAGACAGGCUUUCAUGAUAAAACAGGUUCUUGGAGCAAUCAGGUAAUUUCCUUAUACAACUGCUAGUUCUGAUUCGUGUGUGUCAACAAUCUGAUGCAAUUUUUCAUUUCUGCCUUAGGGUCUCUGUCUUGUUGACUGGGGUAGAGGAAUAGACUUGAGCCUGUUUCCUAGAACCACCGAGUUUACAGGAGAUUGUCGUACCUCAGGCUUCCGUUGCAUGGAGAUGAAAGAAAAGAAACCUUGGAAGUUUCAGGCAAGUCUUUUAAUUCACACUGUUUCAGCAAGAACGAUUAGCCUUUAACCAUUUGAGACCAUUGGAAUAUGUGUUAUAUAUAGGUGGACACUUAUGGACUAUGUGUAAUCGUCCACAUGAUGCUGCACAACUCCUACAUGGAGAUCGAGAAGAAACAAUCUCUGGACGGUGGCCACAUUAAUAUGCCGAGAACUUCAUUUAGAAGGUCUCAAGAAUAGAUGAACUUCAUUAGCUUGUUUUGUCUCUCAAACAAAAAAAAAAAACAUUAUUGUUUGGAUAUUGAUUCACUAAGUUGUUUGCUCAGAUACUGGAACGUGGAUCUGUGGAAGGAACUAUUCACGAAGCUGCUCAACAGAGAGACGUGUGAAGAUGACACAGAGACACUAAGGAAUCUGAGAAAGUCAAUGGAAGAGUAUAUAUGCUCCGAUCCUAAGCUCAUGAAGAAGCUUAACGAGUUACUCGCCAAACAACGCAUCUCUUUAUGCUCUUCGUAAUUAUCGUCACUAAGUAAUUAAAGAGUCUCUGUAUAGUGUUUGUGAGAGAAAAAAGAAAGAAACACUUAGGAGACUUUGAUUGCCUCGCCUCUCAAGUAACGCGCAAAUUUGUGGUCUAGGAUAGUUUAUUAUUGAAUUUGAAUGUAUGUAUCUAACACAUCUAUAUUUCCUACUUUGUAUUUCGUAUCACAUGGUUUCCUACAUCUUAGAAGUGAGAUACUAACAAAAUAAUCUAGGGUGCGAUUUAUUAAGGAGUAUAUUAAGUGUUGCUUAUCAAGAAAUGAAGAAAUAUGUUGCUUAUAGAUUGUUACGAGAUAGCUUUGUUGCGGGUUUCUUGCCGGGUUGCUGAAGAAUGAUUGUUUAUAUGUUGGAGGAUUUUAUUAAAAGAAUGGCCAAUGAAUAUGCACUAAAGAGAUUGACUUAUUACACAAUUCAUCAUACUAUGUCUAUCUAUGCUCUGUUUUCAUCUAAUAUCUUUCCAAGCCCUGAAACCAAAGAAGCACCCAAAUAUGUUUCAGUUUAAUCGGCAGAACCUGAGCAGCUGUUACCUACAAUUAAAUGUGGGUGCAGUUAAUAGACGAUUCCGAGGGAACCAAAGCUUAAGCUGGAGGAAGUGGGCGACGACAUGUUGGGCACUCCAUCUUUAUAUCCAUCCAUCUCUGUAAGCAACCCGAGUGGAAUAUAUGCUCACACGGCGUUACCAUGCAAUCAUUAAUACGGUGUCUGAGAUCAAUCGUGGUCAUGCAGAUUACGCAGUCCCUGCUUCGGUUUACAUUAUGAUCCAAUCUUCUGUAGUAGCUGUAUUUCUCAGGGAGCAUCUGCCGCAUCGGAAGUAAACACAUGAGCUCUUGAUAAUGACAACUAAGCAAUUUACUAUCAAUCUAGAAAGGCAUCAGAACCAACAAACCUUCCGAGGGACAAAGCAACGAGACCCGAAAUAAUGCUGAAGAAGAAGAACAGCAGCUUGAAACCCCAUGAAUGCGCACAGGCUUACACACCAGGCCUUGCUGGGCUCUACACGCAUGAAGUUCUUCGGGCAACCAAAAACAUACAAUGGUAUAGCAAGUCGUGUAACAGUCAUCCCCAGGAUAUAGUAAGGAUGCAGGGGCUUUCGAGAAUCACGAACAACGUUUGCAACUAUCUGGGGAAACCAAAACGAGUACAUGAGUAGGAGGAUCGGCCGCAUGUAGUUGUGGAACUCAUACAUUAACAAUAUGCCUCCAAGAAGGAUACCAUCUGUUGAAAAUCAUUACAAUGAGAGAAACAUCAAACAUCUGUGAGAAAUUUAAGCAUUUACUUGAUAAUGAACAAACACAAAAGAAAUCAAAUACUCACAGAAACGGCUGUACAGAAAGGAGAGCUCACGCCUCAUUGUUUCCCAGCCCUCACCGCUGGUUGAAGGCCGGGUUGCUUUCCAUAUGGACAGAAGAUACCUCAUCUCAAAUAUCGAAAACACUACAAAUUUGAAGAACGCAGCUGUUGCAAAAGCGUUAAAAAGGGAUUCUGCAUAAGAAUAAAAUAGAAUGAUUGAGAAAAGCAUGACAUGGUCAAGAAAUAGACAGUUUAUGAGAAUUUCCAUCACAAUCAUUGAGAAAUGUACUUACACAGCCUAUGAAAAGCUAUGAAGAUUAUUAUCAAGAUGAACAGGGAACACAUUGUGAAGAAGUGUGAAAUUAUAUUUAAAAUACAUACCAACUAAAAUCCCAGCUGUGAGAUGUAAAAGGCAUAAAUAAGAAUCCAUGAUGGCUUGUUGCCCGAUCAUUACUAUAGAGACCUUUGCAGCACCCUUGUAAACAAGAAGAGUUAUCCAAAAGUUAGCAUCCAGUCUCUUCUCUUAGAAAGAUCAGAUAAACAAAAAAUGAUAAUCUUACGGAUUGUGUGUUACUGUGCUCCAUUUGCCGGAUCAAUAAAAGAACCUGGAGGAACGAGACCUAAGUACAUAACAAGUUAAAGAAUCCGCUAAAACUGCCAUGUGUUUGUCAUUUUGUGAUGGAAUGACAAAGAGAUUGGAACAAAGGAUACAAAAGUGACCAUCAAUGUAUAGUUCACAGCUUUGUUAUAGUAGACUUCAACGUUUAUGGAGGUUGCAUUCAGCGACAAUGGCGAAAAACAAUCUCCGUCAUCAUCUACUGCAGGACUUUCCAUCAAUCCUUCGAUAUGAUAACGAUCUUUGUCCCCAUCUACCAAAAUAAGUAAGACUCUCUCAAAGUCAGACUAAAAUUAGCUAAGAAGGCAAGAACUGAGCCAGCAUCAUCAUUUCAACGCCAAAUGUUAGAAGGCAUACAUACUGUUUUCACUAGAAGCGCUUUGGGAUAUUUGGGCUGCUAUUUCGAUAUUGCAGUGCUUCUCCAUCUCAUAUAUUGGAGCUGGAAUACAACACAAAUGAAGGUCAGAUGUAGUAGAAGAGUACAACAUAUAGAUACAAAUCCAGAUCCUACUCACAAGUUUUCUGUUUCAAUAUUCUGUCUCUUGGAGAUUCUUGAAAUACUUGGGAGGAAAAAAUACCGAGCUGUCCGACAGCAGAAAAGUUGACACUAGUAAGCUCUCCAAACAUUUUAACAUAACAAAGAAUCAGAAAAAUGAUGCAACAUCACGUGGCAAAGUGGAUCACAUCCGGCAUUACCAGAUGAUAGGGGUUGGAGAGAAGAUAAUCGUCUUCUAGUCCUGAAUCACCCUUCUUUCCGCUGAUCAAUCAUUAAACGUACAGACCUUAGAGAACCCUACCAAUACUGGAUCUUGAAAAGCAAUUAAAUAAAUCAAAAAUGUAGUUAAACCUGUUAGCAACAAGACGGAGCUGUCUAAAGGGCCAAAUAUAUACACCUUCAACUUUAAUUUGGGCACCACCCACAUUGUGUUCAUUGUCAAAUACGUCAUGGAAAACAACUGCACCCUGUUCCCAUUCAAAGUUAACACAAGUUCUGAUUUUGCAAAGUUAUUUAUUAAGAUCAAAAAGCAUGAUCUCCAUGAUGCAGACUAUCAAGAGCAGCUAUUCACCUGAACAUAAUGCACACCAGUUAUUUUUGUUGGACUUGUCACUAACUCAAUGACAGAGUUACCACUUUCUUUUCUGAAAUCUGGGAACUUUGAAGAGCUAUUUACAGUAUCUAGAAAGUUCCAUGAGCCUGAAACAUAGAUCACGGAAAUGAGCUUCAAGAUCAUCCCUCAGCGUAGGAUUAUGAUAUUGAAGCAGAAAAAAAACCAACAAUGCAAUGCCACAAAACCUCUAUAUGUUCCUGUUAUGUUCCAUGCGGAAAACGGUCCUGCUCCGCUUUUUUCUUUCUUGCCAAAGCGCCACUGCAAGAUCAAAAAAACAAUCUCAGCCUUCCCAUUCCGCUUUGCACAUUCUAUCGAAAACUCGUGGCAUAUAGACAGACUAAAACUGCAUAAUCUCAUUCCCCUCUUAGAUUAUGAGCUAUCAGAAAUUCUACUAUUGCGACAAGUACUGUUCUCUCUCUUCAUAACGUAAACAAGUCAACGAACACAUUGAACAGCAAACUAAUGAAAGACUUAGCUGAUACACAAAAAUAAAGAACAUUGAAAGCAAAUUGAAACAAUCAUCAAAACCACACAAACCUCAUCGCCCCAGGAUCGAGCAGUCUCCCUAAUGGGUCUGAGUCCAUUAGCUUGUUGCAAAACCGCAAACCAAAUCGAUAAGGAGAAGAACCCUAAUCCCCAAACCCCGAAAUUCCCCAGAUUAUUCAUAUCACAACCCAAAAUCUCGUGUGGUUUCACAAUGCCGAUUCAUCAGAACAUAAAGGAGACAAGAAGAUCAAUAAAAAAGGUUGCUUUAAGUGAAGUCAAACACAAGAAACGAAGAUCAAAUCGGCUAAAAGAGAAAGUGAGAGCCCAACAAACUGCAAUAGAAGAUUGUUCGUCUGUACCAAACCACAACUAGAAGAGAUUAUGACAGAGAAACAAACUCUGUAAUCAUAGAACAGCAAUUGACUUUGAAAAUGGUCGUCGUUUGAGAUUCUUUCUCUCUCGUUUUGGGAGAAAGUUAAAAACUUUAUGGCCUUGUUCUCUAGUCUAUUAGUAUAAUAUAUGUUUGGAGAGAACAAAGGUGGAAACUUGGAAAGGACAAAGGAGUUUUACUUUGUAAAGUUUCAAUCUUGAAGACGAUCUUCUCUCGAGUCUAUGGGCUCUCUCUGUCUCUGAGGUUAAAAUCUUCUUUUGUUUUUCUUCUGUUACGUAAAUCUUCUUAUUUCCCCAAAACAUUCAUUUAUGCAAAUGUCAACUCUAUAAAUAUUUGAUGAAAAAAAAGAAAAACAUAUUUUUACAUGUUUUCUCAUCAUAAAUUCCUACAUUUUGUGUGAAAAAAAAAAAAACAUCAUAUAUUAUGACAAAGAAAAAAAAAAUGAAAAAAAAAACAACUCAUUAUACCAUUUUAAUAUUUAGUGGUCAGAAUAUUGAGGAAUUUUUUAACUCUAAAGUGGGCACUUUCAAGUUCAAUCUGUAAGUGCGGAUGAGGUCAAAUAAAUUGCGGAAAGUAAACGAGACAAGAAAUUUGUUAACGAGGUUCGGUUUUUCCUACUCCCCGGGACCACGUCCAGAUUUCGAUUCCACUAGAACAAGAAAGCAAAUACAACCUAUUCGCAAACGCGUAAAUCAAGCACAACCCUCUUGAUUCACCGCUUCGUUCUAUUAACAUGAAAUCUUAAGGAUAAAUCUCUACCCUUAACUAAACUCUCCUGAGCCUAGAUUUAAUCAGGAUAACCUAACCCUGAGCUAAACUCCCCCUGAGUCUAGACUUCAAUUCUCCAAGUCUCUGGAACAACCACCAAACACGAACCGUCACGCCAACGAACCCAACGAUCACCAAGAUUCUCCAACAUGAACCGUCAACACCAACACACAAAUAAGCUUGAUCACACAAGCACUUAACCCGCGAAACUACGUCGCACACGAUCACACACAAUCUCUCACAUCGAAUCUCUUUGGGAUUUUUACUCUUGCCAAUCCACAUUCUCAUAAGGUCACGUCCCCCUUAUAUAAUAAACAGAAACUUGCACCUCAAGUUCUUCCAAUCACACAUAAGAGAAAGUUUCUUAAUCUCAUAAGAAAAAGAUUUUCCUUUUUGCCAAUUUCCUUUUCACUUCAAGCAAACUUCCUCUUUGCUUACAUGAUUCCUUUUGUCUUCAAACAAAGAUAUUUUCCUUUUCCUUGACUUAACAAACGCUCCAACAUCCAAGUACUCGAGCUCCUCAUCAGCAACUAUGCUUCUCAUCUUCUUAAAUCACUUCUUGUACUACUUCCUGUACUACUUCGACGACUAGUACAGAACACCAAAAUAACUGCAUCUUCAAUCUCCCCCUUUUUGACUAUGUAUGUGAACUCAACAAUUCUAGCUUCAAUGACUUCAUCACCAGUAACACAACAACCUAGCAACACCAACCUCCCCUUACUUGAAUCACAUCAUGGUCAAAAACCAAUUGAAGGAUCGCCUCCAUCGAAACCAAGGAUGAUUCCCAAUUGCAGCAUCUCCGUAAUGAUUAACUCUCCUGGACCAAGUAUUCCUGAGUUGUAUGAAUCCAUAACGCAUGAUUCUUAGCUCUGUUUUACUUCCUGAACUAUCUCCUGAACGAUCUCCUGAAUGAUCUCCUGAACGAUCUCCUGAAUGAUCUCCUGAACCUCAUCCUGAUCUACCCGAAACAAGACUAAAUCUACAUCAGACUGCAGCUACAUCUUGACUCAUUCAGCAACUUCAUUAGACUGCAGCUAUAUCUUCAUUCUCCCCCUUUUUGACUAUGUCUGUGAACUCAACAGUUCUAACUGCAAAACAACAUCACGAAACAUAUCAUCAUUCUCCCCCUGGAUGAGUCACAACAUGGUUAAAACUACUUGGAAAAUUCUCCCCGCUUUGCACUACGAGGUUGAUAGCCUAGUACACCACGUCCAUAGAAAUCAUCUUUCCUAACCCAAAUCUUCCUGCGCCUUAAGCCUUCAUGACUGGAUUCUCGAAUGAAUCUGAAACAAUUCCUCUUAAUGUGCCCUUGAACUCCACAAUGAAAACAUGUAGGACCAUGAAAUCUCACAUCAUAAGCAUUCUCCAUUCGAAUUCUCUCCCUCAACAAUCUGAAACACCUUGGCCUAAUAUGUCCAACAACACCACAAUGAUGGCAAACAGGUCGAAAAACUCGUCGAGGUGCACUCUGCAGUUCUUUAACUUUUCCUGAAUCAGACUCUGUAUCAGUUCUCGUAUCAGAUACAGCCUUUGCAUUAAUUGCAGUCCCUGCUGCAGUUUCUGUGUCAGUUCCUGAAGCAGACGUGAUUUUACCACCAUAAACGAACACCGGAUCCGAUUUGGAAAGACUUCCUUUAAAUCCAAGGCCACACUUAUCUGUCUUGCCUAUAUUCAGAAUAUGAUCCAACUUCUUUGUGCCAUUAUUAAGCAUCCUCAAAUUCUUUUGAGUUUCUUCAAGUAGUACUUUAUCUUGUGAUGCUUCUUCUUCUUUCUCUACCGCAUAUUUUUGUGCUUCAAUGACUUUAGCCUCUAACUUGAGUUUCUCCUUAGUUAACAUUGAAUUCUCUUCAACUAUUUUAAGCCAAUGCUCAUAUAAGGCUUUGUAAUUCUCAUGAAACUCUUCAUCACUGAUACUUUCAUCGUCAUCACUUUGAUCAUUGACACUUCCAAUUGCAGAUCAUGUUGCAGAUGCUGAUGAAGAUGCUGAUGUAGACCUUGAUCCAGACUUUGCUGCAGAACUAGACUCAAAAGUUGUAAACGCCACAAAAUUCUUCAAUUCUUCACCAUCAUCUGAGUCAAUUUCAGAAUCACUCAUGAUAAAUCUCUUCUUCUUUUGCUUCAGCAAAUUCGCACAUUCUAAACGCACAUGUCCAAAACCUUUGCACUCAAAACAUUGUUUGCCCUUUGAUGAAUUGUCCAACUCUUCUCUUUUUCCAUUAGCCCUAAAACCGUGAAGAGAUCUGUUUUCCCUCAUUCCAGGGAAAACAUCAUUGAAGCAUUCUCUCUUUGUAUACUACAAAAACUACAUCUUUGUCGAAAGCAAGUUAUUAAUUAAAAUCCGGACUUCUAUCUGAUAUUUGUUAGACACACAUGGGAAUAGAUGGAAAUUAGACUUUUGUUAUACAAAAUAAAACAUCUAAUGUUUUUCAAGUGAUCAAAGUCCUCAGCAUCUUAGAUUCACUCAUUAAGAUGCAUUGUAUCCAUAUUGGCUACUCAAAUAAUCCAAAAUCAGAUUCACUACAGGCAGUUUGUUCAUUUUUUUUUCUUUAAUUAAAUGUAGCUGGAUAAAGCUACACUAUCUUAUAGUCUGAUAAAAUAACAACACAAAAUCGGUUCUGCAUGCUCAUGGAAUUGAAGCUUUAUAGAAUAAGUCAUAAUGAAAGUUACCACUAUGCAAACAAUUCAGACAUUUAUAAAGGAGAUAAAAUGAGUUGGGGUACGGGUUUAGAAAAACAUACAGGUCCACGUUGUUGCCUGUGUUGUGUUGAAGGAAGAGGGAGUGAAAAUCAGCAUCCAUCAUAGCAAUCACGCUGUUCAGUGAAUAAACUGUAAUCAUCAAGAAAAAGAAACAUUUGAACCACUAUGUUUGAUGCUUUCAGCCGUAUAUAAUUCAAAUAAGAAAGUAUAACAUUUGAACCAUUAUCUUCCUUAAAGUUUAUAUCAUCCAAAGCUUAGCAUUUGAAUGACACUCAGCCAUUAAAACCUAGAACUUAUUCCAAACUGAAAUAUAUAUAAACUAUCAUCUUCUAAGCAAAAACUUAAUACAGUGGUUGUUCCAAAACUAAGAAACAACUAAUUUCUGAGGUGCAGAUAUUAAACAAGAUUUAAAUCAAGAAACUUAGCAGUAUACCUAUCCCAUCCCUCUGCAGCACUCUGUGUAGAGCCAACUGCAUCCCACCAAUAAACUCCGAACGAAAAGCUAUUGAACAUAUUAAGAAAAAAUGUAGAUCAGUGAUAUCUCAAGUCACUAUAUAAGUUCCUAUAUAUGCAAGCAGACAAGCUAGACAAUAUAUACCCGAGUUUACAUACCUCUCAGCAAUCGCCUGCUCCCAUGUUGAUAUUGAACAUAUUAUUAGCAAAAAAAAGUGUUAGUUUUUUUUUUUUUUUUUUUUUUUUGACAUAUUUGGAUCGACAAGGCCCGAUCCAUAGCCAAUCCCUACUACGCGGGGUAACGCGACUUAGUGGAGUCGAACUCCGGUGGAGAAGGCGGAGUCAAGUGGACUUAACCACUUGACUAAAAGCACAUCCAAAAAAAAAAAAAAAAAAAAAAAAAAGUGUUAGUUGUGAAGAAAUAAUUUGAAAUAAAUACCUUGUUGAUAAACGGGUGUAGAAGAAAUAAUUUGAAAUAAAUAGAUUAUUGUAUUUCAUCGAACUUCUGAUAAAAGCGUGCAUUUGUGAGGUUUGAUCUUGGAUAAGCAAUAAAAAUACAGAUUAUACUAUCAUCAAAAGCUUAUCAAUUUCCUCGUUAAAAAUCAUAGGUAAAGAGAAUAUCAGAAUACCAUGGUUAAGUGGAAAAAUAAGCAAAUCCUUCCAAAAAACGUAAUCCGAUAAAAUCUCCUUAAUCGUUUAAUUUAAGACUCGGAAACACAACAUAACAAGAGUUUUUUUUUGUUCUUAAUUCAGACAUGUCAUGUAAAGAAAAAUAACUCAAGUCAAUAUGUCUCUUCACUUGGCGGCUUUAUCAAACUUUUCGCAAAUUUCCUCGUACUCUCUUAGUUGCUGCAGAAAGAGUAGCAUACAAAGAAAACCAUAUGAGAAAAGAAAUGUCAAUUAUGAUUGCAUAAGAAAAAAGAAGCAUCGAUUUUGAUUUAACCUGAUUUGUGAGAGACGGUCUGAGUGCAGACAAAGAUUGCUCAAAAUGAUCCAUCUUGAUUAUGCGCUUACUGGUUGAGCUAGUAUCUCUGUAGGCGGCAAAAGCCGCUCGAUUUACCAACGAUUUAAGAUCAGCACCACUACAAUUCUCACAACGCUCCGCUAUGGCAUUUAAAUCAACCGUUGGGUCAAUUGGAACAGUGAUACCCCUCACCAGAGAUUUCAGAAUUGAAAAACGUUGGGCAGCAUUUGGGAGUGUUACAUAGAAUAGUCUCCCAAACCUGCCCGCCCUUUGAACAGCGGGGUCCAUCCUGUCAGGCCUAACCCAAGAAAAAAAAAAGAAACGAAAAGUUGAAUAAAAAAAAUGUCACAAUAAUUGAACAUGUUCCCACAGUUCAGAGCAAAAACCUAACCUGUUUGUAGCAGCAAUCACAAUUACACCUCCUCGUUUUUUUCCACCACUCAAUUCAGCGAGUAACUGUCAAUUAGCAUGUCAUUAGUUAGCAUCAUGACAUGUUUCAGUAUAAUGAUUGAGAAUGAGAUUCGAAACAACUCACCUGAAUCAAAGAUCGUUCAACAACCCAAGCACCUUGCUCACCACGUUUUGAUGUUAAAGCAUCCACCUACAGUGCUUAAAGAACAUCAAUGCACUGCACUGCUGAGGAACUUGUUUUAUUCUCUACAGUCUCCUAACUUCUUGAACCAAUAUUCUUGAAUACAUACAAUAAAUUAAAGUCCAACUACUCUUCUUCAACACAACUACGUUUUAAUUUUCCCACUGCCAAGUCGAACCUUAACUAUGUUUAAGAAUGAAACAUUUCACAAACCAAAACAAACUCAAAGGCUUCUCAAAGGUAGAAGAAUCAACACAAAUAUUUCAUACUUUUUGUUUUUGCAAAUUCCAUCCGUAAAUUAGUUUCAAUUCUAUGUAUCUGCCAUUCCAUUUCAUCAGGUUAGCUUGAGGGAAAGAGCAUAGUUCUAUUGAGUGUAUCUCAAAUCAGUUUCUGUCACAAAUAUUUGGUUUAAACAAAAGAGCUUUAGCUUUCACUGUUCUUUAUAGGACUUGAUUAGUUUAUAUCACUCUGGAACACUGACCUCAUCAAAGAAGACUAUGCAUGGUGAGCACCUCCUAGCACGACUAAAUAACUCCCUUAUAGCCUUUUCCGUGUCUCCCACAUAUUUGCUUAGAAGCUCUGGACCCUACACAUAGAUCAAAAAUAUCAGAUAUCAUAGGUGUUCACCCUUCAUAAGCAAUACAGAAACUGUCAUGAAAACGGGGACACAAAAGAAAUUACUGAAAGAAAUUAUGUUCCAAGCAAACCUCAACGUGGAUAUAGUUGGCUCCUGCCUCAUUAGCAACAGCCUGCGCAACUAGCGUCUUACCAACCCCUGGUGGUCCAAAGAGCAAAAAUCCGGUGUCUAAACAAAAUUCAAAUCCCUGAAAAGUGCAUAGAUAUCCAUCAUCAAACUGCUAAUGCCUAAGUUGCAUAAAUGAGAUGAAACACGCCUAAGGCAUAGCAUUGAUUCCGCUAAGUUUUGCUACACAUUAUUCACACUGUCUAGAGAAUGUGGAUAAAUGAUGCAGUGCCAGUGUACUCUUCUCAAUUGUCAAGCGCUUGCUUGUCUCAAACAAGCAGCAUAAAAAGAUAUCAGGUGAAGGUAAGACUUGUGUUUUUAUUUACUUGAUUACCUUGCAUUGUUCAGGAAAUUUUAAUGGUCGAAUUACAUGUUCAUAGAACUCCUGUUUUAAAUUAUCAAGGCCACCAACAUCAUCCCACGUUACAUUAGGCUUAGUAGAGAAUCCUUCUCUAGUUAAAGUAGGUUGAACCUCUUUCAGAGCUUCCUGUAAUUUAACCUUUGUCAGACAUAAAAAAAAAAGAAGCAAAAGAGCAGAAUGACCAUAGCAUGUAGUUUAUGGAUAGAUCGUAUACAUGUUUCAGAAAGGAAACGGAUGAGUUCAGGAAACAAACAGAUAUUAGCAGAGAAAAGUUGAGUAGACGACUUAGUGCGCAUUUGUGGGCUUAAGAGAAAAUUUUAAAACGUUUAAAGAGAUUUAUCUCACCAUGAAAUCUGAGGUAGUGCAGACAAGUUGUUUCCUCUCUUCCUCUGAGAUUGGUUGCCUCAUCAAAGAAUCAAUGUCGGUACAAAGUCCUGAUUUUCUAGAAUAUAUAAUUCUCUGAGCUAACACCAUGCCAGCCUCCUUGGCCAAAACAUCAAAAUCAGCACCCACGAAUCCGGAAGUCAGACUAGCAAUGCUUGCACGGUCGAAAUUGCUAUCCAGCGUAAGGCCGCGGGUUGCCACAGAGAAAAUCUCUUCUCUGGCUUUCUGAUCUGGGACACCAAGGCAGAUCUCCCGGUCGAAUCGCAAAGAUCUCCUCAACGCAGGAUCAAGAGCGUCAGGCCUGUUGGUAGCUCCAAUUACAACUACAUGUCCAGGCUUAAAACCAGGGUCACCAGAGGAAACGUUCUUCUCUUUGUGCUUAAGGAGCAUAUACUUCUCAUCCAUACAACUCAGUAACUGAGUCAAGAUACGUGUCUCCAUACCUUUCUGCUGAUUCUCCCUCUUUGAUGCAAUUGCGUCAAUCUCAUCAAUAAAUAUAAUGGAGGGUGCAGUCCUAUAAGCUUUAAAGAAGAGUUCCCUGAUAUUCUCUUCAGAUUCACCUAGAACAAGAGAAGAACCAAUUCAAUAUAUCUAACCAAUAUAGAGACAAUUAAAGAGGAAAUAAAAAAGAUAAGAGAGGCCAUACCGGAAACACCAGAAACCAAUUCAGCAGCGGAAAUCAUAUAAAAGGGCACGCCAGUUUCGUUGGCGAUGGCACAAGCUAGUGUAGACUUGCCACAACCAGGUGGACCAUGAAGUAAAAACCCAGAAAUAGGUUUCAUACCAAUAGCUUGUACGAUGUCAGGACAUAGGAGAGGGAGUUUCACCAGAAAUGCGAGCUUAUCUAAAAUACCAUUUAACCCACCCAAGUCCUUAAAGGUUGGUCCUUUUACCUCUACAUCAUACGAACCCUUACUUGCCUCUUCACUAGCUUUCUUCUUCUCCGAGUAAGAAAGGCGUAGACUAUCAUUAGUAAUAUCAAACUGCAUAUUAUCGUCCGAUGUCAAUACAUUGCCGGAUGAGGACCCAGAAGAAGGUGAAGGUGAUGAUGAUAUACAUAAAUCCGAAUUGCUCUGUUCUCGCCUCUGUUUCUUCCUACUUUCAUCUUCAUGUUUCCUGUCGUUGCUCCUAGAAUUUACGAUAUUCUUGACUUUGACCAACAGAAUCUGGCGCUUCCAACGAGCCCAUUCACGGUGCUUCAAACGGAGGUCAUCUACGAUCUCUUCCACCGUUGAUCCCUUCCCAAAUGAUUCUAGAACGAGAUUCGUAAAACUCCCAACAGGAACGCUCCCGCGGAUAACUCUUUUCCUCAUCUCGAAGCUUUUUUUCAUGUGGAAUCAGGGAAUUGUGGGUGAAACCCUAAAUCUGCUCGCUCGCUCGAAGCAGCAGACAAUUGGUUUUCUGUCGCUAAAAUGACAUACUAUAGAUGAAACCCUACUUACACAUAUGGGCCUAAUGGGAGGCCCAUUUGUUCCACGGUAAUUCUCUGAUGAGGGCUGGGCAAAAAAACCGAAAACCGAAAAACCGAACCGUACCUAACCGAAAUAAAUGGUUUGGUUUGGUUAUGGUUUUGUAUAAAAACCCAUUUGGUUGUAAUUUUUAUUUAAGUUUCGGUUUAGGUUUGGUUUGGUUAAAAACCGUAAAACCGAACGGUUUUUUUGGUUUUUUAUUAAAGUUAAAAAUAAUUGUAUAUAUAUAUAUAUAAUGUCCAUUUGAUUCGAACUAUCGAAAAACAAAACCCUAACCCUAACCUAAACUAAAAUUCUAUAUAAAUCACAUGAUGUCAUUGACUUUUUGUUCUUAAAUUCUAUAUAAAUCACAUGUCCCAAUAUUUUGGCUUUGAGUUGGAAGCCCAUAUUCUAAUAUGGUAGCAGAGCCCGAUCCGUACAUGUCCAAAUCCAAUCCACCAUCGGCCCGGCCCAAUAGUUGGCCCGCCGAUCUAUGCCCGAGCAUACCGAGAUCGAUGGCUAGAGCCAUCAUCUCGAGGGGGCGUACUAGGGAUAAUAUUAUCUCACAUUGGAAAGGACAAUGGAUCCUGACUAGUAUAUAAGAUAUAUGGGUCUCUCCACUCAUUGCCAAUUGGUUUUGAGUUGGAAGCCCACUAAAACAGAUUCCGAUGAAACAUUCGAAACAGGAAAUGCAAGCACAUCCCUGGCCAAUUCUGGGACAUGUGAUUGCAUCUUAGAGCAUCUCCAAUGGUGAGAGCCCUACAUGGGUUCUCACCAUUUUUUUAAGAAUGAAAUUUUCAAAUUUAUGUGAUGAGAGCUUUUGUUAAAUUUUUUUAAUUUUGCAAAGUCCAAUGGUAGGCUCUCUUUGUGGAGUUCUCAGAAAAAAAUUAAAUUAUUUUUUAAUUAUUUUAUUUCAUAAAACUGAAAAAUAUUACAAUUCAUAACAUAUUAAACAUACAACAAUUUCAUACAUUUGAAAAUAAAUUUGCAAAAAAAAAAAAAAACGAUUAGUUAUUCUGUUGAUUGUUGCAAAAUUUUCUCCAUAUAUGCUCUACCAAAUCACGUUUCAAUUGUUGAUGCAUAUUUUGAUCACGAAGUUGAUUUCGCAUGCCCAUCAUAUUCUCGAGAUUUAGAGGCAUAACUGUAGAAUACGAUAAAAAGACUUGUGAAGUUUAGUUUCUUUAAAUUAUGGGUAAAUACGAAUCCGCAACUUAACCGCCGGUAACGGACGUUAUGGAAUCGUUUGAUGGGGUGGAAUUUUAACCUGAAAUAUUAAAAUAAAUAUAUAUAUAACAUGUUUACGUAACAUAGUAUAUAUAUAUCCGUAGUAUGGUGGUUAGUGAUCUGUUGUGUAACCCUCUGAACCCGGGUUCGAUUCUCCAUAUCGUUUUUUUUUCCUUGCCUCCUUCACAAAAACCCUAGGGCGAGCAUCGCCGCCACCGCCGGUUUGAGCUGGAGAUUCGAACUGAUACUGUUUCCGUAUGGUCUGAGCUUGAGACUCGAUUGUGACUGAACUUUUUCUUUUUGUUAUUGAAGGACAUGAUUUCAUCAUCAUCUUAUCAUCUUCUCCAGCAAACCUCUGAUUUUUAAAAUGGCUAAAGAGGGAAACGUGUACCAAUGGUGGAAUCUUUGGGAAGAAUCCAAUUUUAACUUGUUAAUGUAGAGAUUAGUGUAAUUAAUGGGUGAACUAGGGAAGUAAUUCUUCAAUUGAAUCUUCAAAUUGGUGAAACAGUGAGGAGAGAGGAGAAGCAGAGAACGCAGAGGGAAGGAACAAAAUAGAUGGUCCAAUUAGAAUGUGCCACGUGUACGGUUCUCUCAAUUACUCAAACCUCUCUUCAGAGAAUCGAUUCUCUGCCUUAAUAACAGUUUUGAUUUAUUUUUUCGGCAAUUCAACAAGAGAACUCAUCAAAUUUGUUAAGAGAGCCUCCCUUUGGAGAUGCUCUUAGACCCAUAUAGGAGUUCACUAACUCCUUUUAUUGCAGAAUUGGCUUAAAACAUCAUCUUAUUAUUCUGAUUCAUGUGUUGACAUUGGGAAAAUGCUAGAAGAACCUGAAUAUAUGGAGUCUUUACACGAAGAUAUGUAUUCAAUAUUCAUGAUUCUCUUAUGGGUUUAAACUUUCAACUACAUUGAAAAAUAUUUUACAUCUUAUAUAUAAAUAUAUAUAUAUAUAUCACUGGAUCUCAUGUUCUUUUAUUUUGUUUUGUCUAUCAGAGAUUAAUAGGCAGUUUGAAGAGGCCAAUCGUGGCUAAUGAGUGAUAUUAUUGAGUGAUAUCACUGAGUGCGACGAUGAUACAAAUUAUUUCUGAAUUUUGUUUUCUAUAGCUUAUUAGCUUUCUAAUUUUUACAAGUUUGAAUUUAAAUUUAGGAUUUGGGUUUACAAACUAGAUUUUGAUUUUAUUUAUGCAUCAAACUUAUAAUUUUUUUUGGUAAAAACAUGAAAAAACCGGAACCGAUCCGAACCAAAAUACAUAUGGUUUUUAAAUGGUUUUAAUUUUUCUAAAACCGAAAAACCGUAAAACCGUUAAAACCGAACCGUAAGAAAACCGAAUUUCAUAUGGUUUUUAUAUGGUUUCACUUUUCUUAAAACCGAAAAACCGAAAAACCGAAAAAACCGAACCGAAACCAAACCGAAAAACCGAACGCCCAACCCUCUGAUCUUCAUAUGGUUCAAGUAUCCAAGUCAAAAGGAGACACACUCGAAUUCCACAAGGUAAGUCUUAUAGUUUGGUUUAAAUUAGAUCAUAGAUUAAGUACCGGUUUAAUAUAAGCUAAGUCGAGAUUAUUUGUGUGGUUUGCAGUUCUAUAAGAAGCUAUCAAAUUCUCUGGAGCAAGUAGUUUGGACAAACAACAAAGUUAAAAAAAGAAAAGGGAAAGUUAUAUAUGAAUGUUUCAUCUUUUGGGGAUAGAAGAGCCAAGAAACAUAACAGGAGAAAACAAGUACGGGGCUUGAUAUAAAAUCCCCGUAAUGGAAAAAGAGAAGAGUUGGACAACAUAACAGGAGAACCGCUUCUUGAAUGGCAAACUCAAUAUCUCCAUCAAUCUUGAUAUCAAACUCUGUCUUACUUCCUGAACGAUUUCCUGACCUCACCCUUGAUCUACCCGAAACAAGACUAAAUCUCUAUCGAGAACCCGCUCUGAUACCAAUUGUAAGUGCGGAUAAGGUAAGAUAAAUUGUAGAAAGUAAACAAGACAAGAAAUUUGUUAACGAGGUUCGGUUUUUCCUACUCCCCGGGACCAAGUCCAGAUUUCAAUUUCACUAGAACAAGAAAGCAAAUUACAAUCAAUUCGCAAACGCGUAAAACAAGCACAACCCUCUUGAUUUACCGCUCCCUUCUAUAACGUGAAACCUUAAGGAUAAUCUCUACCCUUAACUAAACUCCCCUUGAGUCUAGAUUUAAUCAGGAUAACCUAACCCUGAGCUAAACUCCCCUUGAGCCUAGACUUCAAGAUAAACCACUUGAUCACACAAGCACAAACCCGCAAAACUAACUUGCACACAAUCUCACCGAAAGCUCUCAAAGAUUUCUUCUUUAUGCCUCAGCUCUCUUGCUUCUCCAAGACGUCCUCCACACCUCCUUAUAUAGCCAAAACGAUUUCCUAAUCACCAUAGGAGAAGAUUUCCAAUUUCCAUAAGAAAAAGUAAAUUUCCUUUUAUACUUUUCCUUUUUCUCAUCAAACUCCACUUUCAUCAAGUCUUCCAGAUCUCUUUAAGUCCUUGUUCCUUUGUGAUUCAUCCUCCAAACACGCUCCAAACAUAUCUUCUCAAACCUUCUAGAAACCGACACUCACACAAAAACUGUCGCAUCUUGACUUAUUUCUUGAAUCAUUCAGCAACUCCAUCAGACAAAAACUUGUAUUACUUCUUAACUCAUUCAACAACUCCAUCAGACUGCAGCUACAUCAGAUUCUUCAACACUGAUGCAGACCCUGACACAUACGCUGAUGCAGACCCUGACACAUACGCUGAUGCAGACCCUGACACAUACGCUGAUGCAGACCCUGACACAUACGAUGUUGCACACACUGAUGCAGUCUGCAUCAGACGCUGACAUAAAGAUUAUCCCCUUAGUUGUAGCUGCGACGUAGUUUUACGGGUUAAGUGCUUGUGUGAUCAAGCUUAUUUGUGUGUUGGUGUUGACGGUUCAUGUUGGCAACACUUGGUGAUCGUUGGGUUUGUUGGUGUGACGGUUCGUGUGUGGUGGUUGUUCCAGAGACUUGGAGAAUUGAAGUCUAGACUCAGGGGAAGUUUAGCUCAGGGUUAGGUUAUCCUGAUUAAAUCUAAGCUUAGGAGAGUUUAGUUAAGGGUAGAGAUUUAUCCUUAAGAUUUCAUGUUAAUAGAACGGAGAGGUGAAUCAAGAGGGUUGUGCUUGAUUUACGCGUUUGCGAAUAGGUUGUAUUUGCUUUCUUGUUCUAGUGGAAUCGAAAUCUGGACGUGGUCCCGGGGAGUAGGAAAAACCGAACCUCGUUAACAAAUUUCUUGUCUCGUUUACUUUCUACAAUUUAUUUGACCUCAUUCGCACUUACAAUUGGUAUCAGAGCUCCUCAUCAGCAACUAUGCUUCUCAUCUUCUUAAAUCACUUCUUGUAUUACUUCCUGUACUACUUCGACGACUAGUACAGAACACCAAAAUAACUGCAUCUUCACAAUCAUAUACUCACAAAGUCAUCAUCUACAUGAUUAAUUGGGUCAAAUACAACAGGGAUGAAACAUGGCCACGAACACAAUGUGGAAUUAGAUGGGUGUUAAGUAAUUCUGCUAGGGAUGUGUUAUGGAUGGCUGAGCAAAUGAUGUCUAGGUUCAACUAUAAAAAUAUUAUUUUUGAAUCAAAUUCUAAAGAGCUCAUUUCAUUACUUAGAGAGGAAAUGAGUAUGGUUCAUCUUGACUCCUCGAUUCAAGCAGCUGCUUCAACAUAAUUACAAAUUGCAUCCCUUCAAUUUUGUUAAAUAUACACUUUUAGUAACUUUUUUUUUUGUUAAUGGGCAUUCCAUAUGCUUCUGCUAUAGGAUCUAUCAUGUAUGCUAUGCUCUGCACUCGCCCAGAUGUUGCUUGUGCUUUGAGCAUGACGAGCAGAUACCAGUCUGAUCCAGGUGAAAGUCACUGGAUAGUAGUCAAGAACAUCCUUAAGUACUUGAGAAGAACUAAGGAUAAGUUUUUGGUUUAUGGAGGAAGUGAGGAACUUGUUGUGAGUGGUUAUACCGAUGCCAGCUUUCAGACAGACAAAGAUGAUUUUCGAUCUCAAUCAGGAUUUGUCUUUUGUCUCAACGGAGGAGCAGUGAGCUGGAAGAGUUCUAAACAGAACACUGUGGCAGAUUCUACAACUGAGGCUGAGUAUAUAGCUGCUUCUGAAGCGGCUAAGGAGGCUGUUUGGAUUAGGAAGUUCAUUACUGAACUUGGUGUGGUUCCUAGUAUUUCUGGCCCCAUCGAUCUUUACUGUGAUAACAAUGGAGCCAUCGCUCAAGCGAAAGAACCUAGAUCACACCAGAAAUCCAAACACAUACAAAGGCGAUAUCACCUCAUUCGUGAGAUUAUUGAUAGAGGUGAUGUGAAGAUUAGCAGAGUUCCAACGGAUGCAAAUGUUGCUGAUCCGUUUACUAAACCUCUUCCGCAGCCUAAGCAUGAGAGUCAUACUGCUGCGAUUGGCAUUAGAUUUAUAAAGAUGUGAUCUUAUUUCUAGUAGGAGGUUUUUAUUUAUUUAUUUAUGAUAUGAUGUUCAUGUUAAAAUACAUUUGAAUUUAUUUUCAAAUUAAUGAAAUUUGUUUCAGUAUUAUUUAUUUAUUGGAUAAUUAAAUAAUAGUUCCAAAAUAAUUUAUAUCAUUCUUAUAGACCACCAAGUACGUGACUUGAUCAUGAAACUCUAUAAGUGGAAAAUGACAUAAAUUAUAGAAGUCCCUAGCCAAGGUUAUUAAAAUGGGACAUUAAUAACUAAGAAUGGCUAGUAUGUGAGGUGACUGAUGACUACGUUUCAUGGAGUCAUUAAUAUGUGGUAUUAAAGUCAAUCACAUAGAUAUGUGUUAGAGAACACAGUAUUGGACUGACCCGUUAUGAGAACUCUACAAGAUUGUUAUAUGAGUGUCAUAAGAUGUUAUAUGAGUGUCAUAAGAGUUUUUCAUCACAACUAUAGAGUAUAGUCCUUUGACCUGAGUUCGUCAUGAUUUCUCAUUCAUGGAUUAGUUCGCUUUGACUCUGUCAAACGUCAGCCGUAAAAGGUGAUUAUAAAGACAGUGAUUGGGCGGGUUAUGAAUUGUUUAAGGAACAGGGAUGGAACAAGAUGGGAUUUGUCCCUCCCAUAUAACGGGAGAUAAAUAUCUAUGGGCCUAUCGAAGAUUUGAUACUGAGAAAUGCGUGGCCGCGCUCAAACGAGGUGAAUGUCAGUCGUUUGUUUUUAUCAGUAUAAAUCGGAGUUCGAUAAACAUGGUCUAGCUUAAUAAGGAUGACAAUUUCUUGCCUUAUGCUGAGAUCGAGAUAUAGAGACGAAGGGAUUAUGGGAAUAGAAGAUUCCAGUACAAGUGGGAGAUUGUUGGGAAUGUCCUGAAAUCGUUUGUACUUUACUCUAAUUGAAGUUGAAAUGUCGAGGUCUGACAUUCGUAUAAUAUUAGGUGGUUAUAAUGUUUUGCUAGAGACCGCUUAUAAUCUAUGAGUUUAAAACUCAUUGCUAAUAUUAUACGAACCUACAGGGUCACACACCUAAGCAGACUGGAUCAAUGUUGGGUUAUAAUUAUAAUAUAAUAUAUAUGUUAUAUGAGAUAUACAUAUAUAUUUAUAUUUGUGUAUUUAUAAUAAAGUGUUUAUUAUAUAAUAUAUAUGUGAUAUAUGAUAUACAUAUAUUUGUACACGUAAGUUGCAAAAAGAAAGAAAAGAAUAAUUGGGCUUUGGCCCAUUAAUAAACCUAAGUUUAGGUUUAACGUUUGACUAUAUAUAUUGAUAUAUUGUCAACGUUUGUGAUGGGGUUUUUGAGCAACCAAACCCUAAACAUAAGAGACAAAGUGUUUGUCUAAAUUUUGAGAUUAUAUCUCAACAGUACUAGCAUACUACGUGUGAUCCAGUUUGUGUGCGUGUGGAUACCGGUAGAGGCACAACACUUGGGGUGCUGAAAUAACCUCGAAUUAAUAUGAUUCACCUUUCCGCUGCAGAAUAUCCAGGUAUAUUCAAACCCUAUGAUCUAGAUUUAAAUCUUUAUUUACACGGUUCCUGGCAAUUAAAUUCGUAAUUAGUAUUUAUAAAUCGUUAUAAACCGGUACGAAUUCCAACACUAACAUCCAAAUAAAAUAUAGCGGUCGUAGUGGCCAUAAAAAAAUCCCGGUCUAGCUUAUUUGCACCAUUAUAAGAAAUAAUUUUUAUGCAUUUCAAAAGUGUCAAAACUUGUUCUUUUCAAAUAGUUAAGCCUGGGUGUUACUCUCUCAUUUGGAGUUCAAAUUCAUAUAAAUUUUUUUCUUUCUUUGAAUCAAUUUUAUUCCGUUUAAAGAUUAUUGACAUCCCACAUUCACAAAUAGAUUGACAAAUUCAGAAUUGGUCAAAUCGUUAAGUUUUUUUAAUGCCGUCAGUUUCAUUUUGAAUUUAACAAAAUAUUGAAUGAUAAUGGGAUUGGAGUUUGACUUGCUUAUUAAUUUUAGAGUUUUUUUCAUCAAAAGGAUUUUAUAUUAAAUUGUUGAAAUCGGUACAGAGAGUUCGAGCUAUCGGCUCGAGAGGGUUGAUGGCAGAUGGCAGAAGAAAACAAAAAUUAUUAUUAUUGAACUAGGUGAACAUCCGGGCUAUGCCCGGGUAGAUGAUUAGUGUUUUAAAUUAGUUAACAUAGUUUCAAUUUUUUAUUAUUAUUUAGGAUAUAUUCUAUUAAUUGUUUUUUAGUUCAAUAACUUAGUAUGUGAAUUUUUUUAACUUCUUUGAUAUAUACAUGGAUAAAAAUUUUGAGAAAUUUUUGAGAAACAUCAUUUUAACCAAAUAUAUAUAGGGAUUUUGGUCUAAUGUGUCAUUUACUGUAGCAAAACUUAUACAAAUUGCCACAAAAAGUUUUCUUUUCUCAAUCUGCCAUUUUUCCACUUUAUGGCAGGCAGACAAAGACGAAAAUACCCUCAGACGAAAAUAUCUAAAUAUCAGCUAUUUGGUGGACAAAACUUUGUUUCGGAAAAUUUUGGUAGACAAAAAAUAUUAUCCACAUUUGAAACAACAGAUUGGGAUGAUAUUUGGUGAACAACAAAUAUUGUCCACAUUUAAAACAACAGACUUUAAAGAAAUUUGGUGGACAAGAAUUCAAAACGGCAUAUUUCGAAAAUUUUGGUAGACAAGAAAUGUUGUCCACAUUUGAAACAAUAGAUUGAGAAGAUAUUUGGAGGACAACAAAUAUUGUCCACAUUUGAAACAAACAGACUUCAAAGAAAUUUGGUGGACAAGAAUUCGAAACGAAAUAAUCCGAAAAUUUUGGUAGACAAGAAAUGUUGUCCACAUGUAUCUUCUUCCUUCUCAGAUUUAGAUUCGCUUCCACUUUCCAAACCAGAUUCAGACCCAGAUUUUUAAUCUCGCUAAAUCGCCAACGAUGUAUUCCUAGAUCGAAAACGUGAUGAACUCUUAUAUCUAGGGAGAUUGAGCUUCAUUUUUUAGAGAAAAAAAGAGAGAGAAAGAGAGAGAUGAGAGAGAAAUGAGAGGAAUGGAGAUUGAACAAAAAAACUUUCUCUCUAAAUGGUAAAUUGGACUUUGCAAGUUGGGUUAGAAAUUGGAUUGUGGCACAAUUGAAAAGGAUUUGUGGGCUGUGGCAAUUUUGGUAAGAAUUGCUACAUUGUGUGGCACAUUUCUUAGAUUUCUCAUAUAUAUAUACUAAAAAAUUUGAUGUUACAUUUUGAAAAUGUUUUGAUACGUAUGCACAUCUUCCCAGUUUGCAUUGCCGCUACCUUUUGUAAGCACUUUCAUCUUCAUCUUUGUCGUCAGGAAGUUGCCUUUGUCCCUACUUGGUCUUCAAGGCCAGCUUUGACAGAAGCCAAAUAUGCUAUAAAUUUUGUCAAAAAUCUUUAUAAGUAAAACAUAUUUCGAACCAAAAGGAAUUUAAAAUAUUCUCAAAAAUAUAAUUGACAAAUGAAGUGGCACAUGGUCAGUUUAUUUAGCAUGAUAUGGAAGGCGAUGUAUGAAUUCACAUAAUCAACAACUCAUAUCGAAUGAAAAGGAAGUAAAUCCUAGAGAUGUGAUUGACAAUACAUAAAUAGUAAAGGGAGAGGAAACGUCGUGAAGGCACCACUGAACAUUAAUGUAGCUAGUAAGCUUUUUAGGCACCAAAAUUGUGAUUAAGAAAACCCUUGUGUCUAAAGGGUAGGAGCUAGGUAGAUAAUAAAAUUUGUAAAAGUAGGCAAAGAAGAGAAAUGUAUUUAUUUUUAAUAGAAAAAAGCUUAGCUAAAAAUAAGAGCUUCAUGAAGAAGAUACAAUAAACCUUUCCACAAUCUAAACUUGGGAGUUUUGAUUUACUGACCUCCUAUCCUAAAUUGAAAUCCGGCAAAACCUAAGGAAACGACCCAAGAGUAGACAUCUUAGUUGCAACCAACUUGGAUUUGAAGUAGAAGAAAGCGAAAAGGAGUCAGAGGAUAUAGAUCUUACCUUUUGACGAUUUGAAUUCUCUAGCCGAGUCAACCUCAUCGACUUGUUGAGAUUACUUGUCCUCCUUCAUUGAAAACUUUAAAAGUUUUGCUGUCGUCUGUGUUAAAUCAAAAUGAUAUUGAAACCAUUCGUAAAAAAAAGGGAUCUCACCAUGUCGAUUUCUGGAUAUCCGAUGAACAAAACUUCCAAGUGUGGCGCUCUUAAAUUUGACUGAACCUAGAUAAUUUGAUAAACUUUUUGAAAUAAGAGCGUGAGACGAUCUUACCUGAUAAGGAUUACCAAAUGUAAUCGAAAAUUCUCUAUGAUGGUAAAGGGAAUAUCGAUUGAUAGGCGUGAUUUGUGAAUGUUGAAUUGCUUUUAAGUGAUCUUUCCCUCUGUAACGUAAAGAAUAUUUGUUCAAAGAGUGGAAAUUAGGAACUGAAAACAGGACUGGAGAGAGGAAGAAGAAAGGUCUCAUGUUUUGUUGCUUCUUUUGAUUUUAAUGGGCUUCGAAAUGGCCCAUACAAACAAACGAAUAAAAUUGAACAGAAGAUGUGAGAAGCUCGCUGACGUGGCGAGAUUUUAGAAUGUCUUUCUCAAUGCUGACGUGGAUAGCCUGAGAAGCUUCAAUGAACACUUUUUAUUAGAAAGAGAUGUACUUAAAAUAUGUAUAUAUAUUGAAUAAUUCCGUGAAUGAUGAAUAUACUAAUAUUUAAAAUGUUAAAUAACAAUAUAAAAUUUCAAAAUAAUAUUCACAUACUUAUACAAAAGAAAUAUAAAUUUAAAGGAUAAGAUAGAUGUUCCAUUCUUUUGGGACAAUAGAUAAGAUAGAUGCACAUAUGUAGAUAAACAACAUGUAACAAAGAAAAAUCCAAACUAAAAAAAAAAAAAAACUCACGUAUUCUACACAUGAUUAAAUGACAAAAGUUAGAGCAUCUCCAACUGUAGUGUUUUGAAGAGUGUCUCAAGAUUAAAAAAAAUAAAAAAUAAAAAAAAAAGGUAGGAGAGAGUGUAGACACGUUUCUGGUUUGAGAAACUGUGUCUCCACUUGUCCUUAUAUUAUUGGCCAAAUUCCUUUUUUAUAAUUUAUAAUUUAAAUAAAUAAUUUAUUUAUUUUAUUUAUUAUAAAAUGAUUAAAAUAAUAUUUUUGAGACACCCACACAAUGUCUAAUGGAUGGAGAUGGUCUUAGAGUGCAUAAAUUAAAAAAAGGAAAAAAGAUGGCUAACUACAUGAAGUAUCCGCGAAGACAUGGCCACACAUGCAAAGUUUAAAAAUGUAUCUCUAACUACACAAACUAUAUGUAUCGCAUGCCCACAUAUACGAACUAUAUGUAGUCAUGUCGCCAACAUCACAAACAUUUUUUUCCGAUACAUUUUUCGCCGGAAUCCGGUAUUGACCAGUUUGACCGGCGUUGACCGUCAUUGACCAACAUAAAUAUUCAAAAAAAAAAAAAAUUAGUUUUUUAAUAUUUAGAAAAUUAGGUUAUUGAAUCAUUUAUAAUAUUAUAUAAUUUAAAAAUAUAUAUACAAUAUUCAAUAUAAAAAUAUUUUGUAUAUAUAUUAAAUGCAUUGAUUUUUAUAAUUAGUUAGUUUUGAUAAUUUCAAAACUAAACUAAAAAUAAAAUAAAAACCAAUUAGGUAAAAUAAUUGUAAAUAUGAAAUUUUCUAUACUCUCUAGUCUAAAGUUUUUUUGUAUAAUAUGUUGUUAAUUUUUGUAUCUAAAAUUAUUACGAAAAAUUCUUUUAGUAAUACAAAAAAAAUUAACAACAUAUUAUAAAAAAACUUUAGACUAGAGAGUAUUUAAAAUUUUCUAUUUAUAAUUAUUUUACCUAAUUGGUUUUUGUUUUAUUUUUAGUUUAGUUUUGAAAUUAUUGAAACUAACUAAUUAUAAAAAUCAAUGCAUUGAAUAUAUAUACAAAAUAUUUUUAUAUUGAAUAUUGUAUAUAUUUUUUUAAUUAUACAAUAUUAUAAAUGAUUCAAUAAUAUAAUUUUCUAAAUAUUAAAAACUAAUUUUUUUUUUUAAUAUUUAUGUUGGUCAAUGCCGGAUUCCGGCGAAAAGUGUACCGGAAAAAAAUGUUCGUGAUGUUGGUGACAUGACUACAUAUAGUUCUUAUAUGUGGGCAUGCGAUACAUAUAGUUCAUGUAGUUUAGGAUCCAUUAUUAAACUUUGCAUGUGUGGUCAGGGGCGGAUCCAGAAAAUAAUUCUAUAUGGGGCACUACAUAUAUAAAUAUUAAAUAUAAUUCAAUUAGCUAAAUUUUUUUAUGAUUAUAAAAAAAAAAUAUUGCAUUUGUAGCGGUUUGGGGACUUGAACUUGGGUUGAUAUGGGGCACACUAAGCUAAAAACCAUUUAAGCUACGUGAUUUUUUUGGUGAAAGCUCAGCUUAUAUGAUAUUUAUAGCAUUUAGUAUGGGGCACAGGCCCCACCUACCUUCAACGUGGAUCCGCCCCUGUGUGUGGUCAUGUCUUCGCGGAUACUUCGUGUAGCCAGCCAUCUUUUUUUCUUAAAACAAUUAUUAUUAUUAUUGUUAUGGAGUGAAAAUAUCAUAGUUUGUACCGUUUUUUCUUACUGCUAUGAUAUUUUUUUUAAUCAUUUUUGCAGUUAUUUUAGUACCGUUUACUUUUUUGUUUUGCUAAAAAACUCUUAGAGUUUUGUUUUACGAAUCAGAUUUUAAUUAUUUUAACUAUGAAUAAAAUUUUCAUAUAACUCGAAACUCAAAAUGUAUAAUAUUUAAGUAAAAUUUUAAUGUUAAUUACUCAUAUACAAUCUUUACAAAAAAAUCCCAAAACAUCUCAUUUCUACCAACACCAAUGACCCAAACCACCAGGCACCAGCCUUUACGUCACUUGCUACUUCAGGUUGAGGAUCGGAUCAAAGUCGCUGAGACCAUUUCUGGCCAACGUCAAAUCGGAAACUCAUAAUUAAUACUCACCCUAAUCAAUUAAUAAUUACAAGUCAUCAAAAAACACAGCACACAAUAUCACACGACCGUAACAGUGGCCGGACCGGCGGAGAAACUACCCAAGAGACCAUCGUAGUUCAACAUAGAAACCCUAGGCUUCGCCACCGGCACCCAAUUCUCUGGCUCCAUCGCCUCGGAAACUGCCGCUUCCAAGGAGCUAGAUCGAUCGCACGUGCCAAGCCACUUGGCUUGCAUGUACUUAUGUUUUCUCCAAGGAGCCAUAUGCAUUUUCUUGUCUCUCAAGCAUUUCUUUCCGGCGAUGCACAAUAUCUUGAUCAGAGAUCGAAGCCUCUCGGUUUUUCCGACGUAAACCUCCGGCAAUCGGCUGACUAGUCUUUUGUACUCUUCACUGCCUUUUGCAAUCUCAAACUCUGCCCUAAAUGAUAACUCAAUCACCACUCGCAUCUCGCCUUUCUUCGAACCCGAUCGGUCCACGAUCUCUAUAAAUUCGUGUUCCCCUGAUUGUAAUUAAAAUAAAAUAUGAGUUAGUCCAAAUAUUCAUUUAGGUAGAGACAAAAAAAAUGACAAAUUGAAAGAUAUGAAUGUAAUGUGUGUUGACAAAAAUCUGAUAUUUGCUUGAUACGUAAGUAACAAAUCAAAGAAUUGGUCUGAAAAAAUCUUUCGUGUUCUUGUGGACAUAAAAUAUUUUUUCCAUUUCAAAAAUAAUUAUCUUACAUAUAUUCCCAUUGAUAAAUGAAAACGAUGGCUUAAUAAUUUAAGAACCAGUCUUUUAAUAAAAAUGAAUAACACUAAAUAGUUUUAAUGUCUAAAAACAAAAAAAAUAUAAUGUGUUUGUUUGUUUGUACCUGCAGGGAUGUCUUGACAACUUCUCCAUUUAGAUUUGGAGAUGACGCAAUCGUAGCCGGCGACAUCUCUGAGGUGUCUAGAGAUUUCGCCACGUAAGCAACUCCGGCAACCGCCGUCCACUGGUCGUCGGCAAACACAAUUAAGACCUUUUGAUUUAACUUGUUUCAACGCUUCUUUCGUAGCUUGUCUAAUCUUUGUCUCAACGGAACUUGUCCUAUACAGUGUCCCCUACACAAUUCCAAAAAUAAAACAAAUUUAGACACCAAAUUAUUUGGCUUAAAAAAUGACAAAUAAUUAUAUAAAUUUGUUUUGAUAAUGAAAAAUAUAGAUUUUAUUUAUAAAAAAAAAGAAAAUAUUACCUGAAGAAGUUGUUCUUGUUCCUGCCAAAAAGCUUUGUUUUCUUCAGAAUUAUUAUUAUUGUCGUCUUCGUCGCCGUCAUCUCCGCCGGCGUUGAGGUUUACGGAGUCAGAGAAAUCUUCCGGUGACUGGUUUCCUUCGUCGAGAAAACCGAAAAGAACAUCGUCAGAGCUAGCCAUUCCAUCGAGAAAUCUCAUGAUGUCAUCGGAAUUUUGCCGAUCCAUCGGAGUUUUUUUUUUUUAUAAUAACAAGGAUAGAGAGAAAAAUGUUUGUUGUUGUUGUUGUCUUUUUUAUUUUAUUUUUUGUUGGGUUGAAGAAAAAUAGGAGAGUUUAUUAUAUAGUGGGUGGGGAGAGAAUAAGGUGGGACCCAUCUGAAAUCAGAGAAACAGAUACAUGGCGCCGCGUGAUUGAAUAGUGACGUGUAAUAUUGUGAUUCGAGGACGUGUCAGAUCUAUGAGAUGAAUGAUUGCUCAAGACAGCUAGUUUCCAUGUCAGCAUGACUAAUCUCGUGAGAGCUUCUUUCUUUGAACAUAUCCGGAUAUACUCUACAAAUAUCUAUUUAUAAAAAAGAUUCCUUUGUAGAGUAAUAAUUAAGGAUAAUAUGAAAAAAAAUUUAUCAAGAAGAAAAACAGAUAGACAUUUUUCAAAAGAAAAAGACAUUAUUUUAUCUAAUUUAGGAGAUCAAAAUUGUAGUAAUCAAAUAAAAUGUUUGACUAAAAACCGUUUUUAAACACAUACUAUGAUGUCAAAAUGAGUCAAUCCCACGCAUGGUUAAUUAGUUGGAGUCUACUUUAAUCCAGAUUAUGCAAACCAAGCAAUACUUACUACAUGUAAUUCUUUAGCCAUUUAUUCGUUUUAAUUAUGUAGGCUUUUUUUCAACUUACCCCAAAUUUGUUUGGUUUUGAUCUUAGCUAGAGACACUAAACCAGAAUGAUGAAUCAGAUGAUUCAGGGUUUUGAUCUCGGACACACUAUGUCUAUGUCUUACAUAAAAAUCAAAUGUAGUCGUAUAAAAAUUUAUUUUAAUUUUAACUUUUGGACUUUUUCCAUAGCUGUUUACGUCACACAUUUGAUUUUUAUAUAUAUGUACAACUUAGUCCGAUCGAAUAUAAAUCAUUUAAUAGUUACUUGCAAUGUGUGUAAGAACAACACUUGGCAAUACUUUCUCAUUGUGUUAUUGAUUAAUUCUGCAUCUGACAAACAAAUUGAAAUUGUAAGCGCUGAAUUUCUUUGAUAUUAUAAUACAAAGAGUAUAUUUAAUUAAUUAGUUAUUCCAAGAUUCACGAAAGCUCUAAAAAAUUCGUUGAAUAAGCUUCUAGCUUUUAUAUUGUUUUAGCAAAAUAAUAAUAAUAAGGCUGCUUUCACAAUGUUUCUGCUUAAGAAGUUUUCUUACAACAUCAACAAGUGUUUUGGAAUUAAUAAAAUACAAAUUUUUUUUUUUAUGAGAAGACAGAUUUCGUUUAUGGAAAACAAAAGAUUAAUUUAAGUAAAGAUUAUAGAAAUAUAAUUAUAUCGUUCAACAAAUUUUAUAUUUUGGUUUAAGUAGAAAAACUAUGUUGAUGAUUCCUUGAAAUCACUAAAGAUGACAAAGUUGCUUGAGUUGAUCAUCCUAGUCAAAGAUUGUAUAGGUUAUUCUACAAGUGGUCUCUCUCUGCCUACCAAAGACUAAUCCGAGUCUCUAGGAUCAAAUGGCCUUUUGGGCCUAUUGGGUACCACCCUUCACAAAUCAAACUCCAUUGAUUUCUUUUGUGCAUGAGAUCUAAACGCAAUUUUAGUUAGCAAACGAUAUGUAGAUCAUGUCUCAACUCUUAAUUAUGUACAUAUACUAGGGGUUAGUCGUCUGUGUCGCACGCGGGUGUAGAAGGUUCAAUAAGGUGAUUAAAGGAUACAGAAACGUAUCCGAAAGCUUACAAAAUCAAUAUGUGGUGUGUUUGAGUGGUACUCGUUUAAACCGAGCAAUUUUGAUCAAAGCAUAUAGAAAUACAUUAUAUUUUACUAGCUUUUGAUUUAUAAAAUUUGUCUUAUAAUUAUUAUAAAGUCAAUCUUAUGAAACUGAUAUACUCGAUUGUCGAAGAAUGAUCUCUGAGUGAAACUAUUGUUGAAGAAUGCUAAUUGAACAUUUUGUUACCUUUAUGGGGUUAUACUUUAGAGACACCAAAUUCGUCCCAAAUAUAAACUCUCAAGUUAUAGAAAGAAAAUUGGUGAGUGGUCCAAACCAAAGUCGUGAUUUGAUGAACUUCCACUUUGAUCAUGAUCUUAUAUGUGUAAGCUGCGCAAAAUGGCGCGCAAUUAGUGCCAUACUUUGUAAUUUUAACUUUAAAAUCAAUCAUUACAUUUAUUUUUAUUUUAUUUUUAUUUUUUUUAAAUCAAUCAUUACAUGCUUAUUUUUAUAUAUUUAAAACACUGUAUUAGAAUGCUGAUGACAAACUUUACACUUUGAAGAGUUUGAAUAUAUAUUCUCCAUGAAAGCCGAUUAGAUAAAACCGUACACAAUGAUUUCUUUAAUAUGGGAAAAAUAGUCACCGACAGUGUUUUUCUUUUGUUACUUCUCUAGUUCUCUUAUAUCUCUUUUAUAUUUAUACUAAUUUGACUCUUUUUGUAAUAAUUUUCUCAUUUCUUUAAGUAACGAAAUAUCUAUGCAUAUGCCAAGAAGAUUUAUACAUGCUCUUUGUUGGUGCAGGAAUUAGCACCUCCGACACUACCGGCUUAAACCGGACGAAUUACGAAUCAAGUUGAGAAUUCAAUGUAAACCGGGAAAUUCCGGUUAAGCGUGUUAAUGGGCUGAAGAAGGAGAUCGCCAGGCGAGCUCAAUUCGAAGAUGGGAGAUCGCCUGCAACCGAUUUCCUCAUUCAAGAAAAAGGAGAUUUUCCUAGAAGAUAAAGGAGAAUCCCGAAAAGAAAAGAAAAUCGGAAGAUAAAGCCUUGAAGAUUUAGAAGAUUAACUUAUCUCUAAACCGCCCUAAAAUUGUAUAAAUAGAGGGGUUUGUCCUCUAUUUAGGGGAUCCACAACUUUUACACAAAAAAACCUUAAUUGUUCUUGAGGUAAACCCUAGCGUUGUCUCUAAGCAAUAAAAUUCACCCUAUAUUUGAGCUUUUGAUCAUUAAUAGCAAGAGAGAGUUAAUUGAAUUUGUUUUUCCCAUUUAAACAAAUUCAUUGUGUGAUUUUCAGAAUCAACAAUCUUUUAAAGAACAAAACCUUUUUUUAAGAAAAUGAUUGACAUGUUUUAUUUUUACUCGACUAUACAAUCUGGUCUAUAUGCAUACAUGCACUUUUUGGUCGAGAAUAAGCAAUAACCAUUUCUUAUCAUGGAUCGCCAAAAUUUGAUACAAAUUUAUAAAAGAAAAAAAUACCAUAUAUUGGCAUUGGUUUUGAAUUGUGAUAUUAUGAAAUAUUGAUUUACCAACAAAAGAUAGAUUUAACAGAAAUUAACUUAAGCAAAUAUAUAAAAUGUUAGAUUUUAUAGUAAGAAAGUAUUAUUUUAUGUGGGAUUCACAUGGUUGAACAUUUUUCAAAUCUAACGAGGAAAAUAACGCACAUGACUUCUGAGAAUCUGAAUCUAGUGACAGUCAGCAUGUGGUCUAUUUUUGUAGAGAUUGUUUAGGAAAAAGUCUGAGACAAAGAUUUAUUUUUUCUUUGUUUCAGUUUUAAAUUUGAAUGAACAUUUCAACAACACAUACUUGAUAUACAUGCACUGACAUUAAUAACUAUUCUUGAUAUGAAGAUAUUGCAUGACGCAUUAAGCGGUGGAGCCUGAGAAGGCAGGGUUGCACAUGAUGUCGUACGUUGGCAUAGCAAGUUUUUUUUUUUCCUUCUCCAAAUCACAAUAAAAUUAGAUUAGUCAGAAGAUUACUUAUUUUUAUUAGCAUAUCAGCGAUUUACGUAGUAAUUAUUAGGAUCAUUGUCUAAUCGAACAUGAACGUCUCUUUACUCUUCAAAAAUGUUUUCCUAGUCUUACGUUGCUUUUGGAUUUAUAAUUGAAAAUAGAAACGAGAAAAAGAACACUAACAAAAGAGAAAAAGAAAACAUAAGUUGAGUGUUGAGAGUUCGCCCUAAAAUUCUCUCCCAGGCACGAGAACCGAGGAGCCGCUCCUCUUGACGAAAUGAGCUUUUUCUUCCGGCGUUGCUCCUCCGACAACGUCCUCUCCUGAUCGAUGCUUGCUGCUAAGGGGAGAUCUCUCAGGUGGACCUCUUUGUCCGGUGACGGAUCUGAUUUUCCGGCGAGUUUUUUUUUCACCUAAGAUGACGUUCUCUCCUCUGUCGACUUCGAGCCGCUCUAGUUGCCUACCGUUGUCUUCGGUUGCUUUCCUCAAUCUGAGGCCCACUCGUGCACCACCGCCGGAGCCUCCGUCUCCGCUGACUCCGAUCCACCAGAACCACCGGAUCCACCAGACCCGCAAAUCUGCCUCUCCUUUGGUGAAUCUCUUUCUCAACCGCCGAGCUUCACUUCCUUCAGCACGUUUGACUCACUCCUCCAACUCUCCUCCGCCAGAGCUAGCUUUUCGUCGACGACGAGUCUUUCUCACCUGCCAGCAAAGGGGCCCCUCACUGUGAAGCCUCCCGACGAGUCUCCUUUUGCAAUCUGUUUUGGAGAUCUUGAUGCUCGUCACUGCCCAACCUCUUCAACCAUAGCCUCCUUCAAUGAUGGUUGUUAUCUCAUCGACGCCUACACCUUCCCUCCUCAGACAUUCCCCCAAGUAUGCUCUAGCUCUUCACACUCUAAUUCUUUUAGGAUGGAAAGAAUUAUUUGGAUGUUCGUUGAGUUUUUGGCUUUGGUUUUGUGGAACUCUGAUCUAGCUUAUUCGGUUUUGAUGGGCUUGGAUACUCUUGUGUCUAUAUUUGUGCUCUCUUCUAGCACUUUUAUCGCUUUGAUGCGAUCACUUACUGCAGUAUGCAGAGUUUAUCUCGAUUAUGCUUUGUUAGAAGUUGUCUCGUGGCAGCUUGGACAAAGAUGUUUGAGUAUUGACAACCGACCAGUUAACCUGGUUCUUUGGGGUUUUCACAGCCCUCAUCUCUCCUCUAAGGAGCUUAUUAUCCUCCCAAAUACUUCACUUGUGUUUAGUGGUAUUGUUACAGGGAGCAUUGUGUUCAAGACUGUUCUACUUGAUGUAGAAGCGAGGAUCAUUGUUCAAGAUUGUUCUCGUUCAGUUUUUACUGACUGUUUGGCGUCAGGACUUAUGGAGGCUUUGUUUUCUCCUCCUUGUGGUUUCAACAAGAACUUCCAAACUAAAGAUGUUUGCUUUGUUGGAUGCUCGUGGUUGGAUGCCUCUUUGGGAGAACUUUUUAGUUCACCAUUAUCCCAAAGUCUCAUUUUGAGCUUUGUUGUUGCUGUUAGCUUUUACUCUUGCUCGACCUCUAUGUAUGUCGUUGUUUCGGUUUAUCCGGCUCUUUGUAGCCAUGUUGUAUCCUCUCUUAGUAGAGGUUAAACUCAUUUCUAUUAUAUGAUAUGCUUAGUUUGCCCAAAAAAAAAAAAAAAAAAAACAUGAUGGUAUAUAUACUAGUUUGGUGGGGCUAAGGACACGUUCCCUUGAUCAACUAAGUAAAGAACUUACAAUAAUGGAAGCUCAUGUAUGGGAAAAUGGCGUUUUUCAACCAGAACAAAUUGCAAAGUAUGUUUCUAUACUUCAAUUAACAUAUAAUACUUUUUACUAUCUCAACGUCAAAAUAUUUCAAAUUUACUAUCCAAACUACUAAUUUUGAGCGUAAAACUACAUUGACUUAAACAAAAUUAGUCAACCGUUUGUUUACGACAUGAUAGCGAAGAUGUAUCAUUUUAUCUUAAUCAAAUAACGUCGUUUUGGUUAUUUGAAUUCAUAAAAUAAACCAAACGAUAUCAUUUUGGUCAUUUUAGUCCAUAAACUCAACGAAACGAUGAUGUUUGAUAGACAAAAUAACAUUGGUAAAGAUAAAACGACACUUCGUUGUCACCGUGUUAAGUUUAUGGACUCAAAUGCCCAAAACGACGUUAUUCCUCGUUGCCAUCAUGUCGUUUAAGUGAAUAAAACAAAUUGUUGACUAAUUUUGUUUAAGUCAAUGUAGUUUUACGUUCAAAUUUAAUAUGUUAGGUAGUAAUUUUGACUUAUUUUGGCUUUGAGAUAGAAAAAGGCACUGUAUAUUUGUUGAGAAUUUGAGAUAUAUAAACACACUUUGAAAUUUGUUCGGAUUGAAAAACGCCAAUUUCCCCUCAUGUAUGCUCCCACACUCUUUAUAUAUAUAUAUGUAUAUAUUCUAUCGGCUUAUUCGGCCAGUUUAGAUAAAAAAAAACAUUAAAAUGUUAGAGAACAGACUCCUUCCCGAAGGACCACCACACUUCUUAAUAAUUUUAAUUUAACCAUUAAAUUUAAAAAUUACUAAUUUUAAAAACAAAUCGUCCCGCAAUAUACCGCAUGUUAAAAUUUAGUGUAUAUAUAUACGCUUUCAAUACAUAUCCCCUUCCUAAAUUACCCGCUUCCAAUAGCAAUAUUGUCUUUCUACAAAAUCUUUAAGUUUAUAUUCAAUCCUCUAUUAUUCUGACUUGGAACAUUGCAUAUAGUCAUAACAAAAAAAAUUAUUAACCAAAAAAGAGAUUAGUAUAAUUAUCACUUAGUUAUUUUGUUUGGAAUAAAUAACUACUAGAAUAUGUUUUUCACAACAAUUUUGAUUUUUAUCAUUGCUUCACUCUUCUAUAGUAUAUAUAUUUUUUUUUUACAUCUUUAGAUUGACAAAGUCCGAUCCAUAACCAAUCUCUACUAUACGGGAUAACGUGACUUAGUGGAGUCAAACUCCGAUGGGGAAGACAGAGUCAAAUGGACUUUAAGGGCUUGAUUGGUUCUCCCGCUAGCACCCUCCUAGCGGUUGCUAGCAGUCGGUUGCGGUUGUUAGCGAUUAGUACCAAUCAUAGAAACCGCUCCAUACCGCUUCAAACCGCUCGAAAUCGCUGAAUUUCAAAAGCUCAUUCCCACAAGCUUUUGCGGUUGCGGGCGGUAGCGGUUGGAUUUAAAAAAAAAAAAAAAAAAACCAAACGUUUACUUAUAAUUAUUAUAAAAUAUAUUAAUCCUGUAUGUAUCUUUCAUCUUUGUAUCACGUUCUCAUCAUAAACCCUAAUCAAUAUUCUAAAACCUUAUUUUCUCAAUGUCUUCCACCCAAACUGAUAAAAAUCAAGAACCAAACGUAAGUAUCAUAUAUCCUUUUAUUCAUUCAUCACCUCAUGUGUAACUCUUUGAAUAUUUUUCUUGACAUCGUGUUUUUCUUUUCAUUAUGUGUUGCUUUGCUUUUUGAUUGAAUAUAUGUUUCGAUUUAUUUUCUCGAAUAGAAAAUCACUUGCUUUUUGAUUGAAUUCAACGUUAUUUAUAGUUUGUCCCAUUAGUUGAUGUAAUUUUUGGUGUUAACCCAGUAUAAAAUACUAUCUUAUUACAAAAUUUCUUUAUUUUUGAAUAACUAUUUAAUACUUUAUUUAUGGUUUUAAUUAUUAAGCAUGUUCAAAUUUUCUAAUAUUGUCAUAAUAAUAUAUUGGUAUUUUUAUUUCUUUUUUUGUAAUAUUUUUUAUUUUUUUGUCAUUUUUUUAUUUAACUGCUACCGCACCCGCUGGUUUACCAGUCAUAAAACUUCCGCAAACGCAUCCAUUUUCAAACGCUAAACCAGUCGUUCAAAACGCUUGGUAACGCUUAAAACUGCAACCGCCCGCUUCCGCAAACUCCCGCAAGCGUUUAAACGAGUCCGGCCCUAAAUUGGAAUUCAGUAUUUUUUUUCAAUAAAUUGGAUUAAAUACCGAAUGAGAAAUGUAUAUGUCAAUCGUGUGGCAGAUCUGGUGGGUUAAGGAUACCAACGUGUUACCGUAAAAGCCCCUCCGAAAUUAACGUAUAGUUGUCCACACACACAUCAAACUGCGUGAAAUCUGAUUCUUACUUGCUACCUUCUUCUUCCUUCUUCCUCGUUCAUCAUCCUCACACUGAGCGAUAGAGAGAGAUCUAUUAUGUGGGCAUUCAUCAAGUUCACGUUUUUGGGGCUUAAACCAUAAAGGGAUAAUCUUUCAUUAAAAAGUUUCGAUUUUUCUGAGAUUUUCUUCACAUUCUCCGAAACGUGGACACAUUUUGAUCUUUUUGGGUGUCAAUAAAAGUUGAAACUUUGAUUGCAUUUUCUCUCAAAAGGUGCAAUUUUUAUUACCCAUCUAGGUGAGGUUUGGAUAAAUUGGUGAGGAAUCCGAAGAAACUGGCGAGAUUACAAGCGAUUCUGAAAUAUCAGAAGCUAUUAAGAGGAACAAGAGGCAUGGCUCCUACAGGGAACGGGCCAGUGAUACCAAUCCUAGGUUUUCUUACAUGUGUGGCUUUUAUCUAUCUCUCGUUUGGUGAUUUGUUGUUCGAUUUCAAAAGGGAGGGCGAGUUAGGAUUCGUGAAACGGAAUGGGACACAGUUUGUGGUCGAUGGUAAGGCUUUGUAUGUGAAUGGUUGGAACUCUUAUUGGUUCAUGGACCAUGCUGUGAAUGAUCAUAGCAGACACCGUGUCGGUGCUAUGCUUGAAGCUGGAGCUAAAAUGGGUCUCACUGUUUGUAGAACAUGGGCUUUUAAUGAUGGAGGCUACAAUGCUCUUCAGAUCUCUCCUGGUAGAUUCGAUGAACGAGUCUUCAAGGUAUCUUUUUUGUCUUUUUUGCCGACAUUUUUAGUCUUCCUUCAACUUAUUUUAAUCAGAAAUGUCAACGAAGAUGAUAAGAUAUAGACUAGGGCAAUGCAGCAUCCAAUUAUAUCUCUUUUCAUGAGCAAUUCAAUGUUUCUUAUAGCUUGGAAUGGGAAGAAUCUGCAUUUACUUACUUCUUCUUGUAUCUGUAAUUCGUUUGCAAUGCAUACUUCAAGGCUAAUGGUUUCAGUAUUUACACAUUCUUGUACAUUCAGUUUGAUGUUUACUUGUCCUGUUCUGAGUCUGAAGCUUGGACAAUGUUUAUCGUUAGCCACUUUAGGUGUUCUGUCUCAUGCUAAACUGAUCUCUCUUCUCUCUCUUAACAAAGUUUAUAUUAACAUGGUCAGGCCUUGGAUCAUGUAAUCGCAGAGGCAAAAACACAUGGUGUUAGGUUGCUUCUUAGCUUAGUGAAUAACUUGCAAGCUUAUGGAGGGAAGACUCAGUACGUCAAUUGGGCAUGGCAGGAAGGUGUAGGCCUCAGCUCCUCCAAUGAUUCCUUCUUUUUUGACCCAUCUAUCCGCAGAUACUUCAAGAAUUAUCUGACGGUAUGUUUUUCUAAUCUUAUCUCUUUUCUAUGUGAACAUGGAUGUGUUAGUCUAUAUCAUCAUAGUUGAAUUAGAUACUGAAUCCAGAAAUAUAAGAGAUGCUACGAUCAAUUUACUCUCGCUUGACCCAUAGACUUGGAGAAGUUUCCAUGCAAUAGCUUUUGUAUGGUUGUGUAAUUGAUGUUAAGCUUGGAAUCACUCUCAUUUUCCAUUUGCCAGGUGCUGCUGACCCGCAAAAACUCUUUAACCGGGAUUGAGUACAGAAACGACCCAACAAUUUUUGCAUGGGAGUUGAUAAACGAGCCUCGCUGCAUGUCUGAUGUCUCUGGGGAUACUCUACAAGUGAGUUCUCCUUCAGUUUUGUGGUUUCCUUGUCCAACAUUGGAUCAUUAGUAAUUGUUGAAAAUUAGUAAUGUUACUCUGGUGGUUUCUUGUUCUGGUAUGUGGAUUUAAAGGACUGGAUUAACGAAAUGACAGCGUUCAUUAAAUCAAUUGACAACAAGCAUCUUCUAACCGUAGGCUUGGAAGGGUUCUACGGUCCCAAUAACCCUAAACGGCUGACAGUUAACCCGGAACGGUGGGCCUCUGAGCUUGGAUCAGAUUUUGUUCGAAACUCUGAUUCGCCAAACAUCGAUUUUGCAUCAGUUCAUAUCUACCCCGACCACUGGUAAGCCUCUGUUAAGAACUGUGUGAACAAAUUUGAUUGCUGCGUGGGGUUCUUGUUUAUAAACACAAAUUUGGAAACUUUGGCAGGUUUCACGAUCAGGGGUUUGAAGAAAAACUCAAGUUUGUGGUGAAAUGGAUGCUAUCUCACAUUGAAGAUGGGGACAAGGAACUGAAGAAGCCUGUUCUGUUCACCGAGUUUGGACUCUCGAAUCUGAACAAGGACUAUGAUCCAUCGCAGCGGGAUCGGUUCUACAGAACCAUCUUUGAUGUUAUUUACAAAUCAGCCAAGCGGAAGCGGUCUGGUGCAGGAACACUGGUAUGGCAGUUUCUGAUAGAAGGCAUGGAAGGUUUCAACGAUGACUUCGGGAUUGUCCCGUGGGAACAAGAUUCCAUUCAGAGAUUGAUGAUUGAACAGUCUUGCAGAUUGAGUCGAGUCACUGGACGCCAUCUUCUUGACAAGAAGUCCAUAGAAAUGUGUUCCCAUAGACCAUGAGAGAAUACAGUUUUUGUUGGAACAAAUUCUCAGGGGCUCCUUAAGCUCUAAAUUUUGUCUCAAAACGUUUAUUUAUGUAGUAAAAGUCAGUAGUACCUGAUUUUCAAAUUGGUCCUCUAACUUCUUAUUUAUUUCAAUUUUGCCCCGUUUAUCUGUUCACAACCUAAAUCUCUAAAGUUUGGAUCUUGAGAAAUUGCGAGGCUAAAAGUUUGGUUCUUGAGAAAUGAUGGCCGCUCGUACUCACUGUAUCAACCUCAUCCCCAAAGUUUGUCUUCCUCAAUCGAGAACUGGUGAAUCAGUGACUAAUCUCAGAUUUGAUUGCGUCUCUAACUCAUCGAAGCUUUCUCUCAAGACAUCAUGUGGAAGACAUCACCGGAGGCAAAAUCUCAGCAUCCGAUCCGUGUUUACUGGAAUCGUGGAGGAAAUGGGCGAAGUCAAGAACUUGGGAAUGGCCGAUCACGGAGGAUUCGACCUCAAAAUCGGAGCGAGAGUGGUUUUGGAGGACGUGAAGCUCGGUGACAGCAUUGCGGUGAACGGGACUUGUUUAACGGUGACGGAGUUCAACGAAGAGGAGUUCACAGUGGGGUUAGCACCAGAGACGCUGCGAAAAACAUCGUUGGAGGAGCUAAAGAAAGGAUCUCCGGUGAAUCUGGAGCGUGCGUUGCAGCCAGUGAGCCGGAUGGGUGGACACGUGGUUCAGGGACACGUGGAUGGGACGGGAGUGAUUGAAUCAAUGGAGGUAGAGGGUGAUUCUUUGUGGGUGAAGGUGAAAGCUGACAAGGGUUUGUUGAAAUACAUUGUGCCUAAAGGAUUUGUGGCUGUUGAUGGGACUAGCUUGACGGUUGUUGAUGUCUUUGAUGAAGAGAGUUGUUUCAAUUUCAUGAUGGUUGCUUAUACGCAGCAGAAAGUGGUGAUUCCUACUAAGAGUAUUGGGCAGAAAGUGAAUCUUGAGGUUGAUAUCAUGGGGAAAUAUGUUGAGAGGCUUCUCACCAGUGGUGGCUUCUCCUUGAACAGGGCAGAGGUAACUAGAAAACUUAAAGUUUAAGUCUUUUUGGUAGGAUUGAUGUGGAGGAGAAUAAUGAAUGGUGUUGAUUGCAAUCGAACGAUCUUCUAAGUUGGCAUCAAUAUACUGAGCUUAAACUUGUUUAGAACUAUGGUUUACCGCAAUAUUUUCAGAAUGUUUCGAUCUGAGCUCUCCUUUUACAAGGAAUCAUCAUUAGUAGAUUUAUAGUACAUCGAUUUACGUGAUAGUCCUAGUCUCUAGUCACUUGGCUCCACUAUCUUUGUCUGACAAACUUUUAGUUUUGUUCUUGUUGUGGGGGAUAUGUGUAUUCAUUGUUCCCUAAUCACUUUGCUCUGCUAAAUUGUUGGGGAAGCUUGUUCCCUGUGUUGUGCAAUUCAAUUGGGGGGCAUUGCAUGUGGUAUUGUUUGGAGAUCUGAAGAGCAUCUUGUAGUUGUUGAACUAAGAAGUUCUGUUUUAUGGGUUGCAGGAAAAGAAAUGAUUAGAUGGGACUUGGGAUUGGGAGCUUUUGGUGAGCGGAGCUUGACCUUUUGGCCUCGGGUUCUAUGUAAGAUGUAUUCUAACCUCUGUUUCUUCGUAGUGGUGCUAGUGAACAGUCCACGCAUUUAGGCGCGGUGAGAAAAGUAGAUGAACCUUAUCGAGUAAUGAUGAUCAAAUCAUUCGUGUAAUAAACCCAAGAAUCAAAUUGUGUAAUAUGGCAUUGCCCUUUUUAAACAUAGAUUCUGUUUUGCUUCUUGUUAGGCCUUCAUAUGUAUAUCUUUUUGAGUGUUUCGAUGAUUAAAUGGAAAAAACAAGAGAAGUUUAAAAGAAAAGGAGUUUAAGACAUAACACCAAGAGGCAUAUAUAAUGUGUUCUUUAUCCAUAAAACAUGUUCUGAGAUGUGUUAUUAAGACUUCACGGAGACAAGAACAAAAGACAGAGAACGAGGAAGGUAGAAAGAACCGCGAGAGAUGCAGUUGCGGAGGCUCGGGGGUUAGAAUCAGAAGUUGCAGAUGCAGACUGGGUGACAUUAGUGCAGUCAAGACCUUCUUUGCCUUCUUUACACAUGUUGGCAAAGAUUCCAGGAGGAUAACGACCGUAAAGGUUGAUGUAGCUGAACAUUGUGGAGGCACAAUCGUUCUUUUCGUCGUUAAGAACUUCUGCAAAAGGGCAAGCAAAGUCCUUGAAGGCGGAGCAACACACAUUUGCCGGAUAAUUUGGUCCUUUACAUCUGCUUGUUAUGAUUGUGUAGUUCUUGUUUGCGAAAUCUUCUUUGCACGCUGUUUCAAUAAAACAAGGAAAACAGAAGAUCCAUACUUGGGAUUAGAAUCAAGAUUUGGUAAAUCAUCAAUUAGGAAGGAUGAUCUUUACUUGUCCUUGUCUGAAGAAGAGCUCUGCUUGUGGCUGCGUGACCAUCAAAUUCAUCAUCUGCACAUUCAAAUCCAUAAAACUUUUUUAACAAUUUUUAUCCUCCCAUAUGAUGAACAUGAAAAUAGAAAGAAAAUAAAACAAAUCAUUUAUAAAUAAUUAAAAAAAGAAUGCAAAGAAAUUGAGGAAAUAUAUACAUGAGAGGGAGAAACCAGAGAGGAGGAAAAUGGGAAGAAGAGAAAGCAGACAGUAAGGAGAAAUCUCCAUUGUUUCUCUGUUUCUUCUUCUCUUCUCUUCUCUUUUCUUUUUCCAUUACUUCAUCUUUUUUGGGUAUUUCUGUUUCUUUUUUAGUAAAAUGAAAGUUAUAGGAGGAGAGACAAUUUCGGAAAUGUAAGAAAAUAAAUAAAUCAUUGCAUCAUUUAAUUACAAAACUAUCAUUAAUAUGGGGUAGGUUUUGAGAAAUUGACAUUGAACCAAACCAUACUAAAGCCUAAACGACGACGUGUCGAUAGAACUAAAUUCAGUAAACACAAGUUGAAUUCUUCUGUCCAAAGUUUUGAUUUUUUUCUUCUCCAAAAUUGCAAAUGUUAAACCCUAAACCUUAGGUUCUGUGUUUGAAAUCUGUAUCAUCUUCAAAGUAUGAAGCAUCUUCUUCUUCUUCUUCGUCUUGUUCGUCCAAAGCCAAAUUACAUUCUCAGGAGGAGCUUCCUUUUUCACUCCGGCAAGACCACACCCUCGCCGUUGGACCCUUACGACACUCUGCAGCGUCGAGUCGCGAGAGCUGGAGAUCCCUCUGCUUCGAUUAUCAGAGUGUUGGAUGGAUGGCUUGAUCAAGGGCAUCUGGUGAAGACUUCAGAGCUCCAUGGCAUCAUCAAGAUGCUUCGCAAGUUCAGCCGUUUCUCUCACGCCCUUCAGGUCUCUCAUUUUCUGGAUUCCUCUGUCGCUUAGUUUCACAAAAAGUUCAUCUUUUUUUGUUGUUACUCUGUGAUGAUACGAAUCCAAAUCUUAAAAAUGGUAUCUUUUUUGUUCUUCUUGUUAUGUUUAUGAUGUUAGAUAUCAGAUUGGAUGAGUGAGCAUAGAGUUCAUGAGAUCACUGAAGGAGAUGUUGCGAUUCGGCUUGAUUUGAUUGCUAAAGUUGGUGGUUUGGGAGAAGCAGAGAAGUUUUUCGAAACGAUUCCUAUGGAGAGGAGGAACUACCAUCUCUAUGGGGCUCUCUUGAACUGCUAUGCGAGCAAGAAGGUGUUGCAUAAAGCUGAGCAAGUGUUUCAGGAGAUGAAAGAGCUUGGCUUCCUCAAAGGUUGUCUUCCCUACAAUGUGAUGCUGAAUCUCUACGUCCGGACUGGGAAAUACACAAUGGUAGAGAAGUUGCUGCGCGAAAUGGAGGAUGGGACUGUGAAGCCCGACAUCUUCACGGUGAACACGCGGCUCCAUGCUUAUUCGGCUGUAUCUGAUGUAGAGGGGAUGGAGAAGUUUCUGAUGCGUUGUGAGGCAGACACAGGACUUCAUUUGGACUGGCGCACUUACGCUGAUACAGCGAAUGGCUACAUAAAGGCUGGAUUAACUGAAAAGGCGAUAGAGAUGCUGCGUAAAUCAGAGCAGAUGGUGAAUCCUCGGAAAAGAAAGCAUGCCUAUGAGGUUCUCAUGUCAUUCUAUGGAGCUGCAGGUAAGAAAGAAGAGGUGUACCGUCUCUGGAGCUUGUACAAGGAGCUGGACGGGUUCUACAACACUGGAUACAUAAGCGUGAUCAGUGCACUCUUGAAGAUGGAUGACAUCGAGGAGGUUGAGAAGAUUAUGGAAGAGUGGGAAGCUGGACACUCCCUUUUCGAUAUCCGGAUUCCACACUUGUUAAUAACGGGUUACUGCAAGAAGGGGAUGAUGGAGAAGGCAGAGGAAGUAGUAAAUAUGUUGGUCCAGAAGUGGAGAGUGGAGGAUACAAGCACAUGGGAGCGUUUAGCUCUCGGGUACAAGAUGGCGGGUGAAAUGGAGAAGGCGGUGGAGAAAUGGAAGAGAGCAAUAGAUGUGAGCAAGCCAGGGUGGAGACCACACCAGGUUGUAUUGAUGAGCUGUGUGGACUAUCUGGAGGGUCGAAGAGACAUGGAGAGUUUGAGAAAGAUUUUGAGACUGUUAAGCGAGCGAGGACACAUUUCAUACGAUCAGCUACUAUACGAUAUGAACGGAGCUGGACUGAGUUGGAAGAUAGUCGAUGCAAUGGGAAAAGGUCGAUACAUUGAGGAAGGAGAAGUAAGAAUCUAGACAGUGACACAUUCCAAACAAUGAAGUCUUGAGACCAUUUGGAUAAAUGCAAUUUCGUUUCACCUACUAGCAUUUUUUGGGUUUAAACUUGUCUUAAGAAUGAGUUAACUAAUAAUAGAUUAAUGUUAACUAUAUAGCAAUCAGAGUUACAAAUUGAUUUUAUACGUUAGUCUUCUCCACCAACCAGGAAACCAAUGUGUAGCUAUCAUUGAUGUGUUUGCUCAGAAACGCCUAAUAGAUUAAUGCUAAACUAGAUAACAAACAGAGUUACAAAUAUUGUGAUCGAUAUGUUAAUCAUCUCCACCAACGUAUCCUCCUCCUCUCAUUGCCUCCACCAUCUUCAGGCUCAAUCGGUCUUUGUCCAUUGCAUGCAACACUUGCUCUCGCUUGUUCAGGAGUCUCAGAAUAUCAGCUGUACUCUCCAUGUCUCUCCGACCCUCCACAUAUUGCACACAUGCAUAAGCGGACAGAGCCAUGCUGCUCUUUGGGUUCCAGCGGUCAUGCAGCCUCCCCUCCAUAGCCUCUGCCACUCUUUUCCUCCUCUCCUCUUCUUUAUCAUCUUCAUCCUCCACCAAAUUAUUAACCUUGAGUGCCAAACUCUCCCAUUUGCUCUCCUUCUUCCCAAACAUAUCCACAAUCUUCUCAGCCUCCUCCUUCAUGCAUCUAUGUUGGAGACCAAAAUCCAUCAGAUCAAUAUUGGGACACUCAUCCCACUCUUCCAUAACCUCAUCGAGAUCACCCUUCUUCAUAAACGCCUUGACGAUAUCAGAACAUUUGGAACUGUCAAAGGAUAUCCCAUAGUCCUUAGCCAAGUUCCAGAGACGGUACACAUCCUCUGUUAGAUUCUCGCUACAAUAAGCAGUCAUGAGACAUCCAUAGAUGAUUUCUCUAGCGCGGUCACCAACAGAUGGCUCUGACCUACGAAGCAAAGCUAAACCCUUUUCCCUAAACCCUGCUCGUAGGUAGACCAAUCCUGGAAAGUAGAAUGUGGUCCAUUUUUCCUGAAUCAUCACCUCCCACUUGCUCAAAAACUUCUCCAUUCCUUGUACAUCUAAAUCAGAUGCCAUUGAGUAAGAAGUUAAAAGCUUGUCAAAAGACAGUCCUUGGGGUUGCAUCUUUUUCUCGUCCAUCUCACCAAGAAGCUUCACCACCAUGUCGUGAUCUUCAGCCUGAUGGUAGAGACAGAGCAUAAUGCUAUAGAGUUGAGGAUUGUUAUCAACAAAACCAGAGAAAAUGUUUCUCAAGUCCCUUUUUGAAAGCAACUAACCUCUUAUAUCCUUUAUUUGUCUACAUAUCCCCUUCUCUAUUAAUGAAAUGUGUGUUGCCCAUUAUACCCUUCCUUCAUUUUCAGAAUAAUUAAUUAAUUACUAAAAUUUAAAAAAAAACGAAAAUUGGAAAAAAAAAAAAAAAAAACGAGCUCUCGCUCUCGUCGUGCUCCUCUUCCGCCAUUGUUGCCACAGAUUCGAUUUGCAGUCGCCAUUGUUGCCGUAUCCUCUCCUCCGGCGAGCUGGGUCGAGAUAGAAAGGACAUGUAUGUUUCUCGAGCUCCUUUGAGCUUGAAAUUGAAUCAAAACCAUUUACAAUUAAGGAGAUUGAAUCCAAUUGGAUUUAGCUAAUUGUUUGGUAUGCACAUUGGAAGUUUAUGCAUAGUUUCUGGGUCGAAUAUGUCUGUAAAUGGGUAAGAAAUGGAUUGCAGCAACUGAAUCAUAGUGAAUUGUAGUUUAGAACCCGAAACCAUUCGAUUUGAGUUCUUGACGCGAAAGUACAACUGGUAGAACUUGGUAGAACUGAACCUGAAUCUAUUGAAAAAUAUAUAUGUAGUAUUACUAGUUACACUUAGUAUUACCCAGAUGUAUGUAGUAUGACUAGUUACACUAGUAUUACCAAUAUACAUGUAGUAUUACUAGUUACACUAGUAUUACCCAGAUAUAUGUUGUAUUACUAGUUACACUAGUAUUAUCCAAAUAUAUGUAGUAUUACUAGUUUUACUAGUAUUACCCAGAAUUGUAGUACAACUAGUAUAACUCGCAGAGUUUUUGUAUUGUUUUGGCAGGAUACAAUGAGGGAGAACGUGAUCAUAUAUUUUAAAUGCGAAAGUCGCAUGUAUAGCUUGAUGAUGAAGACAUCAGGGGAGAAGAUAACUCUCUCCAUGUUAGAAGGUAGGAUAUGCACGAAGCUAGUGUUAGAUAAAAGUAAGGUUAAAUUGCAAAUGAGGUACAAUGCAGUGGUGUUGGGACCAGAGGAAGAGAUUUACAUUUGUGAUGAUGAGGAUGUUGGUGUCUAUUUAGUUUUAGGUGAAAAUAACCGUAGUCCGUAGAUAUGUUUUGUAUGUGGAGGUCAUCACUCCACCAGAAUUGUCCGAGCAACUGUGGAGAGUAGAGAUUAUGUUUUGUUUUGUUUGUGGUUGUUAUUUGGCAAUCAUAAUAUUUGAUUUUAUCUGCACUUUAUGAUUUGUAAAACAAUUUCGACUUAGACAACUAUGUAACACUAGUUUUUUAUGAUGUAAUACUAUGUUUUUUUUCUAUGGCAAAUGGGUAAAACUAGUAUAAAAAAUAGUACUAAUAACGAGAUUUGGUAAUACUAGUAAAACUGGUAUAACUUAUGAAGGAAUUUGAAUUUCAAAUUUAUUUUUUCCAACAUUAAAUAUUACACUGACUAUUAAGUAAUAAUGAACUCUUAUAAAUGAUAUAAAUAAAUUAAGCGAGAAAAAAAAAUUAUAUCAUAUCGGAUUGUUUUAAUAGACUCCAUACAACAUAAUCCUUAUACUUUUAAGUUCACUUUUUGUACAACCAAUAACUAGGGUACAACUAUAUUUAAAAAAAGCUGCGCACUGGUGGAAAAAAACGGCGCACACGUGGAUAAGAUGGGGCCCACGUGUCCUAAAAUUGAAAUUCUCCCAUUUUUUUGGGUCCAAAUCUGAGGAGCUCCUUACUCCUCACUUAUCAAUCUAUUUACUCUCCAAAAAUCUCACAUACUCUCCUACUCUUAAUGAAAUACAAAAACUCCAUUUUACCCUUCUAAAAUCAAAUUUAAUAAUAAAUAACAAAAAUAAUUUGACCAAUAAGAAGCUAUUAUUUUGAACAAUGAAAAUUGACUGUUCCGACCAAUCAUAACAUUCCAUAUCAGUCCGUAUUUGUGUAUUUGUGUCUGUAUUUAAUGUUUGAUACUCUAUAUUUGUAUAACUUGGUAAAACUUGGUUUCUUAAUGGUACAACUACGACCAAUUUAACAAAUCUUUAUAUGUAAUUUAAUAAAUUAGUUAGAUAAAUUAUAAAAUCUUCAUAUGCACUUUAGAAAUUUAACCAAUGUUUAAUAAAUCUUCUUAAAUAACAUUAGUUAAACAAAAUUUAUAGGAUAGUUUCCAUUAAACUCAUUUUUGUACAAAUUGUUUAAUAAAUUAGUUAGACCAUUUAUAAAAUCUUCAUAUGCACUUUAGAAAUUUAACCAAUAAUUUAACAAAUCUUCUUAAAUAACAUUAGUUUAACAAAAUUUAUAAGAUAGUUUCCAUUAAACUUAUUUUUGUAUAAGAAAGACCUUAUACUUUUAAGAUGACUUUGUUAUUGUUAUCCCCAUUGCAUUGCAAAACACACAAAAAUAACGUUUUGACAGAUAUUUUUGCAUGAAAACAUAAGAAAUGUACCUCAAAUAACUAAAAUCAUGGGUAUAACUAAAAAAAUUUAGUUUCAAUCCAAGUAUAACUAAUUAUUCAAAACAUCUCAAAAAGUACAACUGUGUAUAUGCGAGUACAACUUGAAAACUAGGAAUAACUAUGUUCAUUUUUGCAGUGCCACCUGGCAGAUGUACUUGCUUUGCGGCGCCCACUUGCAAUUUAUGACGGCGUAGUUUGACCGAGAGCAGUUUGACCCACGUUUUUUACGGUUUUAAAAUUUUGAAAAUUUUCAAUUUUUUUAUUCUCUACUAUAGAAAGAGAAAAAGGAUGAGAGAGAACAAAAUCUGGGUAGAACAACUACGUACCAAGUUGUACCUAGUUAUACAAAAAUUUCAAAUAACUAUAUUAACCAAGUUGUACUAAGUUUAACAAACUGACGUAGUUAUGCCAAAUUUCUAAGUUACAAAAACAAUAUAGUUAUACCAAGUUCUAUUAGUUGUCUUAAGUGUGAGUUCGGAUAAUUGAUGAUCCGAUUAGACUGGAGAGCCCCUGAGAAUUUGAUCCCAUUUUUUUAGGUUUUCCCCCAAAUUUGACGGCGCACAUGUGUAAAUUUGACUCGCACAUGUGUAAAUUUGACGGUGCACAUAGUUUUACCUAGUAAUACCAGUAGUAUAAAUAAAAUAAAAAACAAAACCAACAUAGUUUUACCUAGUAUUACCAAUUAUACAAAUCUAAACAACAACUAUAAGACAAAGAUAUAAUAAAGAAGGUAUAUUCUUCUUCACCUCCAGCUACCAUGAUACUAUCAAUUUCAUGUGGGAUGUAAACAAUGAACACAGAUUAGAAACAUUACAACCCAAAAUAGUUCAUAUCAUACAAUGCUCUCAGAAAAUAUGACUCCAUGGACGUAGCAUCUUCUCCAAUCUGUGUGUGCCCAAUAACAAUGCUAGAUAAGAAGUAGAAGACCAUGUGGAAUAAAUUAAAAAGUCGAAAUUUUCUCCCAAAUGGCUCUACGGACGUAGCAUCUUCUCCAGUCAUUUCGAACAUUCGAUUUUGAGUAAGCUUCUAACAUGGAGAGAGUUAUCUUCUCCCAUGAUGUCUUCAUCAUCAAGCUAUACAUGCGACCUUGGCAUUUGAAAUAUAUGAACACGUUCUCCCUCAUUGUAUCCUGCCAAAACAGUACAAAAACUCUGUCAGUAAUACUGGUUUUACUAGUUCUACUACAUUUGUAGUAAUACUAGUGUAACUAGUCAUACUACAUAUAUCUGGGUAAUACUAGUUUAACUAGUCAUACUACAUGAAUCUGGGUAAUACUAGUGUAACUAGUCAUACUACAUAUAUUUGGGUCAUACUAGUGUAACUAGUCAUACUAUAUAUAUAUAUAUAUAUAUAUGUUUCAAUAGUUUCAGAUUCAUUUCUACCCAGUUUGACCAGUUCUACUAUCGCGAGAAGAACUCAACUUGAAUGGUUUCGGGUUCAAAACUAUAAUUCACUAUGAUUUAGUUGCUAAAAUCCAUUUGCUAUCCAUUUAAAAACCUAAUCGACCCCUAGAAAGUAUGCAUAAACUUACAAUAUCCAUACCAAACACAAGAAGCCAAAUCUAAUUGGGUUGGACUUCUUUCCGAGUUGGUUCUUCCUUGCCUAUCGCACAUAAACCACCAUUAUCAUCCUUGGCAAGUGGAUCCUAAGGACCAGCUGGUGGGUCUGAAAGACCAGCUAGUGGGUCAGCAGACUCAUGCAAUUGAACACAAUUAUACAAUAGUAUUACUCAGUAUUACUAAAUGUUUGUUAUACCGUAGUAUUAUGAGUUUUACCUAGGCAUCACAAUAGUAUUCUCUAGUUCUACUAGUGUUACCCAGAUGUCAAAAUAUUAUUUCUCAAUUCUACCAGUAUUACUCAGAAAUCACAAAUGUAUUAUUCAACCAUUAUUACUUAAAAUCCAAAAUUCACAUUUCGAACCCAACUACUUACCAUCUCCACGCGAUUUUCGUUUGAUAUCUCUUCGGAUCUCUCUUCAAUGGAAUCACGCAAGGUUCGGCUACUCUCUCCUUCAUCUUCAUUCUCUUCGUCUUCACUCUCUUCAUCUUCUUUCUCUUCUACUUCAUUCCCUUCUUCUUCAUCGUCUUCAUUCCCUUCUUCUUCAUUAUUCUCAGCAACUGGAGAUAACUAUUUAUCUCUAUCUUUUUCUAUUUCUACCUCCUCGUCAACAUUGUUCGAAUCUGGAGGGUUCCGCAAACUUUAUCCAUCUUUCUCCUCAACAUUAGGGUUUCCCGAACCCUCUUCUCCUCUCUUCCUCUUUUUUGACCACCUUGUCUUAACCAUUAUCAAGAGAAAUCAACAAUUUUUCACAGUCAAAAUCUUGAAUUCUACAUAGUUUUACCAAUUAAAGAUGGAGAAAUCGUAACUUCUCUUUUGAAUUUAAGAGAAUUGAAGCUGAUAAACGUUCAUGAGGAAAAGUCGAAGAGAACGAUUUCAAAGUAGAGAAAGAGAAAUCAAUUUCAGGUUAGAUCCGAAUAGUUAUGGGUGGGGAAAAGAAACUGGGUUAAAUCUAGGUUUUCUCUAUUAUUUUUGUGUUUUGGCUGGGGUAACAAUGUAAUAAAAAAAUUGAAAAAGAAAUUCUGUUUUUUACGGGGAGAUAUGAGGUUUUGUUUUGACAAAAAGGGACUUUGCAGACGUUUUCUCACAAAACCAAGCUCUCUCUUCUUCUCAAAAGUAGUCUCAGCUAUGGCCACAGAGCUGUGUGUUUUGCAGCAGCUCAAGAGAGCAUUGUACAAAUAAAGAUCCCUCUUUUCUACAGGAACAGUCUCGAAGAACUUAGCCGCUUCUUCCACACCACAAACUUUUGCAGUCAAGUAAAGCCGUCGCUCAAAAUCCAUCGAACUCAGCUUGUAAGCUUUUUGUUCAAUCAUCCAAUCCGAUACCUAACAACACCAAAAACCUAAAAUUAACAAAAUUGUAAAAGUCCAAAUUUUGCUUGUUUUUUGAAACCCCUAACCUGGAGAGCGUGGAAGAAGCGAUUGGAUCUGUGAAGAGAGGUGAUGAUGCUUCUGAGUUCUGAAAGAGCCGUUUGAUUUCCGAUUUGGCACCAUUCUCGGAGCAACGGAGUGAUGGAGACCGUCGAAUCUUGGACUCGCUCGAUCCGACGCUUGAGAGUGUCAUCAAUGAGCUCCGGUGAAGGAAUGGUUUUAGGGAAAUGAACGAAGGAACGUCUGCAAGGAAGUUUCCAGAAGAAAGUACUGAAUGGUUGCCGGAGAAGAUGCUUCAUGCUCAAGCCAGAACCAAGACAAAACAAAAGCCUAGGUUUUCGCUUCUCUGUCUGCGUUCAGUCCACUUUACGACGACACUUAAUUUUACUUUCAUAAAAUAAAUUGCCUUAACCGGAUUCGUAUUAGAGAAUUCCGGUUUGAAUCUCCCACUACAAAAAAAAAAAAAAAAAAAAAAAAAAAUUUUUACUUACCACUUAGCAGUCUUAAUAGAUUAUGUACAAUGGAAAUAUUAUAAGUAUCGGUUUCGGAUUGGCUCUCUUCGUCCGAUAACUUAAUGAAAUGGUGUUUUAGCGGAAAGAAAAAAUGGAAAUAUUGUAAGCAAAGUUCAUAACACAAAGUCUUUUCAAAUACAAAUAUGAUUUUCUAAGAAAAAAAAAAACAAAUUAGGCCUCAGAAAUACAUUAUUGUAAAAAAGUACGUUAUCAUUGGUUUCUCAAACGAUGUUGGCAAAUUUGAAUCAUCAUAGGCCCUUUCUUUAUGCAGAAAGAUCAAAAAUGAAAAACUACACAAAAUAAUGAGCCUCAGACUGAUCAAUGUGACAGAAAACCAACAAAACACACAACUGACACAAUCGAAAAACUUGGUAGAUGAUGAUCGUGUUACUCUGCAAGAACAAGAAUGGGACAAGAAGCAGAGAAAGACAAAGGACUAAGAAGAGAGGUAAAACGCCAGUUUUACUAUCUCAAGAAUACAGAAUCAUCGAGAGCUCCUCAAAGAUCGCUCACUCUCUCUACCAAGAUCACAACCUGAACACGGCUUUUUAUAACAGAACACUCAACAAAAGAUACACACUUGUCAACGAAAGAUUACAAAGUUGAUGAUAAACCACCAACUUUGACUCUUCGUUUCCAUUUGUCAUUUGUGAAAUUGCCCCUUGGAGGCCAAGCUAAAAUCUAUUUUCCUACUUGUUAAGAGAAUAAAGUUUAGCUUGGCCUCCAAGGACAAUUUUACAAAUGACAAAUGGACACAUCCACUCAUUCAUUACUCUCUAGUCUCUAGAAAAGUCGAGACGCAGCAAGUAGCAAGGACGUUCCGAGUCACGUUGGAUUACACUCAUUAGAUUGGGCCUUGAUCUGAAGAUUAUUGGGCUUAGAGAACUUGGGCUACUCUUAACAGAUUCCCUCAAGCUUCACCUUCACAUGUAAGUUCGUUCAAGUCAUUGUGUUUUUGAACAUGAGAAAUUAGUGAAAUAGUGGGAAAAGCAGAUAAAGUUCGAAGUAAAUUGAUAGGGAGAAGUAAACAAUAAAAUUGCAUACAAUCAUUAUUCAAAAAUCAUAACAAAUAUAUUUGUGUUAUCUCCUCUAAUUACAAGAAAGUUUCCCCCUUGAUAAGGUGUUAAGGCCAAAAUACAACAAUACAAGUAAAAUUGAAACAUGACACAUCCACAAUUAAAUUCCAGUAGAGAGAUGAGGCCAAGACAUGACUUCUCAGUUGUGAUCCUUCUUCCUGUUAAGCUAUAGAGAUGAAGUAUUACCAAAUCAAGAACAAAGAAUGUGAGUUCCUAGAUGUGGUCGAAACCAAAUCUGUCUUUCCACAAGCAAAAAUUCUUUCUAAACCAUUUACCAUGAUGAGACAUAUUGCUGCUUGUUGUUGUUAUUCAGAUAUCAAGAAAAUGACUAUGAAAUGACUAAGUUGGUAAGAUUUUAACAAGGUUCAUAGAUGUCAUGGAGGAGCAUAUAAAAUCUCUAACACUACAACAACACCAGCCUCCUACUAGGCAAAUAACAAUAGCAAACUCAUGAGGCUUCAGCAGUUUAUCAUUCACUCACUUGUUCAAAGCUAAAAAUAACUUUGAUCAGGCAAUGUAGGCAAAGAUAUGAAACAUCAUCACCAGCCUCUCAUCAUCAAUAUCCAAAAACAAUUCUUUAAGAAGACAACACUAAAGGCCUCAGAAAUUACAUUUUGUAAAAAGUUAUAUCAUUAGUUUAUCAGACAAUGUAGGCAAAAAAUUUGAAUCAUCAUAGGCCUUAAAGAGAGAGUCAGGAAAAACAAAACGCAAAGAGCCUCAGACUAAUUAAAGAAUUCAUUUCAGAGGCAAAUCAAACAAUGUAGACAAUCUUUUUCAAUCAUCACUGGCUCUUUAUCUAAACCCAGUUCACAAAGGUUAUGACUUUGCAAAGCACAAAGAGAAGAAGAUAAAAAUCACAACUUUACUUAAUUCAAUGAAUUGAAUUCGAUCAAUUAAAACAAAAGUACGAAGCUUUUGAUGGUAAUAAUGAAAACUGAAUCGCUCACUGGCUUCUCUCGUUCAUAGAAGAUCGAUCAUGAGCCCUGAAUCUUUUUCUCACCGCCACCAAGAGGAGUUUUUAUCUUCUUUCCUCUGAAACCCUAGCAUCGUUUUAUAUUGCAACUUUUUGCGUUAUGCGUUGGGAAGGGCCCAUAUAUCGGCCCAUCAAAGCUCAACCGAAUUUCAAAUUGGAAAAGGCCCAUAUACCGGCCCAUUAAAACUCUUAAAACUUUUUUUUUUUUUUUUUUGGUGAGUUACUCAACUUUUAUUAAACAGUCAUUAAAAAAAAAAACCACAAGCUUUUCAUUAUUCUUUUUGCUUUUUUUCCCUUUUGUUCAAAUUAAAAAAUCUGGGGUUCCUGUUAAAUGCAAAGAAAAAAAGGAAAAAGGAAAAAGCUGGGGUUCAUGCAGGCUCUUAUCUUUAAAUUAAAGCUGAAAUUUGAAAGAUUAGUUUUUAGUAUUCUCCAAUAAAUUCUUCUUUUCUUCAAAAUGAUUGAUAAAAAGAAUCUGUAAAUUCUUGCAUCAUAAUUAGUUAGUAGAUCUCAUAUCCAUAUUAAAGAAGAUGUGUUGACAUCCUCCAACAAAUCCAAGGAGGAGAAAAGAAUGAAGAAACCAACAAUUAAGAAAGACUUAGAGAUGAAACCCAUAAAAGUAGGAAGACAAAACUUAAUAUGAGAGUUUUAAAAAAUAAAACAAAGACAAAGAGAGAGAUAAUUUGGGAGAUGUAAUGGAAGAAGGCCAAGAAUGAAGAAUCCUAACGACGAAGGUUCUUGACUUUGGACCAACCCUUCUUACAAGAUUUGCCGACAACUUUGAUGCCUUUCUUGAAGAGAUGUUUCAGCUCCAACGCCCUCAUCUUCACCUGAUCCUCAAAUGCUCCCAUCUUCUUCUUUCUUUCUUUCUUUCUUGGAUUCUCCUCUCUUCUCUCGGAGGUGAGAGAUGUGUUAUAAGUUUUGUUUGUGUCCUCGUCUCUCUCUCUAUGUAAUAUACAAGGGAUUUAUAUAAAUAUAAAUAGCUGUGAAAUGUUAUUAAUAGACUAAUUGGAUCAUUACACCUAAGCUAAGCUAUCUCUGCUGUUUUAUGCUUCCUAAAAUUCUUUUUCUAAUUUUGCCAUUGCUUUUAUUAAAAUAAACAUCUAUUUUUUUUUUUCUAUGUUGAAAAUUUGAACAAAAUAACUAAGUGGCAUUAGCUCAACCGGUAAAAAUCCUAAGCGAAUCUUAGAGGUCGCCGGUUCGACUGAUGCUUGGGACAAAACUAAUAUUACAAAAUGUGGUUUCGGGUCUGGGGGAUUACGGACUUUGGUCCGGAACCUCUGAACAAAAUAAAUGGUUUUUGCCAGUUAAAUGAAUCAUCUUAUGCGUGGAUCCAGAAUGGGUUUUGUACACGUGGUAAAAGAAGGACCGUUGGAUGUUUGCGAUGAAAAUUGCCAGCUUUGUAAUUCUCAACACGAAGUGGACCACCUUACUGGUUGGUGCUACCUUAUCCCACCCAUUAACAAGUCUUGAUUUUGGAUAUUACAUGUCAGAACUCUUGAAUAAACUAACCCGUGACAUACUUGGAA